rnacentral:lncRNA from 1 species
AUAUAAUUAUUGAUUAUCUUUGUUUUCUCCAUUCAGACGGUUCAAUGAGCUCACUGUAUUUAUGUAGUGACACGUAGUUGAAAAUAAUUCCAAUAUAGCAAAUGUUGGACACAAUUACAUCAGUCAACAAACAUGACUAAAUACUAAUCACUGCAGCUUAUAUUCAAAGGAGCCGAGUGUGAGUCAAUGUAGAACAGAAGGCUACAUUCCGACAUUACCCCCAGCAGAGGUCUACAAUGAAACAAACAUCUGUAAAUUCUAAUCCCAAAGGUAAUUAUGUUUCUAAAUAUAAACAGAUGUUUUUAAAAUGUAUUUCCAUUGUUAAAAUGAUUUGCAUUUUUUUUUUAAAGUUUCUUAGUACUUGAGAAAUUGGUGUUUUUUGCAUUUGUCAAAUAGUUACAUGGAAACAAUAAAAUGUGUGGAAGAACUGAGAUUAUGUAGUGUGGCCAUUUUGGCAAAAAUAAUCAAAAAAUCUGUGAGGAUUUUUAGAAGAGCUGAGGGUUAUUGUUUAUGAUAAAGUUAAGGAAAUUAAAACUGAGGGAUCACGUGGAAGGGAGGGAGAAGCUGAAUAAGGUAUGUCCGAGGAUUGUGCCAUAGUAAGACAGAAGCAUCACUUCUAUGCAGCUGUAUUUAUAAAGGGAACAAAAAAACUAUUGUAUGAAUGCAUGCUGGGGUCUGUGAAACCUAAGAAAUUAAUUGAUUAGAAAACCUCUAAUCACUCACAUCCAGAAAGCCAAUUGGUUCUCUUUCUUAAAAAUAAAUAAUUAAAAUAAAAAAGUGACCAUUGAAUCCCAAUAAAGCUGCACAGACAGGCCUUUUAACCAUAACCACUCCAGCAAGUUGAAGUGGUUAUUGUUGUUAGAGUAACAAACUUUAAACUUUCAAUAUCACAUGGGAGGGCGGAACAUUUUUACAAUGCUACAGAGAAGAGCUGCAAAUAGAUUCGCCGGUUGAGCCAUUAACACUCCUGAACCAGCCUGUGAACUAUGAUCUAGAACAGUGAUGGCGAACCUAUGGCACGCGUGCCACAGGUGGCACGCGGGGCCCUUUCUGUGGGCACGCGGCCACAGGUUCACCAUCAAUGCAGAGUAGGCGCCUGCCUGCCCGAAACGGCAGGCGCCUACUCUGCUUCCGGGUCGGGAGGCAGGGGGAGGGCUCUGUAAUGCAGCUCCCCUGUCCUCCCGCGCGAUGCUGUGUGGAGCGUUGCAGCGCGUUGCCAUGGCAACGCUCCACACAGCAUUGCGCGGGAGGACAGGGGAGCUGCAUUACAGAGCCCUCCCCCUGCAGUGCUUACCACCACCGGACCACCAGGGAUGGCUGUGCCCCCCCCUUACUUCAUUAAAGGUAAGAAGGAGGGAGGGGGGGGUAUACUUACACACAGCACCCUUACCCCCCCAGCAGUACCCCUACCCCCCCAGCAGUACUCCUACCCCCCACACACAGUACCUACCCCACAGUACCCUACCCCCAGCAGUACUCCUACCCCCCCCACACACAGUACCCCUACCCCCCAGCAGUACCCCUACCCCCAGCAGUACACUACCCCCAGCGGUACUACCCCCCCCCCCCACCCCAGUACCCCUACCCCCACACACAGUACCCCCACCCCCACACACAGUACCCCUACCCCCAGCAGUACCCCCUCCCCCCAGCCCCAGCCCCAGCGGUACCCUACCCCCAGCGGUACUCCACCCCCAGUACUCCUACCCCCCCAGCAGUACCCCCAGCAGUACCCCCCCCCCCCAGCAGUACCCUACCCCCCCGCAGCACCCUUACACAUACAGCACACACACACACAGCACCCCUCACAUACAGCACUCACACACACACGCACCCCCCACACAAGCACCCCUCCACACACAGCACCCCCCACCUCAAUGCAGUAUGUGUGUAUUCAGCAGUGUGUGUGCGUGUAUUCAGCAGUCUGUGUGUGUGUGUGCGUGUAUUCAGCGGACUGUGUGUGUUUGCGUGUAUUCAGCGGACUGUGUGUGUGACUACUCAGCAGUGUGUGUGUGUGUACUCAGCAGUGUGUGUGUGUACUCAGCAGUCUGUGUGUGUGUGUGUGUACUCAGCAGUCUGUGUGUGUUUGUACUCAGCAGUCUGUGUGUGUACUCAGCAGUCUGUAUGUAUGUGUAUUCAGCAGACUGUGUGUAUUCAUCAGUCUCUGUAUUCAGCAGUCAUCUGUGUGUAUGUAUUGCAUUUGUUGGAGAUACUAAUAAAUAUAAGCUUAAUUUUAUCUAUUUAAAUCAUUAUUUAAAAUUUGUAUCAUUGAACUUUCUGUGUUCUUUUAAAACAAAAGUUAUUAGUUCGGACAAGAGUACGAGUUGUUUUUUCUAAACUUAAACCUCAGUAUUUGGGUUUAAUUGCCGUGUUGGCACUUUAAGGAGACAAAAAGUUGGCAUGUAUUGCGGUUUGGGCACUCGGGCUCAAAAAGGUUCGCCAUCACUGAUCUAGAAUAUCAUAGGUCUUUAAAAUAAAUUCUGAGCAUAACUCUUUUUAUCAGCAGCAGUAUGGUUCUUUCUCUUCAGUAAAUCAAGCUUGAUCUUUCUAAUCUCUUUCAAAAGAGACAUGCGGAAAAAUAAAAGAGUUUGUAUUAAACAUAUGUUAACCUGCGAGACUACAUCAUAAUUUUAUUUAAGUGCUCAGUAAAACAUCCACAACCACAAUAAAACCUGACCUAUAGUAAAAGUGAGGGCGGACAAUAACAAGAUGCAGUUGCCUGUAGCAUUUAGGCAUUAAUAAAUAUUCCAGUUUUAGAAACCUUCAGGAGAGAAAUAAAAAAAGAAUUCCGUUUACAGGAAUAUUUUUCAUAGUAAAUAGGUGUACAAAUCUUGCAUAUUUUUAUUUCUAAUCAUCUACAUUUUUCUUUAUCACAGUGAUAAAAUAAAGGUUACUUGGUCACUUCUUUGCUAACAAUGUCCCUUGUAAAAUAUCUUCCCAAUUAGUGCACAUCUCAUACACUGAUAGGCACACAGCAAAGAACACUAUUUUCUCAGACGACCUUUUCACAAAAGCACACAGUUUAAGGAAACAAAUUCGGCAUUCAUAAAAAUAUCUGCAGAUACCAUGCAUAUAUCACUAAUUAGACUUUCAUUCCAAACUGCAAAUCAUCCAAAUAUGUGCUGAUCACGUGAUCGGUCAAAUUACUGAAUUUAAAACCAUCCAUUAUAAUAACAUAGGACUUAUACUGAUCCUCCACUCCAGGCAUAGGGCCUGGAUUUAAAACAGUCAGGUCAGAAUUUCAGCUGUCCGGUGGUUUUCUGUCCAGCUAAAUUUUGGACCAAAUUCAAGCCCAUUCCAUACCUGAAUUGCAAAGUCCAGACACUGUUAAAUACUGCGAACAAAGUCCGAUCUUUAGUGAAUAACCCUGAUAAUGUUAAUUCAUUUCUAUUUACAGAUCAAGCAAAAUAAUGAAAGUUUUAAAAAUGUAAAAUAAAUAAUUAUUAUUGACUUUGCGAUCAAGUAGCCAGAUUAUCAGUUUGAGACACUGUCUGCAGUGGAACUGUUGGGUUGUCAGACAUUUCCCAAAAAUAGAAAUAUAUAUAUAUAUUUUUAAAAUCAUUAUAUAAGCCUCACAAAUAUAUUUUUAUAUAGCAAGAAUGACAUUUUUUAGAUAUAUAAUUUCAUUCUUAGUGUACUUUGAUAUCAAUAUAUAUUAAUAUCAAAAUAUACUUGGAAUGAAAUUAUAUAUAAUAUACAAAAUCUAACACACUCACUCAUUCUCUAAACGGCAAUUUUAAAGUUCACAGAGUAUAAUAGAUUUAUUUAAGAACACCUCACCUAGGCAAAAAUAAUGGGGGUUUAGUUACAGUACAUAGACCCAAAAAAACGAAACUAGAAAAUUUUAAUGUGUAAACCUGAAAAGUCAUUUUAGUUUUCUGAAAUGCUUUAUGUGUGACGAGUGUGUCCUCUUUUUUUUUCAUUUUACUCUAGUGGUGAUUACCCUGCGUAGCUUUAAAACUACUAAAUGUAACAAACAACAUACUUAGAAUUUCUUGUCACAUUUUGGAAUUUUCAUUCAAAUUUGCAAUUCAUUUGGAUCAAAAUGAAUAACUCAACAGUGUAUUUACAACAAUCGAAAGCUAUAUUAUAUGUUUAUUUAUGUUUAUUAGUUAAAUGAGUUCAGGAGUAUGCCAAAAAGAAAAAAAUACAUCAUUUACGCACCCAAGGUGCUGAAGCCAGAAUAACUUUCCCAUUCACUAAUGCAAUUUUUGUAAUAAAGAGUUAACAAGGACAUUGGCAGGCUGCUCGCAUAUAAAGGAAUUACUGAAAUGUCCAUCACAGCUUUGCUAAUUCUACAAUGUUUUUCCAUGACUUAGUCUUUCUAAAAUCCAAACCCAGUGAUUGAGGUUUUGAGUAAGCACACAUCUGUGGCCUUUAUUCUCUUUGUUUUACUUUAUGAAAUUACUCUUAUUAUGUCCCACACCCUUGCACAUAAAUCGGUUUGGUCUUUAACAUGCACACAUACCUUGUAGGAUUUCUGUAAUUUUACAAGGGCCUUUUUGAUUGUACCCUGUUCCUCCGUUGGUGGUGUGUUCUCAUCCAUGUAUGAAGACAUAACAGACACAUUAUCAUCAGCCAUUUAGAAAAUAUUAUGUGCUCUUUUCCAGCAACAUCUUUGUGGGAUAGGUCUAUCAAAAGGUCAGGUCUCAUGUUUUCUUUAUUUUUUUUCUUACAAAAAAACAAGUCUUGCGCUCAAACUCCCAUCACUCCUGGGCAGCAGCAAUUUUAAAAGGGAAAGCUUACUUUCUUACUGUACCUGCUGUGGUAGCAGUAUGGAAAUUAGAACAAUGAUACUGUACUACUGACUGUAAUCAGAUCAGACACAUUUCAGUGAAUGUCAUAAACUAGGUUUUCAUAAAAUAACAUAAAAUAAGAUUAAAUAUCAAUGUUGUUUAUAUAUAUAUAUAUAUAUACUAGGUAAUAAAAGCAUUUACAUGCUGUAUGGGGCUCCAGCAGCCAGGGCUGAUUUAUAAAAAAUAAAAAAAAGAGGUUUAAAAAUCUAGAGAAAACCCCACGGUGAUAGGUAAACCACAACCACAUGAUAGAUAAAAUAAUUGCUUCUAUAAAAGCUAUAUGCUGCCACAGUUAUAUACAUAUAAAUACAGACUAGGGAACAGCAUAGAAAUAAAAAUACAAUUUUAAAUCUCAUAUAUGGGGAUUCAGUUCCACCACAUAUUCUACAGUACCCCAAUAUUGGUGCAUCUACAGUAUUCUACAGUACCCCAAUAUUGGUGCAUCUACAGCAUUCUACAGUACCCCAAUAUUGGUGCAUUUUAUAUUUUAGCAUCUUAGCAUUUUAUAUGCCAUGGAAAGACCUGGAAAGAAAUGUUAACAGCAUAUUAACAGCAUAUUCUGUAUCAAAGAGCCGACCCUACUUAACCCCAUAAGGACCAAUCGUCUGGAAUAAAAGGGACACAUGUCAUGUGUCCUUAAGGGGUUAAAGACAUACUACCUUAAAGCACUACUAUAAGUUCCCAAAAAUUGUACAUAUAUCUACUAUAGUUAAAGAUUGAAUCUGUAUGUCUACACAGGAACAUCCUUACAUCUUAUAGUGUUAUAGUAUAGUACAUAAGAACCAUUAUAAUAUCUAUAGAGAUAAAAGGAUGCUGAAAGAUAAGAAGUAGAACAUUGGAGAAUAAAUUAUACUAAAGUAUGUCCUAAGUAGUAUCCUAAUCACAACUACUAAAAAAAGAAUAAUAUCUAGAAAACUAACAAAUAGGACAUACUAUUGUAGUGAUCAUUAGUUAACCGAAUAAAGUAUUUAUACAGGCAGAAACAGGAUCCCCUGUUCUAGUAUAUAUUCAAAGGAACACAGAGAACACUAUAUUUUCAUUCAGUGUUCUGGGUGCUACAGCGUCCAGACCAGUGGUAGUCAACCUUUUUCUACCUACCACCCACUAAUGCAUCUUUCUUGAUGGAAAAAUUUCCUUACCGCCCACCAGUUUUUGCGCAAGUGCAGAAUAUUUUUUAGAAAGGAGGGUGUUUUAAAAAAAAUAAAUGUACGUACAUUUAUCUUUUUAUUUCUACUUAAUGCAUGUUUAUAAUGUUUUUAACUUUAUAAAGUUUAAUGAGAAAACAAUAAAAUAAAUUGAAAUUACCUUUACAAGUGAUUAAUGAGAUCCUUGAGGUUGAUGCUGCGAGACUAAAUAUUUGAUAUCUGGUUAGAUUUUCGUAAGGAACAAACGAAGAUCUCCUCUUUCAGUGAUAUUCAGACGGCUUCUCUGUUUGCGCAUAAUAUGAUUUCUCAUCUGUGCGUCAGCUCAUCUUCUCUCCCUCCUCAAUUCCCCUCCCCACCUUUUUUAUUCCUUUUUUCUAUUUUUUAGCAAUGCCCAGUAGGAAGGCUGAGCUAGGUAGCCCACUUGCCCACUAUAACAGACAGGCAUACAUACAUACAGACAUACAGACACACACACACACACACACACACACACACAAGACACGCAUACAAAGACACAUACAUACAAACAGACAGACACACAUACAUACAUACAGACACACAGACAGGCACACAUACAGACACACAAACAUAAGACACACACAUACAGACACACACACAAAGACACAUACAGACACACAGACAGGCACACAUACAUGCAGACAAACAGGCACACAUACAGACACACACAAGGCACACAAGACACAUACAUACAAACAGACAGGCACACAUACAUACAGACACACACACGUGCACACAUACAGAAACACACACACACGACACAUAAAUACAAACAGACAGGUACACAUACAUACAGACACACACAUAAGGCAUACAUAGACACAUACACACAUAGAGACCGACACAAGACACACAUAUAAAGACACAUACAUAAGACACACAUACAUACAAAGACAAGACACACAUACAUACACACAUAUAUGCAGACAGACACACACACACACACACACAAGACAUACAUACAUAGACACAUACACACACACACAAGAUAUACAUACAAAGGCACAUACACACAAACAAACACACACAAAAUAUUUUAGUCACCCUCCUGUUUCCUACCUUUUAGGUGCAGGAGGGUGACUUUCCCUGGGGUCCAGUGGUGGCUCAGGUGGAUGGGAGUCAGAGUUCCUACUCUGACUCCCUGGUGUUCCUCCCGCGCGGUCUGUGUGUUAGCUGGGAGGAGUGACAUGCAGUCACUUCCUCCCAGCGUGUGAUGUAAUAACAGGGGGCCCGGUCGCGCUUUUAAAGCACCCAGCGCUGACCAGGCCCCCUUACAAUCCACAUCCAUCGGGUGGCCCUGACAGCAUGUGCCACCCGAUGGAUCCCUUGGACGGCGGCCCCAGUGGUUUGCCACGCGGGAUGGGGCCGCAAAUGGUGACGGCAGUACCCGGUCGUAGGGGUACUGCCGGAUCACACCCGCCCUCACGCCCACCCAAUCUCUGAAAUUGAAGAAAUCCCUACCGCCCACCUGGAAUCCUGAAAUGCCCACUAGUGGGCAGUAGGGACCAGGUUGACAACCCAUGGUCCAGACGAUGUAUCCAAUGUGCCAAUAUGGUCUAUGGCUGUGAAAUGUAGGAUGGGUAGUCUAUGUUCCAUGGUAAGAAAGUGUUUGGGAACUGGUUUGUCGCCUUGCUGAUCCUGGAACGCAGUGAUGAUGGUGGAUCGAUGUCCACGUAUUCGAUCCCUCAAUGUGAGGUUAGUUUUGCCAACAUAAAACAGUCUAUAUAUCACAUGGUCAGUGGUGCAAGUUAUAUAUUGAGAUAUCUUGAUUCUCUGAUCACUAUGAGGAUGUACAAAAGUCGCACCACUGACUAUGUGUCUGCACGUCACACAUCCACUGGAUCUGUAUCAUCCUUUCUUCAAAACUGCCAUGGGUUUACGGUGGCACUAUAAUGGAUCAUUUCUUACUAACAUAUCCUUCAGAUUUAUGUUCCUUUUAUAAUGAAACACGGGUAAAUCUUGAAACGUUUUCGGCAUCGAUUUAUCUGAACGUAAAAGUCCCCAAUGUUUGUUAAUCGAGUCUCUGACUUUGUAUGUGCCUGUGUGAAAUAUUAUUGGUAAGUAGAUCUUCAGUUCCAAUGGUUCUUUUUUGGUUCUCUCAUUAGAUCUUUCGAGAAUCCAAAUCUCAACUGCUCCUUUUUGCGCUAAUUCCAAUGUACACGGUUGGUAGCCUCUGGCUCUAAAUCUGUUCGACAUCUCUCUUAAUUGAGUGUCACAGUUGUCUAUUUCACUGUUGUACCUAUAUACUCUCAAAAAUUGAGAUAUAGGUAGAGAUUUUUUGAACUGUUGAGGAUGAAAACUUGAGGCCAUUAGUAGAUUAUUCCGAUCAGUGUUUUUCCGUUACAAGGUAAAUUCCAAUCUACCUUGUUUCUUGUAAAUUGUAGCAUCCAAAAAAUUGUAUUGACUGCCGGUCGUAGUUGGUGCUUAGAGUCACUGAUGAUGGUAAUUGGUUGAUGUCCAUUACCAUUUGCUCUAAUUCCUUGGAUGUACCUGUCCAAAUUAGAAAUAUAUCAUCCACAAAACGAUAAUAGUGUCUAAUAUGUUUACCAAACCUUUGUAAAAUAUGUGUACGUUCAAAUAUGUACAUGAAGGCAUUAGCAUAUGAAGGUGUUAGCAUAUAUACAGUGUAACGACACCCUCAGCAUAAAAGGGUUAAACCGCCGUUUAGUAGAUAUUCCCCUUCCAGAGACACAGGCACAGCUACUGCAGAACACCAAUCCGCAGAACAGGAAACCAUAUGAAUGCCGUAAACAGCCGAAUAGGAAAAACCAUACGAAUAGGUAAACACUCCUAGCAGUCAAACUGGAACAGCAUACAAUAAAUCCCCCCAAGAAUGAGACAAAGCUCUGUGUUGAGGGUCAAGCAGUGAACAGUUUAAUGAGGGCUACCUGCCCAGUAUUUAUGCAGGUCUCCCACCUGGUGGACACUCCCCGAGGGGACCAAAUGGAAGACUGUGACAAAAGAUAGACAAGUAGACAAAUAGGACACACAGUCACAUUAUAUUCCCACAAUGCAUCCUGGCUUCCUCCCUUCUGCCUUGGAGAUAAUUGAGAAGUAAUUCAAUUAUCUCCCAAGACAAAGGCAAAUCGCCAUUAUGCACGUGGGGAUACUAAAACAGGAAUUACUAUUAAAAUACACAGAAUGAUAGCUCAGGUCUGAGCGCACAUUAUUAAGCGAAUGGCGCUCAGACCACACGAAUACAGUUUAAUCACCAUGAAGCCAAAGUCUUUACACAGUCAGUUCUCAUGCGAAUGGGCUCCAUGGGAUUCCUAUCUGGGGUAUAACAUAUUCAAGUAAAACUACCGAACACUGGGCCGUUCGUGCACUUUCACCGAACAAGAAGGGAGGUCGGCGGCUUCAGCGGUGUUCACGCAAAACUGUGUCCGAUUUUAGUUCCAUGAAUUGAGCGUUGAACACCGCUGUGUGUUCGCCAGUUUAAAAUGGCCGCGACCUCGAGUUCGUGAUACGAAUGGCGGCCACCCAGCAUUCGUCAAUUAAGCUGCGGUUAACCGCAGCUUCAGGGAGGCUAAUUGCUGGCACACUCCAGCUCCCAGGUGGUCUAGUCAUUCGUGCGGUUGUUCAGUAGAUUGAAUCUACCGAACACCAGGCAGAAAAGCACGAAUAAGUCUUUUCUGCAGGGAAAAAGAUGUCUUUUAACAUGGGGCCAUAGUCCAAAGGCAGCAGGCGAGCAACCAGGCUUCUCCAAUGCAAUGUGGCGAGAUUGCUCUUGUCACAUACAGAUAUAUGUAUAUAUAUAUAUAUAUACAUAUAAUACACAAGAUCCAGCGCACUCACCUAUCCACUAAACAGCAACUUCAAUGUUGAAAGAUUUUAUUGUUUUUUUUAAAAACACCUAAUAAUCUAGGCAAAAAUAAUGGGGGUUUAGUUACAUUAUAUGAUCAUACAGUGCAUAAGCCUGCCCCAACGUCAAUGUACCCCAUCUUUGGCAGGUCCUACACUAACAGCCUAAUGUCUGCUCUUAUGAGAUUAACCUACUUGGGGAAAGAAAGCCCUCAUCCCAGGGCCCUAUUUAGCUUUGUACUGCAGAGAGCCCCAGAUGGAAUUUCUUUCCCCAAGUAGGUUAAUCUCAUAAGAGCAGACAUUAGGCUGUUAGUGUAGGACCUGCCAAAGAUGGGGUACAUUGACGUUGUGGCAGGCUUAUGCACUGUAUGAUCAUAUAAUGUAACUAAACCCCCAUUAUUUUUGCCUAGAUUAGGGGUUUUUAAAAAAACAAAUAAAAUCUUUCAACAUUGAAGUUGCUGUUUAGUGGAUAGGUGAGUGCGCUGGAUCUUGUGUAUUGUAUUAUUUGGCCCCCAGCAGCACCCCCAUUUAUGCAUGUUAAGGUGAGUGCAGCCAACCCCCCUCUUGUUUUAUAUAUAUACAUAUAUAUAUAUAUAUACACACAAAGUAAUUCACAUAUAGAAACUACAGAUCCAGCAAUGUGUUAAUAGCAUGCAAUGCAAGUGAAUUUUCACCAUAUUUAAUUAGAAAACUAAAGAGAAGUGUGAAUUCCCUGUUGCUCAACAUCAUAAGACUCCCUGGCCAUCAUACAGAAAUUAUUAAAUUGCUAUAAUGUAGAAUAAGGGGCCUGACAGAUUUGGCUUCAGUUUACACAGAAAAAUCCAAGAUUCUCUUUAGUAAAAGGAAUGUUAUUGACAGAGUUAUUUGGUCAAGAUUAUAAUUUGUCGUAUUUCUGCUGGCAUGCAAACCUUACAUUGUUUUAAUAUUAUUUUUGUAUAAUGAUUUAAGGCAUUAUGAGAAUUCAGCAAUGCAUUAUUUCAACAACGAAUGUGUUAUUUCAGGUUGGGAAGUUUAACUAUUAUUAGAUCUUUUAAAAUCACAGAUGUGUAUUUUAUUGAGGCCACUACUAUUUCAAUAACACUUUCUUUAUUAGCAUUGUGAUAACAAAGUAUCUCACGGAUUGUGUUAGGUGUGCUCACAUGUGCUUGCUACAAAAUACCGUAUUUACUCUACGGUAAAUGUGCUAUUGAAUGUAAUGUGCACCUCAAUUUUUGAAACCUGGAAGGUGAAAAAUGUUUUUGCUGGCGAAUGUAAUGCACAUUUAUACAAGGAGAUACGACUAUACAACAUUGUGCUACAAUGAAAAUGUUUAUUGCCAUAUACCACAGUAACAUUGAUAGUAUUUCAAUUUUAGUGUUAAAUGGUAAGUCUAUUCUUUCUAAGCCCUCUUUCAGGAAUGAAAUUUGCCUGUGUGAAUUUGCCGGAAUGAAAUUCACCUAUUUCAAUUCACUAGUUUUAAUUCGCUUGUGUGAACUUGCUGGAAUACAAUUCAAGAGAAAAUGUUUAAUUUUGCCCCAAAUGUAAUGCUCAAUCAAAAUGUUAUUUUCCAAAAAAAGAUGCACAUUAGAUUCAAAUAAAUACAGUAGUUCCUGAGUCUUUAGAGAAAGUGUUCAGAUUUUGAGAUCUCCACCCAAAGGGAAGAGAUGGUGUUCCUCUUCCUCUCCAGCAAAAUGAACUAUCUUCUUUAUCACUUUAUAUUUAAAAAUCAUGGCCUGAGCAAAAUCUAGAGUAAUGUAAAAAUGUUAUCGCAAUAUAUAAAGCUCCACUGAACAAGCAGAGUCUGCCCAUUGUCUCUGCAGUGCAGGAAAUAUAGAAUGAAAGGGAAUGAUUUCCCUUUUCCUAUAGACCUCCCGCACAAUUUAAAAUCUUCCCUAAGCCUAAAGUCAUUUAAGAGAUCCCUUCUCUACAUACCUCAAAACAGAAUGCACCUGUCAUGGUUGAUUAUAUAUUUCCUGCCUGUUCAAUGUAAAUUUUGUAUAUAUUGUUUUUGUAUUUUAUUGUGCCCUAAUGUAACAAUGCAAUGAUUUGUGGACCCAGGACAUACUUGAAAACGAGAGAAAUCUCAAUGUAUCUUUCCUGGUAAAAUAUUUUAUAAAUAAAUAAUAAAUAAAGUUCAUGCCUAAGGAAACAUAUCAGUAGUUUUGACCAUAUAUCCAACUGCUCAACCAACCAGAAUGACAUUCUAGGUAUCUAACAUGCUCUAUAAAAUAGUAUAAAAUAUAUAUUUUUUUACAAAUGCUUUGUGAUGACCAAUAGUAUUUGAAAUGUUUGUUUCUGAAAACAUGUUUAUUUCAAAUAAACCCCUGAAAUGCAUAUACAGACAGAAUUGUCCCUACAAUCUCUUGUAAAUGGUAUGGACAUCGUUGAAGAGCUAUUGUGCUUUUUGAUGUUUUAAAAAAAAAAAAAAACAUAUUGUACUUUUAGAUGCAUUUUUGCUCCUAUGAUUGUCUUUUUAAUUAAUCAGGGCGAUGAUCAAGAGAUAAUUACAAAUAGUUACAAAUAAAUGGAGAAACAAAUUCAAAGUAAAGACAAAAAUAUGUGAAUUGGUUUGUAUGCAGAGCAGCUCAGAAAAUAAAAGGACAUUCUCACCCACAUAUCCUUCCUCACCCUUCCUGAUCCUUUCAAUACCAGACAGUAAUCUAUACAUUCAAGUUAAUAAUCUAUAGCUACCUGACAAAUGCAUAUAUAAUAAAGAAAUAAUACUAAACACUAAGGUGGCUGAACAGUCAUGAUACUUCAGAAGGUAAAGUCUUUAUAGAAAGCAGCAGAAUGUACCAGAACCCUGAUCUCCACAAAUAAUAAAAUGCCCUAUGAGCAAGAGGGGUUCAAAGAGGUCAAUGUGAAAACGAAAGGUUGACAUUACUGUUUUCCUGUCAAUAAACACAGAAUACAAUGAAGGAGACAGACGUGUACUAAAUAACUUAAAAAAUAACUUUUCACGAUGCAAGGUGCUAUAAUCAUAAUCAUGAUGCAGGGCAAAAAGCAAAGUUGAUGGCAUGUUCCAGUAAAACAGGACUCAAGUAGAAUAAAAUGUAAAAAAUUACCACAGAGUUGAGUUUUAACUAAAUGCCUUGCUCUACAAUUUGCAUAGGUUCUAACACAUUUACUAUACAUUAAAUAGCAGAGGCUAAGGUUACCUGUGUUUACAGCACUUACCAGUAUGUGCAUCAUUCUGUCUCUGUCAGUCCAGGUGGCUCUGAAUUUUUAUUUUUUUAAAUAAAUAUAUAUAUACAUACAGUUGUGCUGAAAAGUUUGCAUACCGUGACAGAAAUUGUGAAAUGUUGGCAUUGAUUUUAAAAUUAUAUGACUGAUCAUGCACAAAAAAAAAUCAUUUUAUUAUCACAGAAAAGAACUCAGAAAAGAACUGUCAAAAGACCCGCAUAAUAGAACUUUGGAAAGAUGGAAAAGAUAUAAAAAGAUGUAAAAAGUACAAAGCCUUGAAAAUGCCAGUCAGUACUGUUCAAUAUCUUAUUAAGAAGUGGAAAAUGCAGAGAUCUCUUGAUAACAAGCCAUGGUCAGGUAGACCAAGCAAGAUUAUAGUCACAACUGCCAGAAGAAUUGUUCUGGAUACAAAGAAAAACCCACAGGUAACCUUCAGGAGAAAUACAGGCUGCUCUGGAAAAAGACUGUGUGGUUGUUCCAAGGAGCACAAUACGACAAAACACAUACUAUUACAAAAGACUGCACACUGUCAUUGAUGCUAAAGGGGGCAGUACACAGUAUUAAGAACUACGGGUAUGAAGACUUUUGAACAGGGGUUAUUUCAUUUUUUUCUUUGUUGUCAUGUUUUGUUUUAUGAUUGUACCAUUCUGCUAUCACAUACAGUUGAAUAUGAAUGCCAUAAGAAAUUAAGGAAAUGUGUUUUGCAUUCAGACAAAUUACCCUCUAGUAGUUUGCCUGUGAUUCCAAUAACAUGUAUGUAUUCUGUCUUACAUUCUGGUUUUUGACUCAGCUCUUCUUGACAUUACUGCCUUCUGUUUCACCCUGACUUGGCCUAGUUUAUCAUAUAUGUAUAUAUCUGCAUUCCUUGACCACAACUGGCUUGUAGAAGGUAUGUUUUCUUUCCAAGCGGGUUUAGUGAAUGGGGAGUCACUGAUUGGCUGAGAGCAUCAGUUAAUCAGCACCACACCUGCCUGGCCCUGCCAAAGGAGGAGUGGACAUCAAGAAUGGUUUAAUCCCUUCAGUGCCUCCAGAAGCUUCAUGGCACCAUAACAACUUCAUUUAUAUUACGUUAUCUUGGUUUCUGGAGUGUCCCUUUAAAUUCAGGCAGAUAAGCACUACUCUUCUUUUGGCAAUUUGCUGCUUCACUUGUUUCCACUAAACUGCCAGCAGCAUUAAGCCAAAACGUAACUGCUCCAUUCUCCUCUCUUUGCUUUAUGCUGCUGGCACUACUAAUGGGCAUAGUAUUUAAUGGCAAAAUGGUAGGUUCAAUAAGCACAUUUACCUCGACCAGCAUGCUUUUCUUUUGCAGUAAAUCUUGGACCGUGUUAAUAAAUCUGUCCCUCUAAUAUAUCAAGUUGUUGGAUCAGGUGCCAUUAAUCCUUGGAUCACACAAGGAUCCAAGGUCAGGGCAAUUACUAAUUUCUGAAGACUACUGCUACAUUUGUGUGAAGUACCACAAGAAACUAUUUCCCUGUUUUCCAGGAAGACAUCUCUUGAUCCCAGAUGUUCCUAGGCAGGUUACCUGUUUUUGGAUCACUUUAUUCUUCACAAAGGGAUGGUUAAUGGGGUUUUCCUAUUAUUGUGAAUAUGCAUUGUUCUCUGCUGUUACACAAUUCUUUAAGCAAAUCUACACUGGAGUUCCACUAUGUGCUGUUAUACUGUCGACAUCCUCUCAAAGACAAUAGGUGGGAAGUCCUAGUUUCUAUUGCUCCUGCCUCAAGAGUUGGAUAGCCAUUGCACUACCAUGGAAAUGCCCAGCAAACCUCCUGCAAAGCUCAAGUAUGGUUUGUACCAUAACAGUGCACUCCUACAAAGCAAUCAUCUUGAAGAUCUUUGACCAUGUUAGCAGUUCGGUCAAAUUUGCAGUUUGGUGCCUGCCUGAUCUCCCAACUAAUUUGACACAAUUUGAUUGCAAUAUGUUUGCUGAAGUGUUCUUUUCAUCCAUUACUUUAGUAUAAAGCAAAAGAGAUUGAUCUACUCCACUGCCACCAUGCUGCCCAGGCACCAGAUGCUGCCACCAUGGAGUCAUGAAGGAAAGGAAGGCAAGCUGGCCACUAGGAGCACUCCAUAAAUAUGUGGUGAAUAGCACCCACUGACCUACAGCCUUAUUCAGUUGCUGCUUGACUAUAAGCACUCAGGAACCUAAUGCCUUACCCAGGACUCUCCCAUGAGCAACACGUAGGUUCACUUUUUUUUAAUCAUUUUUUUUUUUAUCUGCAAACCGUUCGUUUAAUUGGUUUAAAUGACUUUCAGUCCAUUGCUUGUUCUCAUUUACACUUGCAUAGUGCUGGGUUUAGUGUGAAUAUUGAUAGCUUAUUUAUUUAUGCCAGGGAGGAACACAUAUUGGCAGAGACGGCAAAAAGCAUGCCCACCUGUCCAAGUCUGUUUUGUAGCUUGGUAAGGCCUGUCGGCUUGUUCUAGGGCUCUAUUUCAUCAUUUACUGAAACCGCAUUGGCUGUGGAUCGAAUUUCUUCAGAUCCCCUAAUUUUCGAUCAUGCUGAGCACUACAUCCCAGAUUAAAGGGACACUAUAGUGUUCAAAACAACUUUAGCCCAAAGAAGCAGCCCCGGUGCAUAGGUCAUGCCCCUGAAGCCCCACCACUAAACUUUCUGCCAUCCAGGAGCCAAAUCACUUUUGUUUCUGUUGAUGCAGCCCCAGCCACAUGUCUCCUGGCUGCGACUCACACAGUCUGCAUGAAAAAAAUUGGUUUCCCUAUCAAUCAGAUGUAACUUACUUUAAAAGUUUUUAUCUCCUGCACUGCAAAUUGAACUUUAAUCACACACAGGAGACAUUUUCAAUUAAACAGAAUUUGCAUUGAAGGAAGUAUAAACAUUAAAUGACUCUUUACAGGAAGUGUUUAAAAAGGCUGUGCAGUCACAUGUACAGAGCUGUGACUAGGGUGCACAAACGGUUUUAACUCCCAAAUGACAGAGAACCGAUCAGUCAACAAAAUACAAUUUUUCACCACCUCCAAAUAUGUUCCAUUGUCUCCCCCUGUAAGGUGGCCCUCAAGCUUCUAGCCACCUUCCCUCUGAGUAACCCCCCUCACCCUAAUAAUACUCAGUGGGAGCAAUAUAUUUAAUAACCCAUGGAAAACAAACUAUACUUACGAUCUUAUGUCUUAUUUCUUCUAAAGCCUUCUUUUCAUUAUUUCAUUUUAAAAAAAAUCUUGUCCUGUGUGUAUAUAAAAAAAAUAGAAAAUUUGACCGCAAUUUUUUUAAAGAAUUUGUAAGUUAAAUGGCUACUUAUUAUUGUUAACACUGUAAAAUAAAUGAGAAUGUAUAGAUAUGUAUAUAAAUACAGGGAGUGCAGAAUUAUUAGGCAAGUUGUAUUUUUGAGGAUUAAUUUUAUUAUUGAACAACAACCAUGUUCUCAAUGAACCCAAAAAACUCAUUAAUAUCAAAGCUGAAUAUUUUUGGAAGUAGUUUUUAGUUUGUUUUUAGUUAUAGCUAUGUUAGGGGGAUAUCUGUGUGUGCAGGUGACUAUUACUGUGCAUAAUUAUUAGGCAACUUAACAAAAAACAAAUAUAUACCCAUUUCAAUUAUUUAUUAUUACCAGUGAAACCAAUAUAACAUCUCAACAUUCACAAAUAUACAUUUCUGACAUUCAAAAACAAAACAAAAACAAAUCAGUGACCAAUAUAGCCACCUUUCUUUGCAAGGACACUCAAAAGCCUGCCAUCCAUGGAUUCUGUCAGUGUUUUGAUCUGUUCACAAUCAACAUUGCGUGCAGCAGCAACCACAGCCUCCCAGACACUGUUCAGAGAGGUGUACUGUUUUCCCUCCUUGUAAAUCUCACAUUUGAUGAUGGACUACAGGUUCUCAAUGGGGUUCAGAUCAGGUGAACAAGGAGGCCAUGUCAUUAGAUUUUUCUUCUUUUAUACCCUUUCUUGCCAGCCACGCUGUGGAGUACUUGGACGCGUGUGAUGGAGCAUUGUCCUGCAUGAAAAUCAUGUUUUUCUUGAAGGAUGCAGACUUCUUCCUGUACCACUGCUUGAAGAAGGUGUCUUCCAGAAACUGGCAGUAGGACUGGGAGUUGAGCUUGACUCCAUCCUCAACCCGAAAAGGCCCCACAAGCUCAUCUUUGAUGAUACCAGCCCAAACCAGUACUCCACCUCCACCUUGCUGGCGUCUGAGUCGGACUGGAGCUCUCUGCCCUUUACCAAUCCAGCCACGGGCCCAUCCAUCUGGCCCAUCAAGACUCACUCUCAUUUCAUCAGUCCAUAAAACCUAGAAAAAUCAGUCUUGAGAUAUUUCUUGGCCCAGUCUUGACGUUUCAGCUUGUGUGUCUUGUUCAGUGGUGGUCGUCUUUCAGCCUUUCUUACCUUGGCCAUGUCUCUGAGUAUUGCACACCUUGUGCUUUUGGGCACUCCAGUGAUGUUGCAGCUCUGAAAUAUGGCCAAACUGGUGGCAAGUGGCAUCGUGGCAGCUGCACGCUUGACUUUUCUCAGUUCAUGGGCAGUUAUUUUGCGCCUUGGUUUUUCCACACGCUUCUUGCGACCCUGUUGACUAUUUUGAAUGAAACGCUUGAUUGUUCGAUGAUCACGCUUCAGAAGCUUUGCAAUUUUAAGAGUGCUGCAUCCCUCUGCAAGAUAUCUCACUAUUUUUGACUUUUCUGAGCCUGUCAAGUCCUUCUUUUGACCCAUUUUGCCAAAGGAAAGGAAGUUGCCUAAUAAUUAUGCACACCUGAUAUAGGGUGUUGAUGUCAUUAGACCACACCCCUUCUCAUUACAGAGAUGCACAUCACCUAAUAUGCUUAAUUGGUAGUAGGCUUUCGAGCCUAUACAGCUUGGAGUAAGACAACAUGCAUAAAGAGGAUGAUGUGGUCAAAAUACUCAUUUGCCUAAUAAUUCUGCACUCCCUGUAUAUAUAUAAUUAUAUAUCACAUUGAAUUUAAAGACAGUUUUGUUCUUUAAAAACAGUAUAUAAUAUGUGAUUGUGCAAUAAGUGAGAAAGAUGGAAAUUGCAAUUAAAUACACACAAUGCAAAAAUGCCAAAAUUGUACUGAAGCUGUUAUCUUAAAUGGUUAGUAUAAAUAGUUACAGAUGGAACAACUGAUCAUGAGUCAUUCAUUAUGUAAUCCGAUAAUCUAAUUUAAAUGAAUACUUUUAAAAAUAUCACUUGUUAAUAACCGAUCUAGAAGAAUAUGUUUUCAGGACUCUUCUGCAUUAAUAAGAUUUUUAAACAAUGAGCCAUCAACGAUUGCGUAAAUAAAAAUAAGUAACCUUCUAUUGUACAAUGUGUGCUUGUUGUAAGUCAGCAAUAAAUGAAAACGUUCCCAUCACACAUGCAGCUAAGCAAUUUAUCAUACAAGUAGAUUUAUCACAUCAUUUUUUUUUAUUUGUUUAAGUUAUUAAAUAUUCUCUUGAAUAGAUAUAUGAUGUCCGUAGAGGGUAUUUUAUAUGGCGAGCAUUGUGUGUGUAAUGAGGAAUGUUAUUGCAUUAGAGAAUACUCUGGACGGCAGACUGAGUCAUUAGCAUGCAUUAAGCGCUCCCAAUAAUAGAAACAAUGUUUUGGCCAGGCAAUGUUUCAUUACUCAGAAAGGAACAAUGUUGUCUUGAGUGGUACUAUAGCAAGUCAGAAAUUGAUGAGUUCUUCUUGCAAUAACACCGGUUCUAAAGUGUUAUAUAAACAGUUAUCAGUUAAAUCGAUUGUCUGUUCAUCCUUUUAACAAGCAGUGUUUUCAUAGGUGCCACUUAAAGAAUAUGCUUAGCAAGAGAGAUACAGUAAAUGCUGAUUUUGUAGUUUUCCUCAUAUAUGCCUGAAAAGCAGAAACAGCAUUCUUUAAAAGUAAAGUGCGUUUUUAAUUGGAAGUCCAUUGUAUGCCCCUCUCUUUCAAAAAUACGAGAUAAGAGUUAACAGUUUUACAUUUACAAGCGCAUGUCACAAACUUCUAGCAAAAGGAUACAGCUAUUCCUGACCACUUGGGAAGCAUGGGAGAAGCAGCACAGCCAUGGCUGAUAUUUUUGGCUGUAGUUUGCUUCAUGUUGUUGCCCAGGUCUCCUGCUGACUCCCACACUCUGAGGGUAUGAUCACAUCUCUGACAUGUUGGCAAUGCAGUACUUACCUCAAGCAAGAAGUGACUCCUCAGGUUCUCAUAAAAACAACUGGGAUGGCAUAUGGAUUCCUUUCUUAUGAUUUACUUCCCAACACUUUUGUUAUUGUUUAGUUAUUUCAUUAUUUUUGAUUGUUUUUCCGCUUUGAUAACUGUUAACUUAUACAACUAUGCCAGUGUCAUUGCUUAACGAUGUGUGAUCAUGAUAUUGAUAUCCAAGUGUAACACAAUUGUUAUCAAAUCGUGUUGGAUAUUGUAUGCAAUGCAACACAAAUGUCAUUAUGCUUCACUCGCUGUACUACGCAUGUAACCAUGUAACGGAUAUGAAGCACGCUAAAAAUCAAAUCAAAACUAAAUGGAAAACAAUAAGGUGCGUUUUAAGGAUAUAUCUUCUAUUUAUAAAUAAUGUAAUCCUGAGGUACAGGGGGAGCAAACCAGCCAAGCUGACAAACAUGAGCAGAGGUGUGUUGUACAUCAGCAUUUUAUACCUCUAUAUCAGUAUUAUAGGUCAAAACCACCUUGACUACCACAAAUAUACUCGCAAAUCUCAUGGGAGACAUUUCCAUACAGAAAACGGUGAAUCCCUUGGAGGGAUAUUUGGAAUCUCCUAUUGUGGCCAGGAGGCCUAAAUCAGUAGCAUCAUACAAUGUAGCAUCAUAAAAUGUGCGGUUUUCCUCCAACAAAGAUUUGGAGGAACGUCUGGCUUACAACACAGUGACAGAGACCAUCCACAGUGUUAAGGCAACAGUUGUCCUUUAAAUUCCACAUGAUUGAUAAAUCUGUAGAUGCAUGCAAACACCACACUUUGGCCUCAAGUUAAUAAACUUUCCAAUAGAUUUAAAUGAUAAAAUAAUAUUUUUUAAAUGAUGUAUCUACAGAAGUAACCAAAUACAAGUGAGAUUUUUAUAGAUAAAUAAUUUGCAAAGCUUUUCUAACAGUUUCAGGAAAGUUGGAGCAGCACAUCGAUUGGAUAAGGACAACAACACUACCACAAUCUGUACUAGACACUUGGGAAACUGAACUUUAUCCUCCGGUCAGUUGCCACACAUUUUUCUAGAAAAUUUUUUUGCAUUCUGGCCUCAAUUUAAUAAUUUCAGAUAGGAUUUUCAAAUACUUUAACAUUUUUGGAUACACUUUUAAAUGAUUUUUAUAAAAGUAUAAAAAAUAUAUAUAAAAUAAAUUCAUCGAUAUUAAAAAAAAUCAAUAAGUCAAAAUAUGUUUUAAAAUAUCAAAUAAUAUUAAAAGUUUAUGCACAAAUAUUACAGCAUUUCAAAAGCUUAUCCAAAAAUAUUAAAUCUAUAAAUCUUAUAUCUCGUAUGUUAGAUAUUGCAUAAAGCACCACUCGGCACCCCAAAAAGCUUUAUGGGUGAGGAGUAUUAGUACUAGUUUAAAACCAAUUUAUGAAAGUGCAGAUUUCUAUGAGAAAUCGGCAUUUUAUAAUUUAACUAGGAGACACCUCCCGGACUGUCAAUCAAACAACCAGGAAAGUUUGCAGCCACCUUCCACUAGCUCCCCUGAGCUUAUGGAAGUGGCAGGCACACUCCCGAUCUCAGACUACAUGUGCGCGCAUGUACGACCAGCGGGCACAUGCAACAGUGCACGGGUGUGGCCAUGGGCACCAAUUCAGAAGUUUCUCAAUGAGAAGUCUCUGAUUGGUUAUUUCCCUGUGAAGAUACUGAAUGUCUCUUCCAGGAAAAAUUUGAAUGGCUUGCUAAGGCUGCAGUUCAUAAGAUCUACAGCCUUUGCAAGCUCUCUUAAGAUGCAUGCAUUCAUUGGGGUAUAUCUACUAAACAGUGUUUGGGCAGUAGAGUGUUCCUUUAACCCCUUAAGGACUGAGCCACACGUUGUGAUCAAAACAAAACGUAAACAAAACCUGGAAUUUGACUAUGUGUCUGUUCAACCGUAAUUCAUCUCUUUCAUAUUAAGUGCACCCACACUAAUUAUCUAUCAUUUUAUUCAGGGGAAACAGGGCUUUCAUUUAACAUCAAAUAUUUAGCUAUGAAACAUAAUUUAAUAUGAAUUAAAAAAUAUAAAACAAAUGAAAUGUUAUUUUUUUAGUUCUACAUGACAUUUUAACUGUGAAUGUCAUAAUAAAAUACACAUUUGCAUUCAGCGAUGUCUCACAUGUAAAACAGUACCCUCUAUGUACAGGUUUUAUGAUGUUUUGGGAAGUUAAGGGGUCAAAUAUAGCAUGUUACAUUUUUCAGUUUUUUCACAAUGAUAUUCGCCAGAUUGGUGAAGUUGCCUUUGAGACCGUAUGGUAGCCCAGGAAUGAGAAUUAUCCCCAUGAUGGCAUACCAUUUGCAAAAGUAGACAACCCAAGGUAUUGUAAAUGGGGUAUGUCCAGUCUUUUUUAGUAGCCACUUGGUCACAAACACUGGCCAAAAGUUAGUGUUAAUCUUUGUUUGUGUGUGAAAAAUGCAAAAAACUAAUUUGAACGCCAAUUUUGGCCAGUGUUUGUGACUAAGUGGCUUUAGUGGCCCUAGGCAUUUAAAUUGUGUGCGGUGUGAGCAGAGUUAAAUACAGAAGGCCCAGGUAUGGAUACCUGAGGCUCCCUUCUAUCAGCUGCUGCCAUUUUAAGUGAUCCCAGACUAAUCGAUGAGCAGAAUUGUUAAUGGAAUUUACAGGGUCUCCCUGCCUGUCCCCAGGUAAUUGUCACAGAAUUACAAAAACAGCCAGUAGAUGGCAGUCACAGACCACUAACUACUGUUAUAAGUAGAAAACCUAUUUUCUAAUAUCAGAAUUGAUAUUAGCAGAGGGUUUCCUUAGGGUUAGGGUUGGUGUUAGUGGCGAAAUUUGGGUUAGGGUAGGGUUAGAUUUAUGGGUAUGGGAAGUGUAGGGUUAAAGUUAGAGUUAGGAUAUGGUUCUGGUUAGUUGCAGGGUUGGGGUUAGUUUCAGGGUAAGGUUAACAUUAUUGCUCUUUUAGAAUUAUGUAUGGAGUCAGUUUAAGGUUAAGAUUAGGGUAGGUAUAUGGAUUGGUUAGAGUUAAUGCAAGCAUUGGGUAAGGGGCAUGGUUGAUACAUCGUUGUAAUCUAAAUUAUUCAACUCCCAUUAAAAAUCAGGUUCAUUUUCAAAAUGUACAGACUUUCAGCUGUAUGCAAUGAACUAAAUAAACAACAGCAAUUAAAAUAGCUCAACACAAUGAAUGCUUCAAGUUGUUUCCCAAAAUUCAACUGAUAAGGCAACUUAUAAUGACGUCUCCAGUCUCAAAAUUAUUCAACCCCCGGAAUAGAAUCCUUCAGACAGACAUUUAAACAGACCAACAAACAGGUAUAUUUACAUUCUCAUUUCUAAUCCGUUCAUCAUAGUGCAUACAUAAUUGUGUUCUUCUCCUGUGAAAAGACUCCAAUGCUUGAGUUAUACAAGGAGCAACUACAAAUUGAAGGCCCACGGCUAGAACUUCAAGAGCAUAUUAACGGUAGUGAAGUCCAAAGUCUUCAGACACUUCCAAAUUGAGGUUGGUGUUUAUGCUACUGAAAUGUUUUAAGAAAGUGGACAUAUGGUAAAGCUCUGUAAGAGCCUCAGAUAUAACUGGGAAGAAAUAAAAUGCUGAAGCAGUGUUACCAGCAGUUAUGUUUGACAUCACAUCAGUACAAGACCUACUAUGAAUUCACUAUUAAUGAUCACCCUAUUUAAACUGGAGGAAAGAGGAUUAUCUUUAUAGACAGGGCUUGUCUUAGGCGUGUGCAAGCUGUGACUAAAAGAGGUAAAUGCUGUAGGCUGAGGGAGAAGCAGAAAGGAGUCUCUGCAUCCCUAACAACUAGACGAGAGAGAGAAAGAGAGAGCGAGAGAAAGAGAGAGGAGUGUGUGUCUGACUACCUGUAACUUUGUGUGAGGCUGCCUGUAGCUGUAUGUGACUAUGUUCCUGGGACUGUGUGCAUGCGGUUGUAUUUGACAGUGUAUAAUAUGUAUAACUGUGUGGAUCUGACUAUGGGACUGUGUGCAUGUGACUCUGCAAAGACACACAUCAUACAUGGGCCUACAUGUAUAUUGUAUCUGAAUUAAAUAUCUAUCACACACAGGCAAUAAAUCCAGCACAAAUAUCACACACAGUCAACACAUAAUAUACAUAUCACACACAGUCAUCAUGCCUAUCACACAUAGACAGCACACAUAUGACAUCAUAUUAUUAUGCAAUUUAUUACAGGGGAGCUACAUUACUUUUUUAUAGUUGUGGAGCUCUGUGAUACACUAAUAGACACAUCACUGGAAGUUUUAUUGUCGUGGAGCUCUGUGACAUACUCAUACACGGCGCAUUACUGUGAGUUUUAUUAUUGUGGAGUUCUGUGAUAAACUAAUACACACCACAUAGUACAGUGAGGGUUUAUUUUGUCGAGCUCUGCUAUAAAUAGAUACACCUAACAUUACAGUGAGUUUUUAUUCCAAGUAGGUCUAGGUAAUGAUGGAAAAUAUAUAAUUCAAAUGGAAUACGAUUCAUUGUUAUGUGACAGUGCACAUAAUACUUAGUCUGUGCUUCUAUAAUGCUUGGGAGGCAGUCUGGCAUCUCUGUCUGCACCUCUGUUGGCUGCAGACCAUAAGCAGUCUUCUGAGCUCUGGAUUACCAUAGCAAAGCUCUGACACUGUAAGUGCCAGAGCUCUGGAGACAGUUGCUCAUGGACUGCACCCAGCGGAGGCUCAGACCAGAUUCAGAGCACACUGGACCACAAGUGAUCAGCAUGCCUUCGCUGUGUUUUUUGAUUGUUUGUUUGCUUUACAUUGAUGAAGGAGUAUGAGAGGCGCUUUUGAAGAUUUUUCACAAUGGGCAUGUAAAGGCCGGCCCGAUUAUCAAUAUAAAAGGCAACUGUGAUAAAAAUGUAAACGGAGUCUUCACAAGCAAUGUAUAUUUUAUUUUAAUCUAAAAGUAAUCUAGUAACCAUUAUUACUUUUACAUAUGUCCUCUUUUAGAGAUAACAAUUGAUUUAUUAUGAUAUCCACAUUUAUACCUUUAUUUCCAACCCAGUAUUGGCUGUGACUAGUAUGCAUCUUCAGCCUUUGUCGUCUUUCUUUCCUCACUCACUCCCUUACGUUUUUAAUUAUUAUUAUAUUAUGUAUAUAUUUUACAGUAUAGUGAAAGGUUCAUUUUUGUGCCAUUUUAGUUUAUAUGAAUAGGUUUUCCUGAAUCGUGUGUAUGGAUAAGCUGAACUCAUGAAAUUCAGUCUGACAGAAUAUUUUUUUCUUCUGACUAAAUGAUUUGACCAAACCAAAUUUUACCAACAUGUACAAGUCUUUUCUUUACAUUAAAAGUUCCAUAACCACUACAUGCCACUAUACUGGCCAUUAGACUGCAAAUGCCACCCCAUUUUUUUGUCAGAACGUUUUCAGGUGGUUUAUGCAAAACUAAGGGCAUCCAAAGCACUUACAGCCUAACCAUAUGGUCCUGCUGUUUCAUGUCGGCAUUAGCUAUAUCAAUUAUGUUGCUAUUUUAAAGUAAUUCUGAGUGCAAGGUCGGUACUGCAUAAAGACCUUAGGGCACUCCAUCAGUGGCGCUUGGAGUGCACCCCAGCUGGUAUAUGCAGAGGGUGCUGUGUCCCUUCAUGGGCCAAUGGGAAGAUCAAAGAUCUCUCUGUCUUUCCAGUACAGCCACAGGGAGCAAAAUCAGGUUGUCUUCACCUCUGCUGGGUGUAAACCAUGUGUAAUAUUCCAGGACCUCCAGCUAUUUAGAGCAUUUACAUGGGUUACCACAGCAGCACUCUGGGAAUAACAGGGCCAGACCUAGUGGGAGCACUACACAAGGUCUGUACCAGGUAGAGCGGCAGAAGAUCUUACUAAUAGACCAUCAGGGAUCAACAUUCCCUCCUUCCCUUGCUCAAGGUAACAAGAGGGAAUAAACAUAAUUUUAAUUCUAAUAAUGAAAAAAUGAAAUUGCUCCAGCAAAUGAAAUUCCUAUCUUACACACACACACACACACACACACACACACACACACACAGUUCAUCCCCUAUUCCAUCCCACAUUACUUUUGCAAACACACACAAAGCAUCCCCUACAGACAAACUGCAUCUCCUACAAAUGCACACUGCAUCUCCUACACAGACUGCAUCUCAUACAUACAUACUAAACAUCCUCUAUAAAGACAGACACACACUACAUCCCCCAUACACUCUUACAUACUACAUCCCCUAAACACAAUCAGUGCAUCACAUACUAACACUGCAUCUCCUACACACAGUACACACACUACAAACACAGACACAUUGCAUCCCCUAUACAAACAUACACUGCAUCCUCUAUACACACAGGCACUAUACCCCCUAUUAUACAGACAUCCACUACAUCCCCUAUACACAUACACACCACAUACCCUGUAAACACACAUACACAUACUACAGCCCCUGUGCAUACACACACUAUUUCUCUUUCAAGCCCCCUAGACACACACUGUCUACAACCCAUAGCCACACUAAAAAAAUUACAAACACAGUCUUGCCUAUUUACACAUACACCACACGCAGCCUCCUCUGGACAUGUGCAAUCCCACAAGCAGCUUGGAUUUGCAGCUGUACUAAGUUACUUCUGUGAUGUUGCGUCCUUAUGUUAUGGUAACCCAGCACUUACAACCACAUAAAAUCAGAUACUUACUGUUAAUUUAGAAAAGUUUAAUGUAUUUAUUGAUAUUUAUGAACCACUUUAUUUGUAGUAUUGCAUAUGAUAUACAUUUAUACCUUAGUAUCCCCUUUUUGCAAUUUUCACUUUUAUUGAUAUUGCUUUGUUUAACCAUUAACUUAUAUCAAAAACAUGUUUAUUGAUAUUUUUGUUUUUAUUCAUUGAUUUAUUUUAAUUAUACAGCAUGCCUACAGUCUUUUAGUAUUUUAUUACCUGUUCAUGAAUAACUUGGGAUGUAAAGUCUAAAUAAUUCUGUUUGACCAUUUAUUUACUUUUUAAUGUUGUGUUAUUUUAUUCAGUUAUUUUAUAUUUCCCAAUAUAGAUUGUUAGUGUAUACAAUACAUAGCUGCAUCAGAGUAUGGCAGAGAAAGGACUAUAACAACUGAAAGAAAAAAAAGGGGUAAUUAAUAGACAUGAUUUUCAAAUUUUUUGCCUUCUAAUUCAUUGAUGCCCAGAAAGGUUCAGCCCUGACAUAAUGCCAUGUAUUUUAAUGGGAUGUAUGUCUGAGAGGUUUGAUCCAAAAUAAUUAUUCAGUGAAUCUUGGCUAUUGUGCUAUAAAUAAAUGAGUUAGAAUAUUAUACUUGGAUCUUGACUCUCCAUAAUGUAAUGUAAUUAUAAAGUAUCAUAUGUGUAUUUGAAUAAAAUAAAAGACCUUUGUGAGUUUUAAUGGCAUAAUAAUUGGCAACAUUUAAUUGUAUUUUUGUACAAAUUAGCUUUCUGAGUCCAUUUUAAUGAUCAUCAAAUGUAAGAAGUUUUUUGUCAUAGGCAUAUUAUCUUUUCCGUUCAGUAGGCUAUUGUUGUAGUAACCAAACUGUACAUAGUAACAUAUAAACAGAGGCAGCCAUUCAUAUUAUAAAAAGUCAUUAUUUAGUGAUGUUUUCUACUUUCUUUAACUCAUAGUAAGUGAGUGGAAAGUCAAAACCUGUAAAAGAAUGACUUUUAACAGUGUAUACGUAUUGGUUUUCACAAUUCAUAAUCCCUAAUAUUAAUUAGGUGCCCCACUAGAAUGACUCAAACACCUCUUUUCUUUAAAAGCUUUAACAUAACUUAGGUAACCACCCUGACAAGAUGACCAUAAAACAAUCUUAAGGAAUUUGUCUACUGAACAGAGUAUGUGGGAUCAUGCGAACUAUUAGUGUCUGCACAUUGAAGCACUAAUGGAAUGCUUUCAAACCCAUAUUUAACAGAGUAAUCCCUCCUACAUAUGUGGAUUAUUUCAGCAUUCUUGACAUUGUAUUUAAGAAGCCCACAAAUCGGCCUGUAAAGUCCAGAUAUUGGGCUAGAUUCUAUUAUAGUACCAUCUCAAUGUAAAACCCUUGAAAUAAAACAUUGCUAUUCUUCCGGAAUGUUAGUGUUUACUAAAGUAAAGAUUAACAUACCUGACAGCAACUGGAGAUGCAUCCUCUGCUAUUACUGAGCAAAAAAACAAACAUACAAAUUUUGGUAUUGAUCAAAUUCUGCCCCUGGAGCCGAAUUGUAUAGGCGCAGUGCAACAUUUUGCUCCUAGUCUUUCUAUAGGGAAACAUUGGAUUAGCUGAGAUCACCAACAUUGAUGAUCUCAGCCAAAGAGGCAGGACCAGUUGCAAAAGGAGCAGUGUGGAGAGGGCUGAAAGGUAAGCAAUACUCACCUUUCAAACCCUCACACAAGGGAGAGGGGAAUUCUAGAUAGGUAGGUAACUAAUCCUCAAUAAUUUUUCAUGGGGGAAGGGGUGGGGGGCAUAAUUGUAAUGACAUCCAUGCUUGGCCCCUUUUUGACAGUGUCAUAAAGGGGAAGGGCAUAGUCAUUAUCACAUAAAGCCAGGGUGACCAGAUUUUGGAAAUAAAAAAAAUAGGACACCCAUUGGGGGGGGGAGAGGGAGUGGGGUGGGCAGGAUAUGUAAAUAGCGUUUUCACAACUAUGGUGUCAGGAAUACAUGUUUGUAAUUCUGACAAAGUGUUCCUUUAAGAAAAUUAAAGGAACAUUCUGGUUACCAUAACAACUUCAUCUAAAUGAAAAUGCUAUGAUGCCAGGAGGCCCCUGGGCACUCUCUUUCCUUUAAGGGGUUAAACCACUCUCAUGGUUUAAACCCAAAGGCUUCCUCCUGCUCCAGAUCUCCAGGUUGCUCAGUAGUAUUCGGCUUCUGAAACGGAGUGUCAGGAAGUGCAGAUUGAUGUCAGGCAUGGGUGCCGCUGAUUGGCUAGAGUGGUCAGCUGAUGCUCUAAGCCAAUCGCUAGUUCUCGGUUCAUAAAAAUAUUUUAGUUUUUUAAGAAUGGGGAUCUAGUGAUUGGCUUAGAUUGCCAGCUGACCACUCUGCAGCACCCCUACCAGCGGCACUCUGUGCUUCCUGACACUUACUAAAUAAAAGUGAACACAUUAACACUGAUAUUUUUUUUUACCAGGGGAGAUGAGAAGGUCCAAAGUUUUCCUGCCAGGCCCAGGGAACAAAGCCUUGUGAUGUGGUGUCCAGAAUGAAGUGGAGGGAUCACUUCACUUGUCCUUCCUGCUCCAAUCUUCUUUUCUUCUCCUUCAUUUAACUCAGUCUUCUUUUUAUUCUGACACUGUCUUCUCUUCUCCUUGGCUACUUCUACUCCUUUACCUUUCAGCUUCUUUUGUGCCCUUCUGCUCCUUUCUCUUUCUGAUCCCUUUCUGCUACUUUUGCUCCCUUCUGCUCCUUAUGACCCUCCCUGCUACUUGCAUAGCUCAUUUCUGUUCCUUUCUGCAACUUCUCCUACUUUACCUUUGUGCUCCUUCUGCCCCUUUCAGCUCCAUGUUGACCCUUUCUGCUCCUUGCUGCCCUUUACAGCUCCUUGCUGACCCUUUCUGAGUCUUCUCCUACUUUACCAUUGUGCUCCUUCUGUCCCUUUCUGCUCCUUGCUGACCCUUCCUGCUUUUUGCUGACCCUGUCUGCUCCUUGCUACCCCUUUCUGCUCCUUCUCCUACUUUACCUUUGUGCAACUUCUGAUUCUUUCUGCUCCUUUACUUUUGUGCUCCUUCUGUCCCUUCUGACGUUUCUGCUCCUUGCUGACCCUUCUUAUUCCUUGCUGACCCUUUCUGCUCCUUCUCCUACGUUACCUUUGUGCUCCAUCUGAUUAUUUCUGCUAUUUUACCUUUGUGCUUCUUCUCCUCCUGGCUCAGUGCUGCACAAUAGGCAGCAGUGCCAUUCCGCAUCUCCACGUUCUGCAUGGGGACGCAGAAUUGUUCUCAUAGAGAACCAUUGAUUCAAAUGUGGGGUGGGGCCAGCGCCGGCAAACCCGUGCGGCUCUGGAAAUAAGGUGAGUUUUCUUAACUUUUAAGUGGGCUAAGGAGGGCAAGCCACCUAAAUGGUGGGUUUUGCACUAUAGGGUCAGGAAUACAUGUUUGUGUUCCUGGCCCUUUAGUGUUCCUUUAAUGUCCCUUCCUGCUCAUAUUUGCUCCUUCUCCUUUCUGCUCUUUCUUCUACUUACCUUCCUGCUCCUUUCUGACCCUUCCUGUAAGCUUCCCCCAUGCCUCACUUACCUGAACUGUAGGCUGCCCCCCCAUGCCUCACUUACCUGAUCUGUAGACUGCCCCCCUGCCAUGCCUCACUUACCUGAUAUGUAGGCUGGCCCCCUCAUGCCUCCCUUACCUGAUCUGUAGGCUGCCCCCCAUCCCUCACUUACCUGAUCUGUAGUCUGCCACCCCAUCCCUCCCAUACCUGAUCUGUAGUCUUCCCCCCAUCCCUCACUUACCUGAUAUGUAGGCUGCCCCACCAUCCCUCACUUACCUGAUCUGUAGUCUUCCCCCCAAUGCCUCACUUACCUGAUCUGUAGGCUACCCACCAUCCCUCACUUACCUGAUCUGUAGGCUGCACCCCAUCCCUCACUUACCUGGUCUGUAGGCUGACCCCCCCAUGCCUCACUUACCCGAUCUGUAGGCUGCCCCCAAUCCCUCACUUACCUGAUCUGUAGGCUGCCCCCAUGCCUCACUUACCUGUUCUAUAGUCUGCCCCCCAUUCCUCAUUUACCUGAUCUGUAGGCUGUCUCUCUUAUCCCUCACUUACCUGAUCUGAAGGCUGCCCCUCCAUCCCACACUCACCUAAUCUGUAGGCUGCCCCCAUCUCUCACUUACCUGAUUUUUAGGCUGCCCCCCCCCAUCCCUCACUUACCUGAUCUGUAGGCUGUCUCUGCAGUCUGGGAGUUACUGGCUGCAUGUGCUGCUCCCCUGCGGAUUCAGUCAUGAGAGAGAAGCAGGGAUAAGAUGUAGCUUCCUAUCCCUGCCUUUCUCCAUACACAGCCUACUGGUCGGCGCCGGUAUUGCAGUGUAUUCUCAAUCUCAAAAGAAAGAUAUCAACACCAGCUACAAAAUGAGGCGAGGGCAAGUGCCCCCCCCUUCCCACCCGGCGGACACCCAUGGUAACAGGACAUUAUAGUGUUAGGAAUACAUGUUUGUAUUCCUAAAUGCUAUAUUGUUACUGUAAGUUUACCUUUUAACAAGUAUUCCUUUCUUUAGGAUUACUGUCUGUUAUAUUGUGCUGUGCAUGCGAGAAUAUUAAAGUGUUCCUUUUUGGAUGUUAGUGUAAGCAUGACAGUAUAUUUUAGAUGGGCAUGUGUGUAAUAUGUAUGAGAGCUCAUUUAAGUGUAAGCUAAGUGUGAGCGAAUGUGUAUGCACAUGUCAUCUAAGUCAGGGGUCAAGUCCUGGGGAAAAAAAGUGUGGGAACUCACCCAAGAAUCCCACCCCUUAAAAAUUACACUCCUAUGCAUAUAGUGCAGUGCAGGUGUGUAUAAUGAAUGUAGUGUGUUUGUAGUGAGUGCAGAGUAUGAAUAAUAAUUGUAGUGUAUUUGUAGUGAGUGCAGAGUGUGUAUAAUGAAUGCAGUGUGUUUUUAGUGAGUGCAGAGUGUGUAUAAUGAAUGUAGUGUAUUUGUAGUGAAUGCAGUGUGUAUAAUAAAUGUAGUGUAUUUGUAGUGAGUGCAGUGUGUAUAAUGUAGUGUGUUUGUAGUGAGUGCAGUGUGUAUAGUGAAUGUAGUGUUUUUGUAGUGAGUGCAGAGUGUGUAUAAUGAAUGUAGUGUGUUUGUAGUAAGUGCAAAUUGUGUAUAAUGAAUUUAGUGUGUUUGUAGUGAGUGCAGAGUGUGUACAAUGAAUGCAGUGUAUGUAGUGUGUUUGUAGUGAAUGCAGAGUGUGUAUAGUGAAUGUAGUGUGUAGUGAGUGCAGAAUGUGUAUAAUGAAUGCAGAGUGUGUAUAGUGAAUGCAGAGGGUGUAUAGUGAAUGUAGUGUGUUUGUAGUGAGUUUAUAGUGAAUGUAGAUAGUUUGUAAUGAGUGAAGAGUGUGUAUAAUGAAUGCAGUGUGCGCUGGAUGAUGUGUGUGAGUGCGCUGGAUGAUGUGUGUGAGUGCGCUGGAUGACGUGUGUGUGAGUGCAGGAUGAUGUGUGUGUGUGAGUGCAGGAUGAUGUGUGUGUGUGAGUGCUGGAUGAUGUGUGUGUGUGAGUGCUGGAUGAUGUGUGUGUGUGUGUGAGUGCUGGAUGAUGAUGGGUGUGUGUGAGUGCUGGAUGAUGGGUGUGUGUGUGUGCUGGAUGAUGGGUGUGAGUGCUGGAUGAUGGGUGUGUGUGAGUGCUGGAUGAUGGGUGUGUGUGUGUGCUGGAUGAUGGGUGUGAGUGCUGGAUGAUGGGUGUGUGAGUGCUGGAUGAUGUGUGUGUGAGUACUGGAUGAUGGGUGUGUGAGUACUGGAUGAUGUGUGUGUGUGUGUGCUGGAUGAUGGGUGUGUGUGUGUGAGUGCUGGAUGAUGUGUGUGUGAGUGCUGGAUGAUGGGUGUGUGUGUGCUGGAUGAUGGGUGUGUGUGUGCUGGAUGAUGGGUGUGUGUGUGCUGGAUGAUGGGUGUGUGUGUGCUGGAUGAUGGGUGUGUGAGUGCUGGAUGAUGGGUGUGUGAGUGUUGAUGAUGUGUGUGUGAGUGCUGGAUGAUGUGUGUGGGAGUGCUGGAUGAUGGGUGUGUGAGUGCUGGAUGAUGGGUGUGUGAGUGCUGGAUGAUGGGUGUGUGAGUGAUGGAUGAUGGGUGUGUGAGUGAUAAUGUGUGUGUGUGUGCUGGAUGAUGGGUGUGUGUGCUGGAUGAUGGGUGUGUGUGUGCUGGAUGAUGUGUGUGUGUGUGCUGGAUGAUGGGUGUGUGUGUGCUGGAUGAUGGGUGUGUGUGUGCUGGAUGAUGGGUGUGUGUGUGCUGGAUGAUGGGUGUGUGUGUGCUGGAUGAUGGGUGUGUGUGUGCUGGAUGAUGGGUGUGUGUGUGCUGGAUGAUGGGUGUGUGUGUGCUGGAUGAUGGGUGUGUGAGUGCUGGAUGAUGGGUGUGUGUGUGCUGGAUGAUGGGUGUGUGAGUGCUGGAUGAUGGGUGUGUGUGUGCUGGAUGAUGGGUGUGUGUGUGCUGGAUGAUGGGUGUGUGUGUGUGCUGCUGGAUGAUGGGGGGGGAGCCUUUUUUUUUUAACUUUAUGUGUAUGUAUAUUUUUUAUUUUAUUCCCCCCUCCCUGCUUCUUACCUUGUCAGGGAGGGGGGAGAUCGCCUGGUGGUCCGGUGGAGGGAGCCAGCCGCUGCACACAGGGGCCAUCACACGCUGUGUUCCCUCUCCAGCUCUAACUCUCGCGAGACUCGCCUGUGCGGAGCGUUGCCAUGGUAACAGCCGCGGGUCUCGCAAGAGUUAUAGCUGGAGAGGGAACACAGCGUGUUAUGGCUCCUCUGUGCAGGUAGCAGGGCCGGUCCUGCAGGACAGGUAACGGGAACGGCGUUCCUGCUUUGGAAAAAGUGCAGGAACGCCGUUCCCAUGCGUUCCUGCAGGACUCGAGCCCUGAUCUAAGUGUGAGGUGCAAAGUCAUUGUAUGAAGGGGCAAAUAAAAUGUUAAAGGGACACUGUAGGCACUGUAUCUGCUUCAUCUCAUUAAACUGGUUAUAGUGUAUGGAGUCCCCUGGUGCCAUCAUUUCUUUCAGCAUUAAACAGUUUUUAAUGUUGUAAUGUUUUAAUGCUAAACAAGAGUCCACGGCAGUCCAUCCCCUCUGUGCUGCUUUGGCUAAUAAGGAAGUGUUACCCUGAGCAGCAAUGGGCAGCUGUGAUUGGCUGAGAGUGUCAGCUGACUGCUUUUAACCUGUCAGAGCUCCAACUGACGGUAUGAAUGGGUAUGACAACAAAGAAGUGUGUAAUCUCUGCCUUAGCUACACAUACAGAAGGGGCUGGACUGUGGGUGGCAAGGGACUCUUAUUUUGUGGCAUACUGCACAAACAUGGUGCAACACUGAAUGGAGGGACAGUGCCAGGGCACUCCAGGCACUAUAACCAAUUCAAAGAGACAAAGUGGUUAUAGUGACUACAGUGUCCCUUUAAGAACAUAAUGAAAGUUAAUUUUUUAAAGUCAUAGUAAAGUAUACUUUAGUUUAUAUUAUUAUUCAGAAAGUCCUUACAAAAUUAAUAUCUGUAAUAUUAUAGCCCCAAGGAAGCCACCUAGGAAAUUUAAUAUGCUAAAUUUCUCAAGGCAGAAGUGCCCCUUGAUUGUGUCAUUAAAGUUUAUCUUAACAUUAUUGAAACCCUAGGGCAAUAAAAGGUUAAAAGGAAACUAUAGUUAUCAAAACAACUUAGCUUAAUGAAGACGGUUUGGUGUAUACAUCAUGUCCUUGCAAUCUCAAUUCUCAAUUCUCUGUCGUUUGGGAGUUAAAUCACUUUUUUUUAUGAAGCCCUAGUCCCACCUUCCUGCAUGUGACUUUCCCAGCCAUCCUAAACACUUCCUGUUAAAAGUCCUCUAAUGUUUACACUUCCUUUAUUGCAAAGUUAUUUUUUUUUUAUAAUUUAUUAUCUCCUGUUGCGUUAAUAGCAAGUAAGUUCAAUUUACAGAGUAGGAGAUAAAAAAAUCUUUUAAAGUAAGAUAUAUCUGAUUUAAAGUUAAGCCAUUUUGUUUUCAUGCAGGCUGUGUCAGUUAUAGCCACAAAAGGUGUGGCUAAGGCUCAAUAAACAGAAACAAAAGUGAUUUAACUCCUAAAUGGCGGUGAAUUGAGCAGUGAAACUUCAGAAGCAUGAUCUAAACACACAACCUGCCUCAUUAAGUUAAAGUUUUGGUGACUAUAAUUGUGUUACUUUAAUUUAAAAUAACAUUAUAUUGACACUCAUAAUCUCUAUCACGUGUCUUAAUCUGCUUAAUCUGCAGAUGGUCCUAAAGAACACCGGUUCUGUCUCAUACCACAGCGUAAACCAAAAAAAAUGCCAAGUACAUGCCAACUUAGUAACCCACCUCCUGCGCAUGUUUAGAGUUAAAACAUCUAGUGGUAUGAAAAAAAUAUCUGGGAAAAAAAUCAAGGAAGGCUUAAUUCACUGGCAAGAACAGUAUAUUUUAUGGCCAGGCAGAUGUGCUGUAAUCAAAAUGUCAGUCUUGGCAGAAUUCUUAUAUUUAUUUAAAAGAACAAUGAAGGUUCAAAAGUGUCUCCCCACACAUGAAGGCAGUAAGUACACUUUAUUUCUAUCCAUAUAACUGUGUUAUGUAUGGUAUUGUGUGAUUUGUUGCAAUCCUGAUGAAAACCCAUGUAUGGGGCUGAUACGUUGAUGAUUCUUUUAAAUGAUGUAAAUUAAAAGUUAUAUUUUAUUAUACUCUACAAAAGACCUGAGAGUGCGGUCAUCCCUUGUUUAUAUAUAUAUAUAUAUAUAUAUAUAUAAUAUAUAUUUGUGUUCGAGAUAAUAGUGGAACGUAUGGUUGUAAUAUAAUGUAAUUUGAUAAGAACAAAGUCGGUUGAGGUGUGCCGAAACCGACGUGAGGAUAGACCUGUAAAAAACAGGGCACACCUGGAUAAAUUGAUAUGAAAUAAUAAAGGGGAGGGGAACUUUCGAAAUCGUCAAUGACAGGUAAGAAGGGGCUUCUGGGUUAAAUAGGAUCAAUAGCCCCUCCCACAAUUUCAGGCAUAGCCUUCCACUUGUGUACGGGAUAAUAGUGGAACGUGUGGUUGUAAUAUAAUGUAAGAACAAAGUCGGUUGAGGUGUGCCAAAACCAACGUUAGGUUAGACUUGUAAAAAUGAGGGCAAAAGUUAUGAAAAAUUAUUAGAUUUCUUUCGCAAGACAUUAUUUAGACAUUUCAUGGAAAGCAAGUCUGAUUUCCUUUUCUGGGUUUGGAAUGUACCUGUUGUAUGCAGAGGAUUUCCAUCGUCCCAUAUUCUUAAUGAUAUGUGAUGGGACGUGACUACUGGAAGCUGCAGUGGCUGCCCCAAUAUGGAAUGAUGGCCAGAGAAUGAAUGUGGAUUGUGGCCUAGCCUGAAUAAUAGUGUGUGUAUGUAUAGCAUGAAUUGUUUGGUGGUCAGAGGUUUCCCUUGAAGGGAUAAUUGUGGGUAUUUGGGGGUUUGUUGUAAACUGCUUCUUAAUUAAGUUAUCCAAUAUUAAUAUUGGACACCAUUUGGAAGAGUUAGGAUAAUACUUAAUUUCUCCUGGGGGGCCAGACUGGCUAGUUUUGGUAUGAGGGAUUGACAGUAUAUAAUGGUCGUCCACUUUUGCAAGGUGUUUUUGCUUAAGGCAUGACUUAAAGUCUGAUGUUUUUUUCCACUGAAAAUUCUUUGGGUCUCAAGAAACCGUAAAAUGCUAGAUAGGCCGCUGACUUGAUUACCAUAUUAGUGAGGCUGUCAAAAGGGUUGUUAUCUAAUAAAUCAGAGAUCUUCCUAAAUAUGUUACUAUCUAUUGGAAGUCUUUUAAGGGGAUUCUGAUGUGUUAGUCUCUGAAUAUCUCUCAAGACACAUUUGACUGGAUAUGAGGCUAAGAUUGGAGCUUUGUUUGGGUAAAUAGUUAACAUGUAAUGUUGUAUGCCUGUUAAGUAACGUUUGAUUGUAUUGUAUGCUAGUCUCAAAGAGAUGUGGCAAAAGGUUGUGAAUGCAACCAUGGUUUCUAUAGAAUUUUUUUUAUAUAUUAUAUUCACGCACAAACAUUUUAAACAAAUAAUAUGCUCUAGCGUAGGCUUUUUUUUUUGUAUUGAUUGACAAACCAGCUUGUGCUAAUGACCUACUGUGUUCUAACAGCGUAUUCAAAGCAUAAUUAGGUCUUUGUACUGUGGAGGUUCUUUGGGCUGAACGUUCGCUGUAGGAUGUAUUCUGAAAAACUCCUGUAAAUUAGAAUGUGACAGAGCGUCAGCUGCGUUGUUCAGAAUGCCUGGUACGUGGAUACAACAUACACAGAACUGUAGAUUUGCAGGUAACUAGGUAAGUUUCCUUACUAAGUUCAUUAUUGUAAGGGAUUGAGAGCUGCCUUUGUUGAUAAUGUUACAUGCUGCUAAGUUGUCUGAAAAGCACCUAACUGUUUUACCUUUCAAUUCCUUGCCCCAUAUGUGUGCUGCAGCUACUACUGGUAAUAUUUUGAACAGUGCUGAGGUCUUGUUGAAAUUUUCUAUAGAGGAGGUUUCUGGUGGCCAAGUGUCAUAUAUCCAGUCGUUGCCAAAAAUAGCAGUGUAACCUAUGGCUCCUGCCGCGUCAGUCCAAAUUACAGUGGAAUCGUCAGACAUGGGGGGAACGAAUAAGGACAUGCCAUUCCAGGAGGAUAAAAAGAGAUGCCACAUUCUUAGGUUGGCCCUAGCUAGUUCAUCUAAACUAGUUCUAGAAUCGUUCAUCUAAACUAGUUCUAGAAUGGUCGUCAGGGAGACCGUGUAGAAGAGAGAGUAUUCUCGAGAUGAGGAAUAAUCCUCAUGGCGAAGUUGAGUGAACCUAGAAGUGACUGUCAGGGCCUGCGCGUCCAUAAGGCGGCACAGGCGGCCGCCUUAGGGCGCACCAGCUCAGGGGGCGCAAAAUUCCAGUGACCGGCAGGAGGGAAGUGCUCCCUCCUGCCAGGUCACCUUCUGGAUCCCCUGCGCGGCGUGCGGCUGAAUUGGAUGCUGAGGUGGCGAGGGAGCUCUGAUCUCUCUGAUCUGCUCCCUCGCAGGCUGUUUACUGAUGACGUCAUAUUCCGGCUCCCGCGGCACCAGUAAACAGCCUGCGAGGGAGCAGAUCAGAGAGAUCAGAGCUCCCUCGCCACCUCGGCAUCCAAUUCAGUCGCACGCCUCCCAGCAGCCCCACUGGACCACCAAUGAGAGACCCACACCAGUUCUCCAGGUAGGGAGGCUGGGUGAGAAAUUUUUAUUUAAUUUAGAUUAUUAAUUACUGUGAGUGUGUGUGUGUGCAUGUGAGUAUGUGUGUCUGUCAGUGUGUGAGUGAGUGUGUCUGUCAGUGUGUGUGUGUGUGAGUGAGUGUGUCUGUCAGUGUGUGUGUGUGUGUGUGCAUGUGAAUAUGUGUGUGUGUGGUUCUGUCAGUGUAUAUGUGUGAGUGAGUGUGUCUGUCAGUGUGUGUGUGUGUGUGAGUGAGUGUGUCUGUGUCAGUAUGUGCGUGUGUGCAUGUGAGUAUGUGUGUCUGUCAGUGUCUGUGAGUUUGUGUGUGUGUGUGUGUCAGUGUGUGUUUGUCAAUGAGUCUGUCAGUGUUUGUGUGUCUGUCAGUGUGCGUGUGAGUGUCUGUCAAUGAAUGAGUGUGUCAGAUAAGUGAGUCUGGCUGUCAGAGAUGUCUGUGUGUUUGUCAUUGAGUGUGUGUGACUGUCAGUGUUUCUACACCCUUGACUGUAGCGUGGCCAAGCGGAGUGUACCGUGGUACAGGAACUUCUGUUUCCUGUACCUAGCAGGACUGACAGGAAAAGCUCACUGUACCGGGAUUCGCUCCACUCAGCCACGCUACAAGAAAGGUAGGAGGCACACCAGGAAGGGGAGGGGACCACUAUGGGGGUGGGUGGCGCACCAAGGGACAGGGAGAGGAGGAGAGAGAUACCCUAAGGUACAGAAAAAGGAGGGAGGGGGGGAGAGGAACACUAAGCGACAGGGAACAGAGGGGGGAGGGGAGAAGAACACUAAGGGACAGGGAAAGGAGGGGGGAAGGGAAAGGAACACUGAGGAACAGGGAAAGGAGGAGAGAGGGGAGAGGAACAGUAAGGGUCAGAGAAGAGAGGGGACCAUUAAGGGACAGGGAGAGGGGCUGGAUGUAAAAGAACACACAGCGGGGCUUGAGAAGGAAAGAGACACACAAAGGAGCUGGGAAGAAUAAAAGACACGAAGGGGCUGGGAGAAAAGGAGUCACACAAAGGGGCUGGGAGGAGUAAGACACAAAAUGUGGGAGGAUGUAAGAGUCAUACAAAGAGGAGAGAUAGGAGACACACAAAGGAAAAAAUAGGAGAUAAAAUACACUAAAGGGAGUCAGAUAUUUAAAAGACGGGAUAAGAAACACAAAAGGGAGGUUAAGAGGCACAUGGGCGAAUAUGUUUUUGGGGGGGCGCAAAAAUGCAUCUUUGCCUAUGUACCCAAAAUUCUUUGCACCGGCCCUGGUGACUGUAGUUCCUUCCUGGUGCAUGACCCCUGUGUAGUGCAGAUUUUAAUAUAUGUUAAAAUCCUAUCUUCCUUUUGCUGAGGCAGGCUAGCUGGCAUGGAAACUGAAUUUAACGUGAUACCCAGGAAUGUUAUCUCAGUGCUGGGACCUUCUGUUUUAUCUGGGGCUACCGGAACUCCCAGAUCUUCAAAUAGUGAAAGCAUGUGUUGUAGACUGCAUGGUGUGAAGUAGUGUGGUUCAAUGGAGAGAAAAUCGUCCAGAUAGUGAAUCACUACUGGACAUCUGCUUUUGUUAAGUAAGAGCUAAGUCAAGGUUUCUGCGAAAAUAUGGAAGAUUUUUGGGCUACUUUUGGAGCCAAAAGUUAGUCUAGUCGCCAAAUAAUAUUUAUUUUCCCACUUAACGCCAUGCAGAUGCCAGAGUGAUUGAUGAAUUGGUAAUAAUUGAAAUGUAUUUGUAAUGUCUGUUUUACUUAACCAAGCUGCCUUGCCGGAGUUAAUAAUAGCUUGUAUGGCAUUGUCUAUUUUUGCAUAUUGUAACGAGAAAUCCUCCGAUGGUAUUAGUGCAUUUAAGGUGUGGUAGAAGAGUGAGGUGCUGAGAAAUCGAUGAUGAGUCUCUUUUUAUUGUUACACUUUCCUGUAGCUAUGCCUAGAGGGUUCAUUCUCCGGUAAUGAAAGGCCCUAUCAUGAAACCAUUCUCAAUUUCUUUAUUGAGGAGUUCCUGCAGACUAAUAGGGUCUGUGAGUGCGGAUUGUAGGUUGGGGCAUUCUAGAAUACCUGUGGGGAGUGCAACAAAGCCAGUAUGAAACCCAUUGGAGAAACCAGUGGUGAGAAAGUCUACAAGAUUUGAAGAAGGAUAAUCAGUCAGGUAACGUUGCAAAUUGGGUACGUUUAUUGGGGUUAGAGAUUUUUUAGGAAACAAUUUGUCCGGACACAUUGUUUUGGCAUGUGCUCUGAAACAAAGUGAGCACACGUGAAGAAGUCUGCAAGCACUGUAACUACAUCCCCCUGCAUUGAAGUUAUUACACACUUGAGCUUUCCCGAGAAAAAUUAUAGGCCUGCCUAAUUUAUUUUCCAAUUCUCUUUGAGCCAUAUUGGGUUGAAACUCUGGGUUGGCAUUGCUAGUGGAAGGUAUCGCCAUGUUAUUUGGACAGAAAUUAACAGUAUGUGAAGCUGAGGAACAUAUUGCACCUGCUGGUGUUUUAAGACCCGCAAAAUGACAACAAAACAACUCUGUGUCUAACUGGCCCCAGUCAGUAGGAGUAUUGUAUUGGGCCAGUGACGCAUCAGAUCUUGCUGAGAAGAAUGCACAGCCUCCAUAUUUACAAGCUAAGUCUAUCAGCUUGUGUAGGUAUAAGUCCCAAUGGGAGUUGGCCUUGCGGGACAGCUCAACUAAAGGCAAAGAGGCCUAUAAAAAAUUAUUUGUAAUUGGCAAGGUUUUUUUCAUAAAAGGUUACUUCCUAUCUGGGUUUUUUUUUUUUUACAUACCUGCAAGUGGACUGGUAGGGCGUAUUUGGUAAGAUGACCCCCACUUGUUCCUAAAACAUGUCAUAAUGAAUGAGUUAUAACCUGAUACCCCCAAAGUAGUUGUAGAGAAAUGACGAAAUAAUAACUGUGAAAGAGAAACUAGAUACUAACCGACUUUAGCUAUUUAGAUAGAAUUGAGGGAGCUUGGACUUGUCCUUGGAAGCGUGGUAACUUGAAACUAUUUAUCGGGAAACAAACCAGUAUUUCUCUUAUUAAUAGCCCUGGUUAUAACAGAUGAAAUGACUGUAAGGAGGAGAGAAAAGACAAGAAAGAGAGGAAAAGGAAAAUAAAAUAAAGAGAGGGAGAGAGAAAAAAAAAAGGAGGGAAAGGGAGAUAGCAACCUAGAGGCCUACCUCUUUAAAUAAUUUCUGAAUUAGUUUUUUAAUGAUUGGAUCGCGGCAAACCAAUAUCUGUAAUUGUAAUAUAUUUUAAGGGAAGAAGAAAAUAACUUUUAAUCUAUUUAACUUGAACUGGCAUAAUUAGAGUUAACUCGACUAUUGCUUAAAUUUAUUAAAUCAGGCAUCUAACUGAACAAAUAAUAAUAAUACAAUAAAAGAAAACGUGAUCCAUUUAAGAAUAUGAGAGUAGAAUAUAUGCAACUGUUACAUAUUGUGGAAGCGAUAAAAUGUACGUGACUGGACUAACGUAGUGAAAAUGACAGAAACUAGGUUGGCUUAUAAUAGGAAGGAUAAAACGUAACCCUCUGAUGGGAAUGAAUUUAUGGUAGUUUAACUGACCUAAAUUGCAGCCAACAAUUGCCAAACUAUAAUGUGUGAAGGAAACAAAUUUAACUUUUAGGGAAUGAAUAGCAAGGGGUUUACUCGAACUGAGCCUUUUAUACAAAUUAAUACUGUGAUUUUGGGCACAAACGCAAUAGCCUAUUAUCAUGUGAAGUGUUUGUAUAUCAGUACAUGAGACCCAUAGCCUGUCGUUCAUCUGUUUCCCAUACGAAUUAAAAUUUUUCCGUAAUACAUGAAUGGAGCAGACUAAAACAUUAUUUAACCGACAGGGGUAAAAUACACGAAAUUUUAAACAAAAUUAAUUCGACUAACGAAAUGAUAUUGAGUGCGUUCGUGUAAGAAAAAACUACUUACAGUUAGCCCGUUCGUUUGCUGGCUGGGUUCGUUUUUUCUCAAUACACACGAAACUUUGCUCAAAAGCAAUUGGGCUAGUAGUUCGUACUGACUGCCGGCGGGCGGGAAAAUUACGUCAGGGUCCUGUGAACCAGAAGUAGAACAGUGGAACUUCCAAAAUCAUUGACGACAGGUAAGCAGGGGCUACUGGGUUUAAAUCGGACCAAUAGUCCCUCCCACAAUUUCAGGCAUAGCCUUCCACAUAUAUAUAUAUUAUAAAAUUCCUUUCAAAACUUAAUGACAGGAAUAUAAUAGUAAAAAUAGUUUUAAGGUGACAGUUGUCCUUUAAGUCAUAGUUUCUCAAUCCAUGGUAUGAAUACCCAGAGGCAAGCUCACACCACGCGCCCCCCAGAUGGCAGACGGCUGAUGGAGAAUGGAGGUGGUGAGGGAGCUGUUCUCUUCAUGAUCUUCCAGCUCUGUUCCCCCGCGUACCAUGUGCUGAUGCCCAGAGCUGGGUUAUGACAUCACAUCGGCCCUGGCAUCACUAAAAGCAUCCGAGAGAGCACUUUUGCAAGAGAACGCAUAUUUGACCCAGGGAAAGUUCACCUCUCCAAAAGGUAAGGAAUUUGGGUGGACUUAAAUAGAAAUAAUAAAAAACUAGUUAUUUGUGAGUGUGUGUGAGAGCAUGUGUAUGUGUCUGUCCGUUAGUGUGUGUCUGUUACUGUGUGUCAACUAUUUGAGAGCAUGUGUCAAAUCAGUGAGAGUUUGUCACCGAAUGUGUGCCUGUCAGUGUGCGUGAAAUCAGUGAAAGUGUGUCUGUUAGUGAGUGUGACUUGUUCCCCAUAUGGGAUUACCUUUCUCAAGGUAGGCGUACAUAGGGAUUAUUUUAGACCUCCAGGGAUAUUUCCCCAUAAAAGGUUGAGAAACACUGCUUUAAGUCUGUUCCAUGCCACUGACUGCUCUAUGAAGAUUUGCCUUUGUGGGUUAAUCCUUUUUUGUAGCAUCAUUCAAUUUGCAGGCAUGACUUCAAGCUAGAUAUCCACAUAGGAGAAAACCUGUUUGAUAGAGACCAUCUUGCAUCUUUUCAAUUUCUUAGUUAACCAAAACACAAAUUACUUAAAGUUAUUUAUCCGUGUGUAAGCCACCUUGAACAUCACUGUAUAUAACCAGGACGGACAGGGCCACCUAUUCCGUAGUCUAUUGAAAAUGCUUUUGUUACGGGCAAAUGCAAAUAUUACAAGUUUUAGAAUGAAAUGUUGUAUUUCUUAAACUGUGUACUUUGUCUUUAAGAGAUAUUGCAAACUGACAAGGUGUUAGAAAUGGAACAUAUUAUUUUUCAUAACUGUUUCUUUAAGCAAUAACCUCAGUGCAUAAUAUGUUUGCACCAUUUUGUCCCAGACGAAUUACAAUAACAAUAAUGCAUAAACAAGCUUCAAGGCUAUACUACGACUCUUGCAGUACACAAUAUACUGUGGUAACCCCAAGUUAAUGGAACUUCCCCAAAUCCGGAAUCUCCCGCGACUGUACACUUACGACUUAGUAUAAACAACAGAUAACCUAUUCAGACUUUAAGAUGCCAUCUUGAACUAAGUCAGGAAAAUUUACCCUUUAGUUAUGGCCUUGUAUGUUUGCCAAAUUAAGGGAGGACCUAAAUUGAAUAAAGUAAAAGAAGUGUUACUUUUUCAUAUUUGAACUACAUUAACCUAAAAUGGAGACACCUAAGGUAUAAAUAGGUGUACUUUUAAAUGUUAAGAUACAGAGGAGAGACUUGGAGACAGACGCUGCUCCAUCUUAAAAUGACAGAGAGGCUGACAUGAUGACAUGUUCAGAAGGGUAUGUUAACCUAUUAAUGAUAUUUGCAAGCAUGUAAUUUAAUCUUAUAAACUCUGCUAUAAUGGAUUUUAUAUUUUUAUAUAAUAAAUAUCCAAAAGACAAUCUUGCUUCCAAGACAAUCCUUAUUUUAUAUUGUAUUCUCAAUUAUUUAUAUAUGUUAAAUAGAGGAUCUCUUACACUAUAUAAAAUUAUGGCUAAGAUAUCUGUAUGGUUAGCCCUACUAAGUUCUAUGCUUUAAGACAUUAUAGUGGUAAAUAAGGGAACCACACACGGUUACAAUUGGCGACCACGAAGGGACUUUGUACUUGGAAGAUUUAAAUAUAAAAUAAAUACCUAGGUAACCUCUUAUACGUAAGAGAAGACACAAUACUUUGUCAUGGCACAAGUCUUGAAAUAUCAAGAAUCUAUUGAGCUACUUGUAGCCCAGACUCAGAGAGAGAUCAUUAGAGAUGAUUUUAAUGUGAACAAGGCACUGUGAGUUUAGGUGCCAGGUACAACGUAAUUAGCAUACAAUGCUGAAAUUGUGGAUCUUAACUAAUAUCAUAAUAGAACAAAUGCCUAAUACACCAGCAUAGCAUGGCCCGUUAGUUCCAGGACAGUGGAUUGCAGACAGGGGGAUAUGUUCUCUUUGUAGCUGCUUAGUAUGCAUGCGCAGGAAAAAGAUUAAUGCAAAAUGUUGUCAAAAGAAAAGUGAUAAGACAGAGCGAUGAAAUUUGAAGUCUAAUUCCAAGAAUGCAAAGAAAAAAUGCAUUAUGGCUUCAUGAAAACAUUCAUGCAACAGACAGACAGGAUUUUUAAUUAUUGCAUUACUGCAUUCUGGAUUCUAAUGUCCACUAUAUAAGAAAAGUUUUAUAAAACAGUGAUAUUUUCCAUAUUGUCAGUUAGGCUAGCUGUUGAUUGAAAAUCAGGAAUUAUAACAGCAUAACUAUUUUUGGAGUCUGGAAUUUCCAGCCAAGGUUGCAGAGAUACAGAGACAUGUAAACAUUCCAAGGAAUUGAGAAGUCGUUGUUUUAUAUUCCAAAUUAUGAACAACAUUAUUACAUACAGCCAUAAAGAGAAAGACAUGGCUUUUAAAUACAUUGAGUGCAGUACAAUGCAGUAUACUGCAGCAUAUAUGUUAUAUAAUAUAAGAUAACUAGCUUAUAUUUUUUCCUAAACAGAGUUGAAAUUAUACUACCCUUCUAGAAAAAAGGGCAACAGGUGGUUAUACAUCCUUUGCUUCUCUAAAUCCUCUGCAAAAAUAACUAUUUAUAAAAUAAUUACAAAUAAUAUAUAUGUAAGAUAAAUCAGGGCAAAAUAAAAUGGUAACUAGACAGGAUCUCUGAUAACUUUUAAACCGAAAUUAUUAAAGGCUUAUUUAAAUAAAAUGUUAAAUACAUUUACAGCUUUAACUGUGACCAAACGAUACUAAAUGAUGUGUUAAUUAGCCAGCCCAAUUCACUAGAAUAGCAUAAGUAUUCUACUAUUUAAAGUGCACAAUUCCUGCACAUAAUGACUUUGCUUACUCAGGUACAGUCUUUAGUCUAUUGCAAUGGCAGGAUUAAAGUCCACCAAUUUUAAAAGGGAAAGCUUACUUAAAUCAUUGGUACAAUCCCACCGUACUAGCUCUAAGGAAAUUAGAACAAUUAUAUUGUACUACUGACUGUAAUUCGAUCAGACACAUGUAAUCUCAGUGAAUUUCAUAAAAUAAGAUUAAAUAUCAAAGUUGUUUAUAUUUCAAUAUAUCAAUGUUGUUUAUAAAUAAAAGUAUGUAGACUAGGCAAUAACAGCAGUUACAUGCAUUCAGCAGCCUGCUCUCUCAGAGCCAGAAACGGAUUAAAAUAAAUAAAUAUAAAGAGUAGGUUUUAAAAAGUCCACAGUCAAGCACACAUGAAGGGUGAAAUAAUUGCUUCUUUAAAAGCUAUAUGCUGCUGCAAUUAUGUAUAUAAAUACUGAUUAGGGCACAGAGUAGAAAUAAAAAUACAGUUUCAAAUCUCAUAUAUGGGGAUUCAGUUCCACCACAUAUUCUACAAUUCUGAAAGAGGCUAAUUUUAAUAAUAUGUUGUAAGGGCAUUGUGAAUAUAUAUAAUGCAAAAUUAAUUUGAUAUUGCAAAGCCUGCAAUAUUCUAAACAGACAUUAAAAUUUAAGAAAAAAGAAAAAUAAUAAUGCAUAAAGAAUAAUGCAUAAAAAAAUGCAGUGUCAAUUAAAGUGAUAAUACUCUGAUAUAUUAAAUCACAUUGCAUAUCACAUAUCUGCUAUAUGAAAAGUAUAAUUAAAGUGACAUUACUGUCCAAAGCCCCCUCACAUCUAUUUUAUAGAAUCUAUACUUUUCAGUGGUCACCUCCAAAGAAGCCUCUGAAAUUGGGGGGCUCAGAGGGGUGCUCAUCCCAAAAGAAAUCAGAUUCCAGACUUAAAUUUUUUUUGAAAAAUAAAUAAAUGAUAGAAAAGGAAUCACGGGAACACCCAGAACAUGCAUUUUUGUAUAUAAUCUUAAUUUGCAGAUAUUUUAUGCCUUAAAGACAUAUAAAGGAUAUUUAAUUAAAUAUGCAGGUAUCUUUAAAAAUUAAGCAAAGUUAAAAAAUAAAUAAAUAAAAUAAAUAAUAAUAAAAAAAAAAAAAUUACACCACAAUAUAAACAGCUUUGUUAAACAGAUUUAAGUACAAGUACUUAUGUCAAGAAAUAUACAGAAUACGUUUACAACAGGCAGGUUUAGCAUAAAUGCAAAGUUGUUGUUUUUUGGGGAUUUAUUAUUGCCCAAGAAAUCUCUGAACAUAUUCAGAAUUUUUGAGAGCAGCAAGUAAGACAGCAGAUUGCAAUGGACACCAUUACAAUAUUGCUUUGCCGAUUGAGGUCAGAGGUUUAAAGAAUAAAUAAAUAAAUGUUCUAUAGCUCACUAGACCACUAGCUUUUAAUGAAUAGUUUGCACAACACUUAUAAAUAGUUUGUAAUACUGCACAUUAUAGCUGUGACAACAUAAUACACAGGGUAGCAAUGCUAUGUCACUGUUUAAUAGACUUACCCAGUAUUUAAGGACGACAUGUUUCUUGCAAAGUCAUCGGGUCUUUGAGGGAGGUUCUAACUACAUUUAAUUAAUUAAUUAACUUACUAAAGAAAAAAGAAAAAAAGAAGGUUUUGUUUUUCCCCUGCAAGUGAAUUUUCGGCGCAAGGUCAUUUUGUGUUCACAGACUAUUCGGUUUUAAAAAGCUGUUCUUUAUCUCCCAUUAUGAACGGCCUUGUAAUUCCUAUCCACACUAAAAGUUGGCUUUUAAAUGUUAUUGUUUUAACUUUAAUAUUUCAUAGUUAAUACAGAGGAUAAAGUAAUUUAAAGAAAGUAUAUUGAAACUAUAUUAAUUGAUAAGAUUUAAUUUAUCUAUUUUGGUCCACUGUUCACUGAUCUCGAGUCUCAGUCUGGUGUUCAAACAGUUUUUCUUACGAUACGUCGUGGGUUUAUAUCCACAACUGCGUUUUGCUUUGUGAUAACAAAUUGAAAGCCUGGCAUUGUAAUACGUGUAUGGACAUGCUUAUAACAAAGCAUGGUCCCUCUCCUCAUGUCGUUAACAGGCACUUUGAUGCAAUGUGUCUACCAACGCUUUUCUGUGGUCACUGGAUCACAUCGCAUACCCUAUCUCUCAGUCAUGAUGCAGAGUUUAUGCUUGCAAGGAUAUCCAGACCUUAUCCACCUGGUAUCCGCAUAAAUACUCCUAUCGUUUAGAGGGGUUAAUUACAUAAUAACCAUUGAAGGUAAUAUGUUGGUUGUUCUUCCUAUAGAGGAAAGAUGGACUUGCCCUAAAAGCUUUUUCAUGGCUAGGACAAGCUCUUAUAGAGAGAGGUAAUGUACUUUUGACUCCUGAAAAGGAAUAUUGGUGGUCACAAUAUGGGAAAUACUGUAAUUCAUGUGUUUAGUAAUCAUAAGCAUUUGCUUAUUGCCACAUUACUGAUGUAUUGUUUAUUGAAAUAUUAAUAUCCAACAUACUUUUGAAUUACUAUAUAUUGAAAGUCUGCCAACAUCUCAUGGUUAUAAAUAUGUUUUUGUAUGUGUUGAUGCAUGUACCAGGUUUACUUGGAUAUAUCCUGUGCGAAGUGCAACCUCUGAUGCCACGUUUUCUAGUCUCACUUCCUUAGUAUGCAUUUGAUAAUCCCAGGACCAUCCAUUUGGAUGGUGGUCCUGCAGUUACUGCAAAGGAAACCUAAAACUGGGCAACCACAUUUGGGUUAGUUUGGGAUUUCAGUGCCCCAACCACCCCCAAAGAUGUGGGGUUGUGGUCUGGGAGAAUGCUGAGGUUAAAUGAUUAUUAACCAAGUUACUAGUUGCUUGCCCCACACAGUGGUAUCUAUUUAUUCCUAUGGUACAGAUGAGCAUUCACAACAUACCUGAUGAUACAAAUGGUGAGACACCAUAUGAAAUGUUACAUGUUUUUCACUGACAAAUAUAUUUCUGCACCAGGGAGAGCUUAGAACCAUUGGUUCUAUUAGAGAAAUUUAGGGAAUUUUUUUUUUCCAGUCCACUUCGCCUUGCACCACCACCUAUUUCCUUCUGUUGGCCAGUUUGUCCUGGAGAGGGUGAUACCAAGAACUUUUACUACAGAGAACAAUCAGACCCAACAGAGAACAGUAAGUUUUGAUAUUUUACAACCUGCUAAAUAUUAAAAGGACAUUCACAGAACCACUGACUGACACAAUGGAUGCUGUUAAAGAUGGCAAGAUAAAACAAACAGAGGACGACAGAAAAGCCACCAGAAUCAUAGACAGACUGAAUCAUGAUCUGACAUCUGAACCUGCAAAUGUGAAGGAGAAGGAUGAACAGACAGACGUGAUACAUUCACAGUUAACAUGGAAUGAAUGAAAAAUGAAUCAUCAACAUCAUUAUAAGAAAGACUCUGGAGAAAACAGACUGAACCUGAAUUAUCUUGUACAGUAAGAAAGAAAUGCAAAGAUGGAAGCAAAAGGAUGCUAGAAAAUUGGUUAUGGUGUCUCCUUCUUACAAUCUGCAGUAUUAUCAUAACAUCAACCCUAGCUGUCGUUUUAAAACUGCAUUGGGAUUAUGUUAACAAGCAGGACUAUAUAACACACUAUACAAGUUCUUUGAUCGUGAGGACUACCUCCAAGAACUAUCUCAAAAGGAGAGACACAGCUCACAGUGAAAUGAUUGCUAAUGUGACCUACACUGGUAUUUCACAAGGAACCUAUUGAGAUCAUUCCAAAAAACGAUUAUACGUGAGAAAGAUGUGAUUGAACUAUUUCAAAUCCUAAUAAUGGACUCAACGAUGAUGGCAAAGCAUGCUGAAAACAGAAAAAGACGAGAUAGAUGCUUGUGAAAGACUUUGGAUGCACCUAUGAAGGUGAUUAAGAAAAGACUUUGCCGUAUAGUUUAUCAUUAAGUGACUACUGCAAACAGCCUUCUUAUGCUGAAAAGAAGUGCUAUGCUAAUUCUGGACAUUGUUAUUAUGUCUCCAGACAGAAGAUGACCGGAAAAAGAAAUAAAGGCUGAUAACUGUCAACACCCAGCUGUUUUUCAAGAUGGAACAUGGUACUGACAAAACCAGAUUGACUAUCAAAGCACCUCACAGUACAAGACACAGAUUGUUAACUACAACUCAGAAAAAGUGGUUGAUAGGAAGGAUCAGAAGAAGAGGAAUAUAGAUUUCCUACUAGAGAGAAAAACCAUCCUGGAACAAUAUUCUGUAACAUUGAACUUUACAAUGACAUUUGGUGGCAUAUGAAUUUGAAUUUGGAAGAAACACAUCAAUUAACGAAAGAAACCUUGAUGCAAUUAAUAAAUAAUAACAAUACCGGCCUACUAAGAGCAGAUGCCCUGCCAAGAGAAUGGAAUAUAAAAAGACCAGCAAAAUCUUUCAGAAACCUGACAUCAUGGGACACUUGUACUAAAGCACGAUUUGCAGCUUUUCUUAAACUUGUACAUACCUGCAAAGCAAGGACCUCCUGUAAACAUAAAGACAGAGACAUUGAUACAACAAGGAAUCUGUAAUGGUUCUGUUGCAGAUGUGAUCUACCGUCGUACUCCUUGCUCUUUUGGUAUAACUAUACCAAUGAAACGUUAAAUGGCUCCAUAGAAUCAAACGACAACGGAUUAUUGCUAUAUUCUGGACUUCCAGGAAUGUGGUGCAUGGACAGAAAAUUAUAAUUACUAAAGCAAUCAUGCUAUUUUUGUCCCUGUAUCAGAAAUGUGUCAGUGACGAUGUGUAAUAUAAUACAGAUACUAUAAUUAAUGGUAUAAAAUAAACACAUUAUGUGUUAAUUACAAAGGUGGAUAGACUUUGUGAAUAUCUGAAACGCAAUUGAAGAUUAUUGCUAAAAUGCCAUAUGCAGCUGCAGUCUGGCCUACAAACAAAUAUAUUAAACUUGCGUAUAAGAGCAUAACAGCUAAUUACCCAGAUGAAUAAUUGAAUCAUGAUAGUUAAAGAUCAUAUGAUUGCAAUAACAACUGCAAUAAUGAAUAAGGUUUAAACCUUAAAAGAAAAUGUGAAAUGUUUUUAUUAAAACAGAAACUACUCGAUAUUCGUUUAAGUUUGCAGAGUGGUAUAAUUAAUAUAAGUGAAAUACUUCAACAGUUAAAAACAGUUAAGACAGGCAGAAACUUUACUUCAACUAUCAUAAAGUUUAUUUAUAAUGAUAAAAAUAUUCAGUCUGCCAGAGCCAAGGCCAGUCAAUGGAAAGUAAAAGAGUAUUAGGGAUUAACCCAUCCAGGUGAUAUACAUGAUGAAUUUGGAAAUUGAUCAUUUAGGUCACCUAUUGCAAACUGGUGAAAAGAUGUCAAAGAUAUAAAUUCAACAUCCAUACCACUCUAUAUAUAUAUAUAUUAAAAUACACGUAAUCAAAUAUUUUAUCAGUUUUUUAAAUACAAAGAAAAUGUUAUUUGGUUUGUGAUGGUUAAAGGUACAUAAAACCACCUAUACAAAGGUAGUGUUAAAAUAUAAACACCUUCAAUAUUGUAUCGGAGUGCUUUCUUAACUCACUUUUAGAAAUAAUAAUACAUUCUAACCAUCUUAAGCUACACCCAACAGCCACUGAAAAAUAUACUUAAACAAUUAAGAUUCUCAUUGUUGAGCAUCCAAUCUCACGAAUGUAACUUUCCACAAUGGCUGUCAGAUCUUGGUUAAAAAAAUGGUUUGAAGACAAUUUUGGGGUGUUUCUGGUAUUUUAAGCCACUAAUAACUGUAGUUAUUAUAUUUACUAAUUAUAACUUAGGGAAUAAGUUGUCUUCUCCCUAACAGGACAAAGAAAGAUGAAUAAUGUCAUAUUUCCAAUUAGCAACUAUUUUAAAUAUAUUGAGAGAUUUUGAAUAAAGGAGUAUUUUUAACAUUUAAAGAGAAUGUAAUUUUACAUACCAUUGUGAACAAGGGCGGUAAAUACUUUGCUGCUUCAAAUUAUCCUUAUAUAUCUAAAUCAUAUACAGGGGUGUUUAUCUUUAAUACAAAACACUAGAAAGAUUAACUAUGUUACUAUUUCAUCUAUCAUUAUUAUACAAACUAUAACAAAUGUAAAGAUUUUUCCACAGAUUUUACCUGUUAACAUUUUUAGCACAACAGCACCUGAUGUCAGUGAGAUGUCUAUCACUGAGAUGUUACAAAGAUUCAAACACCGCAAAAAGAGGCGUUCUUGGGAAUCCACUUCAAUUGCUGUAUCAACAUAACAUUUACUAUAAUGGGAUCCAUGUCACUUAAGACAAUGUCUUGGAAAUUAUGUCAAUUAAUUGAUUCCGUAAAAGAAUAUCGGAGAGUAUCCAAUCUAUACACAUCAUAAACUGUUAAAAAAUGUUUCAUGGAAAAAACAAAAUAAAAGGCAAAGACAAAUACCAACACCAUCACCACGGUGAUAACAGAUGAUGCUGAUCAAUAUCUGCAAACAAUUCUAGCCAAAUAUUUGGAAGGCUGGACUCUACAACCUAUACUCUACAACAAAUACCCGGGUAUUCUACAAACACAACCUCCAGCAAUGUAUCUAAGGAAUGUAAACUUCUACAGGCCUUUAAAGACUUUGGAUUACAAAUACAAUUACUAUUUUUAACUUUGGAUUACAAUUCGUAUCCGGAUCCAUCCAAGUAUAUCUUACUCUGGAACUUGGUGUUCUUUUCAAUUCUUUCCCAGACAAAAGCUUUGCUCAUUUUAAUCAACCACCUUUACAGGCAAAGAUCACACUACGGAUAUUUUACUGUUACAACAAUGAUCAAAGAUGCUGGGAGCAUAAAAAACCUAAAGACAGUUGGAGAACUUUGGUUUACUAAUUUAAGGAAGAAAUGCGCUACAAUGCCCACAGUUUAAUGGAGAGGGUGUUACGGGCAAAUGCAAAUAUUACAAGUUUUAGAAUGAAAUGUUGUAUUUCUUAAACUGUGUACUUUGUCUUUAAGAGAUAUUGCAAACUGACAAGGUGUUAGAAAUGGAACAUAUUGUUUUUCAUAACUGUUUCUUUAAGCAAUAACCUCAGUGCAUAAUAUGUUUGCGCCAUUUUGUCCCAGACGAAUUACAAUAACAAUAAUGCAUAAACAAGCUUCAAGGCUAUACUACGACUCUUGCAGUACACAAUAUACUGUGGUAACCCCAAGUUAAUGGAACUUCCCCAAAUCCGGGAAUCUCCCACGACUGUACACUUACGACUUAGUAUAAACAACAGAUAACCUAUUCAGACUUUAAGAUGCCAUCUUGAACUAAGUCAGGAAAAUUUCCAUGACGUAUACACCCUUUAGUUAUGGCCUUGUAUGUUUGCCAAAUUAAGGGAGGUCCUAAAUUGAAUAAAGUAAAAGAAGUGUUACUUUUUCAUAUUUGAACUACAGUAACCUAAAAUGGAGACACCUAAGGUAUAAAUAGGUGUACUUUUAAAUGUUAAGAUACAGAGGAGAGACUUGGAGACAGACGCUGCUCCAUCUUAAAAUGACAGAGAGGCUGACAUGAUGACAUGUUCAGAAGGGUAUGUUAACCUAUUAAUGAUAUUUGCAAGCAUGUAAUUUAAUCUUAUAAACUCUGCUAUAAUGGAUUUUAUAUUUUUAUAUAAUAAAUAUCCAAAAGACAAUCUUGCUUCCAAGACAAUCCUUAUUUUAUAUUGUAUUCUCAAUUAUUUAUAUAUGUUAAAUAGAGGAUCUCUUACACUAUAUAAAAUUAUGGCUAAGAUAUCUGUAUGGUUAGCCCUACUAAGUUCUAUGCUUUAAGACAUUAUAGUGGUAAAUAAGGGAACCACACACGGUUACACUUUCCUAUGGACUGGCUGAAUGUGUGCGCGGCUCUUGCCGCGCAUGCGCAUUCAGCCGAUGACGGAAGAAGAGAGAGGAGAGUCCCAGCGCCGAGGGAGCCUGGUGCUGGAGAAAAGGUAAGGGGAUUAACCCCUUCCUCCCCCUUCAGCACCACGGGAGUGGGACCCUGAGGGUGGGGGCACCCUCAGGGCACUAUAGUGCCAGGAAAACAAGUAUGUUUUCCUGGCACUAUACCUUUAAGAUGCUAUAUAUGUUAUUAUUAUUAUUAUUAAUAUUAUAAGCUCCCUAUAACAAUGGAUCACAAGCCACACAAAUGUAAACUUCAUUGUGGCUACCAGACCAAGAUGGCUGCAAUACAAGAUAGACACAACUCAGAGAACUCAGAUGGCCUUGAAACAAAAGAUAGGUAUGAUCUCCCUACCACUCACCUACAUCACUCUACUUUUUAUGAUAGUGAUAAUAUAUAAUCUCCAAGUGGUAGUCUUAAAUAGAAACUCCAAUCAAAGUUUGACAGUAUUUUCCAGGCAUUGCAGAGAAAAUAUUAAAAAUGAACAGUUGCGGGCGGGGCUGACGGCCGAAGUGAGCGGCCGCAUGGCGUGAGAGCACCGGCGGCAUAUGAUCUCUAAGCCUGAUAACUCGAAGCAUACCGCUCGAAAACCGACACAAAUAAAGGUAUAUACCUACUACUGCUGUGAUGGCCCCUGCUAAACAAAUGAAGCUCACAGACCCAAUCCGCCAACAAAAAAAAGAGAGAUCCCGGUCCACCCAAGAUGGCGGCGAGGGACCCGCGCUUUCCCAAGCCUCAGACUCCACACAAGAACAGGAUAAUGAGGCAGGCACCUAUACAGACGCUCCAGUUACAGAGAGAAAGCUUUUCUCCAUGCUGCAGGACUUCAGGAUUACGCUGCAAAAAGACCUGAGACAGGCUACUAAUGAUAUUAAAAAGGAAAUCUCAGAAUUGGGGGAGAGAACCAAUAGCCUGGAAGCCAGACAAGACGAGCUAUGCUCGGCACAUGACACAUUGGCGACAGCUGUACAGCACCUAACUGAAGAACACAUGUCCCUCAAAAAGAAGAUGGCCGACAUGGAAGAUCACUCAAGGCGAAACAACGUCAGGUUCCGAGGAAUCCCGGAAUCCGUUACAAAUGACAACCUCGCAGAGAGCAUAAUGUCCAUAUGCAAAUCCCUGGUCCCAACAAUACCAGACUCAGAAUGGCUUAUGGACCGGGCGCACCGCCUACCAAGGCCCCAAAGGCUAACACCAGAUACGCCGCGAGACAUAGUCGUGCGUUUCCACUACUUCAAAACAAAGGAUGCAGUACUGGCGGCGGCUAGAAAAAGAACAAACCUGCCUACACCAUAUGAAAAUGUCCAGCUAUACGCAGAUCUCUCGGCCUUGACCAUGAGCAGGAGACGAGAGUUUAUAACAAUUACAAAAACACUGAGGAACAACAACAUUCAAUAUCGCUGGGGAUAUCCGACCAAGAUCAUUGUCUGGAGGAACGGAAGAUCACAUACAGCAAACGAACCGGAGGUGGGCAUGCGGCUUCUAAAGGAAUGGGGUCUCUUUCCGUUACGCUCACCAGAAAAAACGCCGGCAGAAUCGCCAAGCCGUCCACAGAGAGAAUGGCAGAUGGCGGGGUCACCCUCUCUACCCUAAAAGUCCACUGGGCCCUUCCAACUAAGACUGUGAUAGUGUCUCAUAGUGACUGUCCUGCUUGCUUUUUGCAAAACGAACUGACAAGGUGUUGUGAGUAUAAUGCAUAUGCACACAUGUCUAGACCUACAACACUACAGUGCUAGCAAUACCCAUUUGAGACAAAAUCAGGUGGAGAAGGGAGAAACCUAAGGUUUUCGGGGAUGAGUACAACUUGAGCCGGGGAUCAUCAGAACAAAGGGAAGUCCCAGACACCCACACAAACGGAUAGGCGGAUUAAAAGGGUAACAAGCAAAAGUUUAGAGUGAUAUAUAGCCUAAGGUACACUCCCAUACAUCCAAAGGGCCAGGUACUUUUAAUUCUCCGCCUCACAGGGGCAGAAUACGCUUGCGAGAAAGGCGGUUCACCUAGUCCUGACAGAGGUCGUAAAUUGCCGGUCUCUCUACGUCAGACGAACCCCUAGGACUUGAGAGCAGAGACGGGACUGUUUGCCCGGCUCACACUCAAUUCAAGUAAAGCGCUGAAAAAACGAAUGGCGCUAUGUACAUACUUCAUUUUGUUAUACCUUUUUUUGUUAAUGUUGUUUACCCCUCUCUUUCCCCGCCUCUGGGCAAUACUAAAGAUAGGUGCUGAACACAACCACUCGAAUACGUACGCACCAUAUAUGCAUCCUACAAAAGAAUUAGAAUGGCUAAUGCUAUGAAAAUUUUAACCCUGAAUGUGAAAGGCCUUAAUAGUCCCCACAAGCGUAGAAUGGCGGCACAGGAAAUGAUCAAGGCUAAAGCAGCAAUAGUAUGUUUGCAGGAAACACACUUUUGCGCCCGGAAACCACCGAAAUUCAAUGUUAAACACUAUAAUCAAUGCUACCACGCCUUAGCUCCGACUAAAUCCAGGGGAGUAGCCUUAUAUUUCCAUAACGACUGGGCGUUCGUCCUCUCCAAACAAUACGCCAGACGGGAUGGGAGGUUACUGAUCUUGGUGGGAUCGCUGAAUGGCCUAAAAAUUACCUUAGUCUCGCUAUAUGCACCGAAUGACUCGCAGAAAACCUUUUUAAACAUGACCUUCCGUAUAAUAGCACAAUACAGAGAGGGUCACACCAUAAUUUGCGGGGACUUUAAUUGCACUCCCGACCCCUCCCUAGACAUCAGAAGGGUUAACAAUGAAUCGCCAAAACCAGCCUCCUUGGCCUUAGGCCAACAUCUAAGCAAACUCAUGCACGAACACGAUUAUUAUGACACGUGGCGAAAUUUACACCCACAAGAGAGAGAUUUCACCUACUACUCGCCCGUUCAUAUGACACACACCAGAAUAGAUUUAUGUCUCCUUGACAUUAAAACGCUACCCUUUGCGCUCAGUGUACACAUUGGACCGAUCACGUGGUCCGAUCACGCUCCACAAAUUGUAACAAUACAGAUCCCAUACCCGGCUAGGGGACGAGGUACGUGGUGUCUCAACGAACGCCUUCUCGACAUCCCUGAAUAUCUUAGCCAGAUACGAGCCCAGGCAGAGGAUUACUUUAAGAACCACGAAAAAUGCCAGACGCCAAUAACAACCCAAUGGGUAGCCCACAAGUCAGUCUUAAGGGGUGGUAUAAUUCAAUUAGGGGCGAGGGCAAAAAAGCAACAUAACAACGAUAAAACACAAUUAGAACAAGAUUUAAUUGCAAAUGAAGAGGCACACAAACGGAAUCCCACAAGCAGCACACACGAAAAAGUAGCAGGAAUUAGAGCAAAACUGAACUCACUUCAGCUAAUAGAAACAGAAAAGAGAAUGCGGUCCCUUAAGCAAUCAUACUACACCAUGGGAAAUAAGGCGGGGAAGCUCCUGGCUAGAAAGGUCCAUCAAAUCAAACUACAAACAAAAAUUCCCUACAUUACCUCGGAACGAGGAGUAAAAUUAUAUAACCCCCAAGAUAUAGUCAACGAAUUAGCAAGGUAUUAUGAAUCCCUCUAUCAAUUAGUCAAUGAUCAUAGCACAUAUCAACCAAACAUAUCGGAAAUAGAGCGCUUCAUUGAACAAGUUGAGCUUCCAUGUCUGUCUCACGCACAAUGCUCCUCUCUGGAAGAACCCUUCUCAGAGGAAGAAAUAGAGAACGCCAUUAAGACCCUACCCAAACACAAAGCCCCUUGCCCAGAUGGCUUAUCAAACUAUUAUUACAUAAAACUAUCCCCACAACUGGUCACCCCCCUCACCAAACUCUUCAAUAACAUAAAAGACUCUGGGAUAAUGCCCAAGGAAAUGCUGGAAGCCUUCAUUGUAACGCUGCCCAAACCAAAUAAACCCCCCACCCACUGCGCUAAUUUACGCCCGAUUUCCCUUCUGAACGCAGACACAAAAUUGUAUGCCAAAUUGAUAGCAACGAGGCUCAAAACGAUACUCCCGGAUCUCAUUUCCACAGAACAAGCGGGUUUCGUACCAGGGAGACAGGUGGGGGACAACACACGACAUUUUAUGAACCUUAUAGAUUGGGCAAAUCUAACGUCUCAGUCCGGCCUGAUUUUGGCGCUGGACGCCGAAAAGGCUUUUGAUCGCCUCCAUUGGGACUACAUGUCACUGACACUAUCCAAAAUGGGGUUCACCCCAAAAAUCCUGGCAAGCAUUCUUGCCCUAUACCGACACCCAACAGCCAGAGUGUUCAGCACAGGCUUCGUAUCCAACCAAAUAGAGAUAAGGAAUGGCACAAGGCAGGGAUGCCCUCUCUCACCCCUCAUUUUCAUACUGAGCCUGGAACCCUUGAUUCGCCUCAUUAAAAGCGACUCGGCGAUACAGGGUCUCCAAACACCAGGUGGCACACAGAAACUGGCAUUAUUCGCAGACGAUGUUUUAGUGUUUAUAACACACCCAGAAUCCUCUCUACCACAACUCCUACAUAGACUCGACACAUAUAGGCAGGUAUCUUACUAUAGAAACAAUUCCCUGAAGACACAAGCACUGCCCAUAAAUCUGCCAAGUACCACUGUCACAACACUAAAAUCACAACACUCAUUCGAUUGGCGGAAGGACUCCCUACAAUACCUAGGGAUCAAACUCACGAAAACCACCCAAACCAUCACAAGGGAAAACCAUCACCCGUUCAUUCAGAAACUUAAACUCACACUAGAGAAAUGGGAGGGUCUUGAAGUGUCCUGGUUAGGCCGAAUCAAUCUUGUGAAAAUGAUGGCCUUGCCGCACAUUUUGUACCUGUUCAGAACCCUACCCAUCGCGCUACCGACCAAAUUACUAAAACUCUAUCAAAGCACCAUAAACGCACAUGUAUGGAAGCGGAAGCCCCCGAGAGUAGCAAAAGGUACUCUAGUGCUAUCAAGCACUGACGGGGGUCUGAAUAUGCCAGACAUUAAGGCUUACUACAGGGUGUCCGCUCUAGCACAGGGUCUCUGUCUAUUGCGCCCCACAUGCACACUCCGACGCCCUAUAUGGUUUGCAAUGGAGAGUGCCUGUCUGAAUACCCACGAUCUGUCAAGUUAUCUAUGGGCGGGAAGGCAAACGCGAGUGGCGACAGGAAAACAACUGCAGAGCACAAAGUUCUUACUGAUGGCCUGGAAUAAAUGGAGCCCACACAUAGCAGACUCCAAAUCGCUCUUCCACUCAGCACCCCUGACAUCAUUAGAAAUACUCUCCCCUGACCUGAAGAUGGAUCGAUGGAGGGAGGGAGGUGCACAUAGGGUUCGGGACAUCCUAGUAGGGGACAAGGUUAAGCUAUUUCCAGAGUUGCAAAAAGACCUACGCUUGCCAGCGAGGGAUAUCUUUCUAUAUCUCAGAGUAAAAAAUAUAGUACACUCGCAUAUCCGCAAACUCACCAGUCGCUCUUUCACACCCUGCCUAACAACGACACAGAUACUCACCACCAGGCAUGUAAAGCCACUGUUAGCGUGCUACAAAGCAUUGAUCACCGCGACAGCCCCUGAUAAGCAGCCAUACAUGACACAGUGGGAAAGGGACCUGGGUCUCCAGAUCCCCAGGGCAGACUGGAUGACAGCUUUGGAAGUAACAAAACGGGCUUCGCAAAGCCUUACGACCUGGGAAGCAUACUGCAAGGUUUUAAUGCGGUGGUAUCUGGUACCACAAAGACUAGCACACAUGUACCCGGGCACGUCCGGGAAAUGCUGGAGGUGCAACAUCAGUGAGGGAUCCAUAAUCCAUAUUUUCUGGGCCUGUCCCCUACUAACAGACUAUUGGGAAAAAGUUCACUUCCUCAUACUAGAUAAGACAGGAUUCAUCCUACCCAUGAAGCCAGAACACUACAUUCUCCACAUAAUACCCGGCAUUGCAUCCCACCCACACAGAAAGGUAAUUCUCAACAUACUCACGGUAGCAAAAAUAAUGUUGGCAGGUAGCUGGAAGAGUAAUUAAACACCAGCUGUACCCAAUAUCAUUAACAGAAUGGACCUGAUUAGUCAGUAUGAGAAAAUGGCAAGCAGAGCAAACGGCUGUAGUGAGAGAUAUGACAGAGAAUGGAGUAGCUGGCCGGCUGAGAGUUAACAGGUUGAUCAGGGGAAAUAGGGUCACACACAGGGUUACAUUCAACAAUGCACUACAAAUGCAAUAUCUAUUGUCCAGGGCACCCCCCCUUUCUCCCUCCCUUUUUCUUCUGUACCCCUUCCUUAUCCCCUAGUUAAAAGUUAUAUAACUAUUGCAAAGUUGCUAGUGUAUCAGAUGUGUAACACAAGCAGAUGUUCCUAUCCACACCGAACCGACACAUAAUACGAACGCAAGACAAAUCAUACUACACGAUACCAAUGCUCCUCGGUGCGGAUAACCCAAGGUCAUAUCAUCCUGGAUGAUAAAAAAAUAAAUCAGAUUUGCACGAGGAAUAUGCGGGGUAAACCUUUGUAACAUGGUAUCCACAGCUGCGCCUGUGAUUGGUUUGGCAUGUCAAAAUUGCACUGCGCUGCAAAAUGUUUGAUCCUUUAUGCACCAAUAAAAAAGAUAAAUGAGAAAAAAAAAAUGAACAGUUGCAAAAAUACCCAAAAUACUUGCAACGAACUUUACACUAACGAUCUCUGGUUCACUACAAAUCUACUCCUCAGCAGAGAACAAGCAAAUGAUAAUUUUUCUCAACAAUUGAAUUGUCUUAAUGCUUUCAUGUACUUUUCUGUGUGAUUUUUUUUCUAUAAAUCCCUGCCCAAUACAUGUUUGGGAUAUGUAGUUCAGCAUUUGUUAGUUUUUUCAUUAAUUGAAAAAGUAUGACUGAAACUACUUAUAAAUCUAAAAGCAUCUGAGGCAUGAGAUCCAUUAGUGUUUGUAUAAAUUUGUACAAUUGCAGUAGAUGCUUAAAAAAUUGAUACUUUUCUACUAAAUUUGAUUUUUUUUUAACUAUUUCUCAUCAAAUCUAAAAAUAUAUUAACUCUUAUAACAAAUAUGGAUUCAAUUAAAUAUUACAUAAAUCUAGAAAAAAAAAAAGUGUUUUGCAAAGUUAUACCUGUAUCAUGUUAUACGGAUAUAAUACAUACAUAACCUCUUCACUACCUGCAUCUGAUAUUAACUGGAAACUUUUGAAGACAGCUAGCAUUUCUAUGUAGGACUUUUGUCCACAAAAGUAAUAUUAUAUACAUUUGCAUAUUUUUAUAUUAUAUUUAUGUUAUAUUAUAUAAUCAUUACUGUUUGUCAUUUGUCUCUAGAUUUUAUAAUUCUGUGCUCACCAAAUGUUGGUGCAACCAAGUCUAGACACAUCCUGACUUGGGUUACACCCCUGCUAUCUUGCUCCAAUUUCUGCUAUUGUUUUCUCUGGAAGGUGAAUGUGGAAGAACACUUUUGGUGAAAAAUUCAUUUGUAGACUUAUGCAUUCAGUUUUGUCUAAAUUGCAGUUUGGAUGAAUUUGGAUGUUUGGAUGAAUUUGGAUGAAUAAGUGCAACAGACGAAUUCUCUAUCUCUCAAGGUCCAUGUGAAUGUAUAACUGGGCAAACGACAAGCAUGAUGGACGAGCAUGUUCGGAAUUCUGAGUUGUUAGAAUAGGCGGAUGGAAUGCAGAAGAAACUGAUUUAUUUUUUAGAGAAUGCAGAUAAGAAGUCUUGUUUGCCAUGAAUGACAAAACGUCUGCCCAAUUAUGUCGGUUACAUCUCCUAUCCAAUGAAGAGGUUGAAAAAAAAAGUUGAUAGAUAGUCACUAAAUGUUGAUUUGAUUCACAGAUCAAAUGAGAAGUGACUGAUCAAAAAAAGGAGGAGGAGUUCUAAAAACAUCUACUUUCAAGCAGGAGUUUACCCAUUUUCCACCUGUUUUCAAAUUAAAUGACUUCUGCUUGUACUCCUCCUUUUAAACAUGCUUUUUAUCGUAGUAGUUUUGCUCUACUCUGUUGACUCCUGAGCGUUGGCUAGGCCUUCUUAUAGGGCGCUGUUUUUUAUCACACUGGAAGAUGGUCACUUCCUUUCUCAGGAAAAAGUGAGUGGGUAUUGGGGCUAUUGAUGACCCACUCACCCCUUACAGCCUAAGAAGAGCAAAAUUUCCCCACAAACCCAGUCUGUAGAAUAAGUUAUAAUCCUUCAGUGUGAAAAAAGCAUUAUCUCCUAACUGCGUCUGUGGAGAUAGCAGGCACUGCAAUAUUUAGCGAGGCAUUUGAAGAAUAAGAAAGAAACAGAAGGAGCAAUUUUAACAAAAAAUAUUUUUUCAGAAAAUGCAAGGAAGUAAACGAGCAAUUGAUGACCAAGUCACCCGUUUCACCCUUUCAUUGUUUGAAAAAUCCCUUUUGCCAAAUUAAAUUAUUCUUGUUACUCCUUUAAUGAAAACAAAACUGAAGUAUGAUCACUCAUGCUCAUGUGUAGAAAAGCUUUGCUCUUGUCAGGGUGGAAGAGGUGAGUGGGUUGUCAAUUGCCUAUUAAAUAAAAAAAAAAAAAUUACUUCUACUGCAGCUACAUCCUAUUAGUAAUUUAUACAAGAUUGCAAGAGGAAAAAUAAUCAAUCAUUAUUAUAAAAGUACUCUCACUUCUUUUUUUUUUAAUAGCAAUAUAAUAUGACAAGCUGACAAAUCAGAAUUGGCAUUGCAAAUGCCUAACAUUGUCUAGCGGCUCUAGCCCAUAGGAUAGGCAAUAUUGUAGCCAUUUUUACAAUGCAGUACACUAAUAGGCACCUUUUUCCUGCCAAUUUUGGAUUGUCUGAAUCAUUUGCGUGGACAAUAUUUGGACAAGCCGAACCAACGCAUGAAUGAAUGUCGCAAACUAAAUUAAAUUUUCGGGAUAAGCGAUUCAGCCUGAAUUUUUUCCACCUUGCACAAGUCUAAUAAUUUGUAUGCUUGCCAUAUAUUAGAAACAUAAUCCUAUUAUUUUCACUCUAAUAUUGUUUAUUUAUUCUUUAUUUAACUUUUUUGUUUGUUUUUCUGCUCUGGAUUACUAUUUUUUUAAAGUUUAUUUAUUUAUUACAUUUUUUAUGUUUGUUUUUUUUAUCUAUACCAUUUUUUCUUUUUUUAAUUGCUCUGUUUUUGUCCUCAUUCUUCGGUUUAUUUCUUGCCAUUUCACUUUUUUCUUCCAUUUCUGUUUGCAUAUUUGUGCUAGAUUAAUUACCUUGUGUUUAAUCUAACUAAGCUUUCUUUUAUGUGAGAAUGACCAGAGCAGGUUCAGACAAGAGCCCAUUAUACUGAGGAGACCAUAUGUUUUUUUUCCUCUAUGCUAGAAUACAGGUCGAGGAUUAUACAACAUGUCUCUAUGAUUGAAUGGUAGCCAAGGAAUUUCUUGUAUACCUAUACUAACUAUUUUGACUACUGUGGUUGUAAUUAAUUAAUUAAUAUUAGUGUUUAUGUACCAUCAACAUAUUCUGCAGAGCUUUACAAUUAUAGCACAGCCCAGGCCUCAAGAUUUUUUAAAAUGUUAGAAUUUUUUAUUUGCUCAGUGGAGUCAUUAUAGACGAUAAUCUUUUGGUGGGAAAUGGGUUUAUUGUGGUGCAUGGAUCUAUUGGCUACAAAAUUACAUACAGUCUUGUAUUAUAAUUAGCUACUCGCCGACUGUAUGAAUUUAUCUGUUAUUAGAAACACAGAAUGUGACAGCACAUAAGAACCAUUCGGCCCAUCUAGUCUGCCCAAUUUUUUAAAUACUUUACUUAGUGCCUGUCCUUAUAUUAAGUCUAGGAUAGCCUUAUGCCUAUCCCACGCAUGCUUAAACUCCCUCACUGUAUAACCUCUACCACAUCAGAUGGAAGGCUAAUACAUGCGUCCACUACCCUCUCUGUAAAGUAAUACUUCCUGAAAUUAUUUUUAAACCUUUGCCCCUUUAAUUUAAGACUAUGUCCUUUUGUUGUUGUAGUUUUUCUUCUUUUAAAUAUAGUAUCCUCCUUUACUGUGUUGAUUCCCUUUAUGUAUUUAAAUGUUUCUAUCAUAUCCCCCCUGUCUCGUCUUUCCUCCAAGCUAUACAUGUUAAAUUCCUUUAACCUUUCCUUGUAAGUUUUAUCCUGCAAUACAUGAACCAGUUUAGCAGCCCUUCUCUGAACUCUCUCUAAAGUAUCAAUAUCGUUCUAGAGAUACGGUCUCCAGUACUGCAUACAAUCCUCCACGUGAGGUCUCACCAGUGUUCUGUACAAUGGCAUGACCACUUCUCUCUUUCUACUGCUAAUACCUCUCCCUAUACAACCAAGCAUUCUACUAGCUGCUCUAUUACAUUGUCUUCCUACCUUUAAGUCAUCUGAAAUAAUUACUCCAAAUCCCUUUCCUCAGAUGUUGAGGUUAGUAGGGUAUCAAAUAUUCUAUACUCUACACUUUUUUACUUCCAAGAUGCAUUAUCUUGCACUUAUCCACAUUAAAUGUCAGUUGCCACAGCUCUGACCAUUUUUCUACUUUACCCAAAUCAUUUGCCAUUUGGCUUAUCCCUUGUGGAACAUCAAUCCUGUUACAUAUCUUAGUAUCAUCAGCAAAAAGACAUACCUUACCAUCAAGACCUUCUGCAUUAUCACUAAUAAACAUAUUAAAGAGAAUGGGUCCAAGUACAGAUCCCUGAAGUACCCCACUGGUAAUUAGACUUUGUUUUGAAUUUACUCCAUUGACUACAACCCUCUGUUGCCUGUCAUUAAGGCAUUUAAAAUGCUAAUUUUUGAUGGGCAUGUGUAUCCAAGGGUUAUCCACAUUGCUUGCAUUUUUAUUCUAUUUCAUGUUUUAGUGCAAUUUAUUGUAAAGUUUAUCAAGUGCAUAAGUCAGGAGCGGAUCCAUGGAGGGCACCAACGCAAGUGCCCUUGUCAGAGACACCAGGCAGGGUGAGCAGAAGUGGGUACUUGAAUUGUAACUCUGCAGCAAGUGUAAGCUUUUUUUUUUUUUUUUACUUAUUGUGUGCACAGCUACAUUGCACAUUGUGCAGCCAGACUGCAAAGGAGUGAGAAUCCUGGCAGCUUGAAUGCUAUCAGGUCUCUUCACUUUUGUGUCUGAGCUGCAAAAGAGAGCAGGAAUAUACUUUAUGUUCUAUCACUGCUCCCUCAGGGCUGUCAUCAGGGCGCCCAUGCCCCACAUUCCCAUUGUGCACAUAUAUAUAGCGAUUGUCACUAUGUAUACUGUUGUAAUCAAAUGUAUUCAACACCCAUUGGAAAUCUGGUUUAUUGUCAACAUUUACAGACUUUCAGUUUUUUGCAAUGAACAAAUCAAACAAAAGCUAUUUAUAGAGCUCAACACAAUGAAUGCUUUGAAGUGGUUUCCCCAAAUUCAACUGAAAAUGCAACUUAUAAUGACUUCUCCAGUCUAAAAAGUAUUCAACCCCACUGAAUAGACUCCCUCACAACAGUACAAAUAUGCAAUACAGGUGAUGUCCUAAGCACAUCUGUUGCAAUUAAUCAAGGGCUUCAUUAGUUGCACCAGGUAUGCUUGAACUGGAACACUUAAAAUACAUGAACUGGCUGGGGUUUCUUGAGUGUCACGUUUGGAUGCAUGUUAUCUCCUUUGGCAAACAAGGAACAGGAUACAAAAAUAUAGCGAAGGUUGUGAAUGUUCCUAGAGACACCGUUGGAAGCAUAGUUUGCAAGUUCAAAGUUGAAGCAACAGUGGUUACACUACCUGGACAGGGCAGAAAAAAGGAGGUAUAAAUAGCUACAACCAGAUUUCUGAGAAGGCAGGUUGUGAAAAACCCUUGAGUGAUUGCAAAAGACCUGCAGCAAGACUUGGUGGCAACAGGCACUGAGGUUUCAGUGAGCAUAGUAAGGCAUGUACUAAAUGCAGAAGGUUUCCAUGUUGGAACUCCAAGACAUAGACCAUUAAUGACCCUAGUGGGCAAUAAAAGGUGGCUCCAAUAUGCUCAAGAUUAUAUAAAUAAGCCACAGAAGUUUUGGGAUUUUGUUCUGUGGAGCAAUGAAACAAAACUAGAACUUUUCAGCCCAAUGGAUCAGCAGUAUGUCUGGAGGAAGAGGUUGAAGCAUACACUGAAAAGAAAACUCUGCCUCAGGGCCAGAUUAAGAGUCCAUUGGGCCUGGUGCUGACAAUGAUGGGCCUAAUUAUAGAAUCAUAUCGACAAAAAAAACACUAUAACAGUCAUACUUCCCAAUCGUCAUGUAUCUGGUGGAGGUGAUGCUGGAAGCAAACUCACAAGAUAUCGCUUUAAGAAAACACAUACCCUAUGCCAAUGUCUCACAUUCAUCUUUCAAGUAAAUCCAUACACCCUUACAGCAGUUUCUGGUGAUGCAGGAUUUCGGUGUGUGGGGUAAAAGGGUGUUCCACUGACGUAACCAAAACUGCCCAGAAAGGCAAACAUGCCCCCAAAAAUCUUGAAGGAGUUAGAAGGUCAGCUUGGCGUGAAUACAUGGCAGGCUGCCUUCCAAUCAUGCAGGCUGGCCAACCAAAGGCAUACUAUGCAGACAGCACCCUGAGCUUGUCAUAAAUGUGUCUAAUGAUGCGCUCACUCCACGCUUUCUAAGGACUGUCUCCUAGCACUCACUUGUCCACUCCUCUCCUUACCCUUACAACAGGCAGAAGCUCCUUUUACACAGUCUAGGACAGAGAAAAGCUCUAUGUGGUGAAUUUUGAAACAAGGGAACAUGCCACACAGUUAGACUGAAGCAGAAAGAGCAUUUGCAUAGUAUGCAAAGUCAGCUUUACCUUAACUCAUUUCAUUGUCAGCCAGCCCACACAAGUUUUGUUUCCCUACAUCCACAUGUGAAAAGUAGUAAAAUUAUUUUUAGUUUUUUCUUUUUUUUUUUUUUUAGCAAUGGGCCUAUUUCAUGGGCAUGGGCCUAUUUCAUGAGCAUGGGCAUGGAGCUGCUGCCCCAUCAGCCCCUAUGUUAAGCCGGCCAUGCUCUGCCACUAUGUUUAAUGGUGGCUCGGUGAUGCGCCGGAGCUGCUUUGCAUCCUCUGGCACUGGAAACCUGCAGCAUGUGGUAGGCAAGAUGGAUUCAUUGAAGUAUCAGAAACUCCUAGGAGAAAACGUCAUGCUGUCAGUGAGGAAGCUGGAGCUUGGGCGUGAUUCGACCUUAGUCCUGAAAUCUUCUGCAGUAGCAAUCACAGUCAUCUGACUUGAACACUAUGGAAAAUCUCUGGUGUGAUCUGAAUAAGGAGGGUGCAGCAUGCAAACACAAGAAUAACACUAAACUGGAGGCCAUUGCUCAAUAGCAAUGGGCUAAGAUUCCUCAAGAACGCUGCCAGAAGCUGGUGUCUGGCUAUGUAUCACGUUUGUAGCAGGUCAGUACAGCAAAAUAUUUGUCUACUAUGUACUAAAGAUGCUUGCAUUGAAGGGGUUGAAUCAUUUUGAGACUGGAUAAUUCAUUAUAAGUUGCAUUUUCAGUUGAAUUUGGGCAAACCGCUUAAAGCAUUUGUUGUGUUGAAUAGGUGGUGCAUUAAGGGGGUCGGCAUUUGGCCACCCUCACUGUGUCUGGACACUUAUUUUUUUUUAUGUGACAUGUGACUCCAUAACGGAACCGCAUGCACACUAAAUUAGCAGGGGUGUCCCCCCUACACCGCGCUCUGCGAUGGAGCAUUGUGUGUCAUGUGACUAUCCUUCCCCUGCCAUGACAGGUAUAACAGCAGGGAGGUGGGCACCAAUCUGUGUGUGAGCAGAGCCAGCACUACCUUCACCUAGGGCACUGACUCCGUGUUGGCAGAAGCUGACUGUCGCUUGGAAAGGGGGCUGAAAUAUGGAUGGAAGGGAGAAGAGACAUGGAUGGAAGGGGUGGGAGAAGAGACAUGGAAGGAAGGAGGUAGAAGAGACAUAGUUGGAAGGGGAGGCAGAGAGACAUGGAAGAAAGGGGGGAUAUAUGGAAGAAGGGGAAGAGAGAGACAUGGAAGGAGGGGUGAGUGAGAAACAUGGAAGGAGGGUGAAGAGAGUCAUGGAAGGAGGGAGGAGAGAGAAAUGAAAGGAAGAGGGAGAGAAACAUGGAAGUAUAGUGCAGUCUGGUGAACUGGGUACAAUCAAGGACGUAUUAGCCGCGAGGCAAACAAGGCAUUUUUAAGGGGGCGGCAAAAAACGCUGCCCCCAAAGGCCCAGGGCAAAUGCCUAGUUAGCCUUGCGGCUAACUGACAUGCUGGGCUGGGCGGGCGGACAGCUGGCGAGGGAGCACUUCCUCUGAGCGGUCUGCUCAGCUCCCUCGCGCGCCGCAGAGUGAGGCUGGAAGCCGGAAUAUGACGUCAUAUUCCGUCUCCCAGCCUCACUCUGCGGCGCGCGAGGGAGCUGAGCAGACCACUCAGAGGAAGUGCUCCCUCGCCAGCCGCCCGCCCGCCCAGCAGCCAGCCCAUUAGCCCGACCGGCAGCCACUGGACCCCCAGGGAGAGAGAGGAACCCCCCAUCCCCCAGCAUUCCUCAAAGGUAUAUGGGGGGGGGUUAAAUAAAACAUUUUUAAAAAGUGUUAAUGUGAGUGAUUGUGUGUGUGUGUGUCUGACGGUGUGUUUGGGUCUGACUGUGUGUGUGUCUGACUGUGUGUGUGUGUUUGUGUCUGACUGUGUGUGUGUGUGUGUGUUUGUGUCUUACUGUGUAUGUGUGUGUGUGUGUAUGUCUGACUGUGUGUGUGUGUGUCUGACUGUGUGUGUCUGUCUGACUGUGUGUGUGUGUGUGUCUGACUGUGUGUGUGUGUCUGACUGUGUGUGUGUCUGACUGUUUGUGUGUGUGUGACUGUGUGUGUGUGUGUAUUUAGAAGGUGGGGCGGGGGGGAAGGCUUGGGUGGGGGUGGUGCGUGGUGCGUGGGGCGCCUGAGUUUUGUCCUGCCUAGGGCAGCACAAAACCAGGAUACACCACUGGGUACAAUAUCUAGUGCUGUGGGGCAAUCUGGUGCCCUCACAUUGUUUGUUAACUACAGGGUGAGUAAACAGAAUAUUAAAAUCCUUGUAAAUGCUUAUAAAAUAUAUUUUCCUUUAAAUAUGUGUUUCAUCUGGUUGCUCAUUUUAAUUUAAUACUACAAUACAUCUAGGACUGUUCUAUUUUUUUUAACUUGUAAUCUAUAUAGGAACCAGAAGAUGGCACUGUAAGUGACAGACUAAACCACUGUAAAUGCAAAAAUACAGAAUGAACUACAAGACUGAACGCAAAUACUGCAUGUGUAAGGGCAUUGCAAGAUAAGACAGCCCUAUGAGAUAAGCAUUUUGAAUAGACUUAUGAGGACAAUAAUAUUGGAAUUUAUUAAAAUGUGACUUAUUACUAUUGGCACAAGCUGACAUUUCUAAGGAAAAUCAAAAUAGUAGUUAUUAAAUUGCAAAGUUCAUUGUAAAACAAAGUUGUUUAAUUGUACAACGCUAUGGAAUUUGAUGGCGCUAUAUAUAAAAAAAUAAUACUAAUAAUUCAAAUAUUAUUUAUUUUUCUGAGGUUAAUGUUAAUGCAUAUUUAUAUGGAAAGGAAAGAAAAUACAAUAAAGAAAGUAGAUAACAUAAAUAAAAUUAUGUAUACAUGUAUACAUUCCUACUUUGGGAAGUACAAUAUAGAAAGAUGCUAUAUUAAAUCUGUGCUCCACUGAUCUCAGUUAAGUAAUCAAAGACUUUAAGGCAGCAAGUAAUUUUACUAUGAGUGGUGUGCUCUAUAAUCCUAGAGCAAGGGAGGGGGGCAGGUAAUAUGCCUAAUCAUACCAGCAUCAUGUUGGUAGCGAAGGCAGACAAACUGACCAACAUAAAAGAAAAUGGAAAUGAAUGGAAAUAAAAUAUAUUAUAGAAAAGAAAGAGAAAUAUAUGUUCAACAGGAAAACAUUAUGACACCAUAGAAGUGUGUUAACAAUCUGAUCCAGUCCAUCUCCUCUUGGAGAACUGGAAACACCCAAUCUCUUAUGCUGUACGAGGAGUGAAGGGAACUACCUGGGACAUGUCCCAGGAGUGACUGGGCCCAGCUGAAGUGUUGGUGGAUGGAGAGAGGUCUAGUGCAAGCAAGAAGGCAGCAGGUGAUGAGAGUGGCCAUGCUUGAAUGCCAUCAGUCCGCGGUAAGGCCCCUAUCUGUAAGUGAUGUUUGUGCAUCUUAGGGUGUUUGUGAUCUAUGUGAAGGACCUUCUCCAGUCCAGGGUAGAUCGGCAGAGAUGCUGUAAGAAUAGAAGCUGCAUCUCCUCGUAAUCUCUUAAACCGUCAUCCUAUCAUGAAAUAGGGGAAAGUGGACCAGGACAUCACGGGGGACCAACAGAUGGAACUUUAGCCAGCAAUUAGGCAGCUGCAAGCAGUUGUCAAUUUGUAUUCUUUUUUUUUUGGCAUAGGGUUGGAAGGCUUGCCAAUAGAAACCUGAUAAAGUGUUGCAAAUCCUGCCCUUCAGUAGUUUAGACCGUGCCGCAGAAUUUCAAGUUAUUGUGCAUUCGCUCAUCAUUUAGAGUAUCCAUUGUGACCUGUAUAGCCGGGUGGGAAACUGAUAGUUUUUUCAUCAUAUCCUUGGUGACUGUUUGCUUUUGGUCUUUAGCGAAGACCUCUUCCUCUGUCCUCUUAACUCUGGCAGUGAUCGCUGUAAGCUCUUCCCCUAUACUGACAGGUCAGCGUUAAAAAGUGCCCUGAUGUUUUCCAUUUGUGCUUUAAAGUUGCCAUUGUUGACUGGAGCCAUUUAAUCUUCCUCCGGCAGUGGAGCACAAAGGCCCCCUCUGCUUGGUAUUUUGUCUGGAGCAUCCAGUAUUUUAUCCUUGGGGAAGGAAAGGUAUGGAUCUGGCUGCGCUGCCAUUUUAGCUAUAGGCCACGAUUGGCAGCAGGUCGUCAAUGUCGCAUGAACCUUCCCCCGUCAGGACUUUGAGCUUCUUAGCCCUUUUCCCUAUGUCAACCCAAAGAAUCAAUAGCGGAUCUAUGUGGGUAUCUGCGGACGGAAAGGUAAUAAUUGUGGUGUAAAUCAGGUAAGCCGUGGGAGCUCGGCCGACAUGCGUCCAUUCUCGUCAAGUACCAAGCCUUGUUUUAAAGACAAAUAGAUCACAAAUGAAUUUUAAAAAAUAGGAGAAAGGAACUUUUGAGGUGACAUAGACACUUAAAGACUUAUCCUCCUCCUCCUCCCCAUUUUGGAUUUCCAUCUAAUUCUGGAUGUAUCUUAUUAACAAAUGUAUAAUAAGAUAUGCAGAUAAUCAAUGCAACUAACAACUAAAUCUUUUGCAUCAAAAUCAGUCGUAUGAAACUGGGACAAUUUUGUUCCAUCAAAUUACUGCAAGUUUGAAGACAAAUGUGCAUAUGAAGUCAGCAAUGAGGAUAAAGCAUUUCUAAUUACAUACCUGUAUAACUGGAAAUCUCUAUAUUCUAUAAGAUAUGGACAAUUAUUUUCACAUUAUAGCUUUGACUAUUUUUUAAUUGUGUGUGUCUAAUUUAAUAUUGUAUAUAACUAAAGGUAAAUAUGUAUUUUCGGGCAGAGCAUUAAUGAUAAUGAUUCUCUUUAGACAUGAAGUUGUCUGUAUAUUUAAAUAUAAUAUUUAAUGAGGAUACAAUUAAGUAAACCAUCUUGACAGAAUAAAAAAAUAACAAGUAUUGUAACAUUAAUUUUACACUAUGGGUGGUCCUCUGGUCUUAGUGGUCUGGUUGUUUUACGCAAAUUUGUAAAUGUACCUUACUUGGGUGUCUUCCAAGUAUAUCUGGCAGAGCACAUAAAACAUUAAAGAAAUAAAACAUGCUGUACUCUGAUAUCCUCUAGUGCAUAAAGCCUUGACCUAAAGAUAAAUUUAACUUAAAGCAUUCUUAUUAAUAGUAUACUCUUGCUAUAAAAGUAAUUAGAGCUUUAUGACUUUUACAUUUGUGCAGGACCUCACAUAAAAAUGAAAAAAUUGACCAUUAUCACAAUUUUUGGCUAGAAGAAGAAGUUCAGUUUUCUUUGGAAUGGUAAAGGGGUCCGAGGCAGAGAGGCAAACAAUGGUGGCAUGGACAAGUAGUCAAUGUUACAUUUUAGAACAUUUUAUAGGUAAAAGAAGCAGAUAGACGACAUUAUGAAUAGUGAUGUACCGAACGGUUCGCCGGCGAACGGUUCCUGGCGAACAUAGCAUGUUCGCGUUCGCCACGGCGGGCGAACAUAUGCGCGGUUCGACCCGCCCCCUAUUCGUCAUCAUUGAGUAAACUUUGACCCUGUACCUCACAGUCAGCAGACACAUUCCAGCCAAUUAGCAGCACAGCCUCCCUAGCAGACCCUCCCACCUACUGGACAGCAUCCAUUUUAGAUUCAUUCUCAAGCUGCAUGCUUAGUAAGAGGAGGGAAAGUGUAGCUGCUGUUCAUAAGAUAGGGAAAAGCAUAGCUAGGUUAGGGAUAAGGGUAUGCUUUUUUUUUAUUUUUUUUUCUAUGUAAUGUAAAUACAUAGUUGUCUGCCACUGCUGCCAGCACAGUAUUGUCCAGGCUCACGGUGCCAUUUUCCCCAGUCAGUGCCAUAGUACAUCACAAUUGUCACAAUAGCUUGGAUUUAAAAACAAAAAACUUUUUUCACUGUUAUAGAUUGAAUAGCAGUCAGUUGUCUGCCACUGCUGCCAGCAUCUGUGUCAGGCUCACAGUGGAUACUGUACCCAUUUCCCCAGUCAGUGCCACCACUUAUAUCUGGUGUCACAAUAGCUUGGAUUUAAAAACAAAAAACUUUUUNNNNNNNNNNNNNNNNNNNNNNNNNNNNNNNNNNNNNNNNNNNNNNNNNNNNNNNNNNNNNNNNNNNNNNNNNNNNNNNNNNNNNNNNNNNNNNNNNNNNCACACUGCACCCCUCACACACACACAUUCCACCACUGACAAACACAUAUUGCAAGCCUCAUACACACUACUGCGCCUUCUUCAUUCUACAGCCCUUCCCAAGAUUAGGUUCUGGAUUUGCGCUUGAACGGCAAGCAUUUCUGUCGAACAGGGGCCCAGUAUAUGCCAAACUCUAAUAAGUAUUUUUUAUUCCUCCAGACAUAUCAUUGAAUCAGUGGGUUAAAAGAAAUUGUCAGUUUUUUUCAUCGCUCCACAGAACAGAAUCCCAAAACUUCUGUGUCUUAUUUAUAUGAUUUUGAGCAUAUUGGAGGUGACUUUGCUUGUGCUUUUGGGUAAGUAGUGUUGUAUGUCUUGAAGUUAUGGCAUUGAAACCUUCUGUGUUUAGUACGCACCUUACUGUGCUCACCGAAAGCUCAGUUCCUGUUGCCACAAAGUCUUGCUGGGUUUUUCACUCAAGGGUUUUUCACAACCUGCCUUCUCAGAAAUCUGGUUGCAACCAUUCAUAGCUUCCUUUUCUGCCCCAGCCAGGUAUUGUAACCACUGUUCCUCCAACUUUGAACGUGUGAACUAUGCUUCAAACAGUGUCUCUAGGGAAUUCAGAGACUUCCCUAUCUUUUUAUAUCCUGUUUCUUGUUUGCGAAGGGUGGUGAUCUCUUCUCUUAACAUUUUGGACCAUUAUUUUGACUUAUUGAUAUUUGAUAUUUGAUUUGAUAUUUCUAACAUGCAGUCAAAUGUGACACUCAACAAACCCCUGGCUAGUUUAUGUAUUUUAAGUUUUCCAACUCAAGUACACCUGGUGCAACUAAUGAAGCCCUUGAUACGCUGCAUUAGGUGUUUUGCAUAUUUGUGCUGUUUUGAUGGAUUCAUGUUUGAAUGUUUGAAAAUGUUUGAAAAUAAACUUGAUUUUAAAUGGAGGUUGAAUAAUCUUGCUUACAACUAUAUUUGCUAUAUGUUUUUCUUUCAUUAUAUAUAAUGUUCUUGUCCUACCUUUUCCCCACAGUUAACUAGAUCACAACUUAAAACUAAAUAUAUAUUUAUUAGUAUAGCUUUUAGAUUUAAGAAAAUUAUUUUAUUUACCUCCCCUUCUCAUUUUUUUACACCAACGAUAUACCAAUUUUUAAAGUGAACUAAACAGUUACAUUUUUUCUCUAAACAUUAUUUUGUAUGUUUCCAUGUCCACUGUUUUGAAUUAUGUUCACUUAGAAAGAAAAAUCAAUGCCAGGGAGAAAAUAAAUGCUCAUAAGAAAUUCUGAGUUCCAUUUAGCAUGUGAUCCACUUCACUUCCUAUGUCUUGCAAACUCUGCCAAGCACACCUGUCAUAUAUGUUGUAUCAACAAAAUUCUAAACUGCAGAUUGGCUGGAUUACUACAAAAACUUGUUACUGACCAAAAAUCAACAACUCCGUGCUAACAGCAUGAACAGCUAAAUAAACACUACUUACAUUUUAAUUGCAGAUCACUAAGAGAAUAUUGAAGCAGUCUUAAAUUACAUUAAUCCUCUCAUAAAAAUAUGUGUCUGGUGAGGAAAACAACAUUUUGAACAAGGCACUAGCUAAAUGUAAAUAUACCACCAUAUAACUAUACUACAUGAAUAUUUAAUAAUUGUGUAUCUCACAGUAGGGGAGAGGGAAUCAGUGAUAACAUGCCCUCUAUCUUUAAGGUCAGCAUGUUUUAUUGUUAAAAAGAGGCUAUUGACAAUAGAAAUACAAUUGUUAAGGUUUUUUUAUUUUUUUUUAUUUUAUGUUUUCAGUUUCUUACCAGUUAAACACAAGAUUCAUUUGUUUUUAAAAUAUAUUGCUAUCCUGCAAUAUAUGCAGGCCUGGCGCUUCCUAUAGACCAAAUAGGCGGCCACCAAGGGCGCAUCUUAAGUGGGGGCACCUGAAGUGGCUUUGGGCCACCCUUCUAUCAUGUUGGACAUAUUAUAUUUUGCCCUUCAGCGACCAUGGCUCCAGGUGCUAGGGAGCACUUACAUGGCUGCAGACUAACACCCAGUACUCGCCAGCUUCCACCUAAGAGUUUACUUGGAACUAGGCUGCCCUCCCAGACAACCAUUGCGGCAGCGCAAGAUCACAUCAUUCACUCGCUCCCGCUCUUUGUAUUUAAGGCCAAGUGGGCGAAAGGAGACAGAGACUGAAUACAGCCAGGCAGCUUCAAGACGGAUCAUUCCUGAAACACAAACUGCAAACGGAUGAAUUAAAUUAGGUAAGAAGGUUAACUGGACCUCGCAAUGUGUGUCAGUCUGCUUCAGUCAUUAUGUUUGUGUAUGUCAGUCUGCUUAGGUCAGUGUGUGUCUGCAUGGAUCAGUGUGGGUGUAUAUGUGUGUGCGUCUGCAUAGGUCAAUAUGUGUGUGUAUGUGUGUGACUGUAUGGAUCAGUGUGUGUGUGUGUGUCAGUCUAUUUGGGUCAGUGUGUGUGUGUGUGUGUGUGUAUAUAUAUGUGUGUGUCUGUAUGGGUCAAUGUAUGUGUGCAUGUGUAUGUCUACUUGGGUCAGCGUGUGUGUAUAUGUUGUUAUGGAUGUUAUGUUUGGUUUACAUGCAACUAACUCUGGUUUAUUUUCUAUCCAACAAGCUACUUGAACUCUCUGUGAUACAAGGUGUACCAGAAAAGUUACGACUUAAGAGGAAAGUGUUCAAGGCAAGAUAUGACUUAUAUGCUAGGGAUUUACCUGAACUGAAUAUUGGGAAACAAAUCCGUAUGAAACCGCUUCCUGGAGAUCGAACAGGUCACUGGAGAAUGGGAACCUGUCUGCAAAAGGUUGCACCAUGCUCCAAUCUUGUGGAUAUCGUAGGAACUCUCUACCAACGCAAUCAUGUGGAUCUGCGAGUGGUCGAGAAUCCCGAUUCUCAAUAUCCUGUUGACAAGCCAGACACACCUGGUAUUUCAAGGACACACUCACAUGUCGGCAGUAAAUAGUGUACAGAAGUGAUAGCACAGACUAGUACUAAUGAGAGCCCUGAGCAAGCAGGACCUGACAGCAGUCAAGUUCAAAGCAUGCCAGUAAGUGGUGGGAAGAGUCUGGUAACCUCAGGGAGGGCUAAAAAACUAUUUGCAUAACCUGGACCAGCCUUCACUCGUAGUGGCAGACAUUCACAACCACCUGAGAGACUUAACCUCUAGAAUGUUAUUACAAGGACAGUGAUUUGAACUUCAAAUUUCACAAUGUUGAUUUAUUAAUACUAAAAGAGGGUGAUGUUAUGGAUGUUAUGUUUGGUUUACAUGCAACUAACUCUAUUUAUGGUUUAUUUUCUAUUGCACAUGUUUCCUGUUGGGGUGUGUACUCCUGAAACAUGCUGCUAUACACUAAUACCUUGCAGUGUCUUUAGUUAUAUCUCCUGAAACAUAUGUGUGUGUCUGUAUAGGUUAGAGUGUGUGCAGUGGCGUACACACAAACCAUGGGACCCCGGUGCGAAAAUGAUCCGUGGGCCCCCCUCUCCCUACUCCUCCCCGACAGACACACACAUACAUAGAGACAGACACAUACAGACACAUACAUACAAACAGACAGGCACACACACAUACAGACAGACACACACAGACACAUACAUGCACACAUACAGACACACACACACACACAGACAGGCACACAUACAGACACAUACAGACACACACAAGACACACAUACAUACAAAGACACAAAAAAAAGACAGGCACACAUACACACAGGCAGACACAUACAGACAGACAGACACACACACAGAGACAGACACACACAUAGAAACAGACAGACACACACAAGACGCACAUUCAUACAUACAAACAGACAAGCACACACACAUACAGACAUACACAGACAGGCACACACACACACACACACACACACACACACAUAAAUACAAAGGCAUACAUACAAACAGGCAGACACACACACAUACAGACAGGCACACACAUACAUACAGACAGAUACACAUACAUACAUACAUACAAACACAAACAGAAUGUUUAAGUCAUCCUCCUGUUUCCUACCUUUAAGGUGCAGGAGGGUGACUUUCCCUGGGGUCCAGUGGUGGCUCAGGUGGAUGGGAGUCAGAGUUCCCUCUGCUUCCUCCCAUGCGGCUCUCAGUGUUAGCUGGGAGGAGUGAUGUGAUGUCAUCACAAGGGGCCCGGUCAGCGCUGGACGCUUUAACAGUGUGACCGGGCCCCCUGGAAAUCCAUAUCCAUCGGGUGCCCGUGACAGCAUGGGCCACCCGAUGGACCCCUUGGACGGCGGCCCCAGCGGUUUGCAGUGUGGGCCGGGGCCGCAGAAGAUGAUGGCGGCGGAUACCUGGUCACAGAGGUCCGCAAGGUGGCCGUGCCCUCUGGAGUGGCGGGCCCCGCGGUAUGUACGCAGCCGAGUGUGUGUAUGCAUGUGUCUGAAUGGGUCAGUGUGUGUCUGUAUGGGUCAGAGUGUGUGUAUGCAUGUGUAUGCAUAGGUCAGUGUGUGCAUAUGUGUCUGCCUGGGUCAGUGUUUGUGUGUAUGUGUGUGUCUACAUGGGUCAGUGAGUUUGUGUAUGUGUGUGUCUGCAUGGGUCAGUGUGUAUGUGUCUGUGGGUGUCUGCAUGGGUCAGUGUGUGUUUAUGUGGGUGUCUGUAUGGGUCAGUGUAUUUCUGCAUUGGUCAGUGUGUGUAUUCAUGGGCCAGUGUGUGUGUAUGUGUAUGUCUGUAUGGAUCAAUGUGGGUUUAUGUGUGUGCCUGCUUGGAUUAGUGUGUCAGCUUACACAAGUCAGUGUGUGUGUAUCUGCAUGGGUCAGGGUAUGUGUACUUGAGUCAGGGGAGCCCGAAAUCCUUGCACCGGCCCUGGAUAUAUGAUAAUGUUAACAAUGCUGUAAUAGUACAUUAUUAUUUCUUGUUUAACCCCUUAAGGACCGAGUACGGUUCAGGACUGUCGUCGGCAUUUUUACAUUGCCGACCGCUGACGGUCCUGAACCAUCCUAACGGUCUUAGUUACUUACCCGAUCGCCGUCGUUCCCCCGGCAGCGAUCAGCGGUGCUCCCGGUGUGGGGAGACUGCCUCCAGCCCAGACAGUCUCCCCGCGGCGGAUUAGGACCCCUGUGGCCAUGUGAUCGCUCAACACAGCAAUCACAUGGUCACAAUAGGUGUCCAUGUGUCUGCCUGCAGGGGGACUGCCUGUGCUGACAGGCAGUCUCCCUGCUAGUGUAAAAUCAUUAAAAAAAAUAAAGUUAAUGUUAAUAAAAAAAUAUAUAUAUCAUAUAUCUAAUGUCAUACUAAGUGUAUUUUUAUAUUAGUAUGUACAUAUAUUAUUAUAAAAAUACACUAAUAAUCAAAUUACACACAUAUAUAUAUAUAUAUAUAAUAUAUAUAAUAACUAUAUAUAUUGUAUAUAUAUAUAUAUAUUAUUAUAAAAUACAAAUAAUAAGUAGAUUAAAUUAAAUUAAAAAAAUUAAAAUAGUAAUAAAAAUUAAAAAAAUUAUAUAUCUAUAUGAAAUUGUAUUCUAACUAUAUUUUGAUAUUAAUAUAUAUAUAUUUAUAUCAAAAUACACUUAAAAUGAAAUUAUAUAUAUAUCUAUGUAUAUAUAAAUAAAUAAAAAUGAUACGAAAUAUACAUAUGUCCAUUUACAAAAUUACAUAAAUAAUUAUAUAAAUAUACACGUAGACUUCAAAUAUAUAAAUAUGCAUAUAUAUUUAAAUUUUACGUGCGUAUUUAUGUAAUAUUUUUACAUAAUUAAGUAAUUUUAUUGAUUGCAAUUUGAGGGACCUGCCUGCCAAUCCAGGCCGAAAGUCCAGAGAAUUUAAUUUGCUAGCACUGUAUUUUACCCUGUAACCUUCUAAGACACCCUAAAACCUGUACAUGGGGGGUACUGUUUUACUCGGGAGACUUCGCUGAACACAAAUAUUAGUGAUUCAAAACAGUAAAACAUAUCACAGCAAUGAUAUUGUCAGUGAAAGUGACUUUUUGUGCAUUUUUCACACACAAACAGCACUUUUACUGAUCAUAUAAUUGUUGUGAUAUGUUUUCCAGUUUUGAAACACUAAUAUUUGUGUUCAGCAAAGUCUCCUGCGUAUAACAGUACCCCCCAUGUACAGGUUUUAUAGCGUUUUCGAAAGUUACAGGGUCUAAUAUAUGGGUCAAAUAUUUUUCCAUUGAAAAUGGCCAGAUUGGUUACGUUGCCUUUGAGAGCGUAUGGUAGCCCAGGAAUGAGAAUUACCCCCAUGAUGGCAUACCAUUUGCAAAAGAAGACAACCCAAGGUAUUGCAAAUGGGGUAUGUCCAGUCUUUUUUAGUAGCCACUUAGUCACAAAUACUGGCCAAAAUUAGCAUUCAAUUUAGUUUUUUACUUUUUCACACACAUACAAAUAUGAACGCUAACUUUGGCCAGUGUUUGCGACUAGGUGGCUACUAAAAAAAACUGGACAUACCCCAUAUUGAAUACCCUGGGUUGUCUACUUUAAAAAAAAUAUGUACAUGUGGGGUGUUAUUCAGAAAUUUAUGACAGAUAAUAGUGUUACAAUGUCACUAUUGAUAAAUUUUAAAAAUGUAUGUUUUGAAACCGCAAUAUCCUACUUGUACUUAUGGCCCUAUAACUUGCAAAAAAAUAGCAAAAAAGCAGGUAAACACUGGGUAUUUUUAAACUCAGGACAAAAUUUUGAAUCUAUUUAGCAUUUUUUUUCAUUCGCUUUUGUAGAUGAGUAAAAGAUUUUUCACGUAAAAGUAAAAAAACAUGUAUUUGUUAAAAAUUUUCAUCAUAUUUUUUUAUUUUUUUAAAUUAAAUUACAUGAGAUUAUAUAAAUAAUAUAUGGUAUGUAAAGAAAGCCCCUUUUGUCCUGAAAAAUACAAUAUAUAAUUUGUAUGGGAACAGUAAAUGAGAGAGCGGAAAAUUACAGCUAAACACAAACACCACAAAAGUGUAAAAAGAUGCCUGGUCGCAAAUGUACAACAUUGCAAAAACAGUCCGUUCCUUAAGGGGUUAAAGUUCCUCACAAUCUACAAUACUAAACAUAAACACACCAAUAACAAAUGCUCUGUACAUAGUAUGCCAUUAUACUUGUUAAUAUAUAUAUAUAUAUAUAUAUAUAUAUAUAUAUAUAUAAAAUAAUAAUUACAGUAACUCAGGGUUUUUCAGUGUUCAAGUAAUAAAUAAACAAUGUAAAACAAGUCCCAUCAUCACAAUUAUCAGAACAGCACCUGAGUAAAAAAGCAUGAAUUUUUAUAAAAACCCCUACAGACUCCCUGUAGUGGUUAUGGUGUCAGGAGUGAUCUAGUGCCCUUCAAGUGAACAUAGACAAAUUAGACUUUACCAUUUACCAAGGUACCGCUGGGCACCCACCAGUGCCUUCCCUGCUGCAGAAAACUUAUGCUAUGUAGGUUAGCCUGCUGUGCAGGCUGUGGUCAUUGGGUGAGAGCACAGCAGUUCUGGUGCUUGAAGAGUUCCGUUAACUUCAGUAUAACAAUAAUAUAUAACUAUGUGAAAUAUUGUCUCCGUUACUGCAAUGUCAAUUGGCCACCAAGAGGUAAACCCAGAUAGUAAAUGUUUUUUGUCUUCAAAAACUCUGAGUUAGACCUUGAACAUAUGAUACAGUUACAUUUUAGAGCUGGAAAUAAUCCAGACAAGGACAAGAGAGGGAAUAAGGAGGAUGGAAAAUUUUAGUUAUGAGCAAAUGCAAGAGGAAUUGGGUUUGUCUAUGUUGAAAAAAAUGCAUGAAUCCAUUUAUUUCACUACAAGGACUUCUCAGUGGGAUCUUCUACUCCAUAGCCCUUAAACAGCACACAUUUAAAGUAUCUAUUUAGAAUCUGAUUUUAUUUUGUAGAGCAGUUCCCUUGGCUCUCUUAGCUAAAGUUAACUUAUUGCCUUGAUUCACUACUCCUGCAGUACUAAAUACCAGGAUGAUACUUUCCUGCAAUGCGGUCUGGAACACUAAAUCUAUAAAAAAAAUUUUUUUAAAAAUGUUGAACGCUAUUAUUAACCAUUUGAGUACUGGAGUGUGAAGUGCAUUACUUAAUAAUGGCAGUCAAAAAGGCAGUGCAGGCACUACCAUAAGAUGGCACAGUCAGUCGUCCAGCGCCGCUCCGGUACUUGGUCAGUUCCUUUAGAAUAUCCCCCCCGUCUCAUCUUUCCUCCAAGCUAUACAUGUUAAGUUCCUUUAACCUUUCCUUGUUAGUUUUAUCCUGCAAUCGAUGAACCAGUUUAGUAGCCCUUCUCUGAACUCUCUCUAAAGUAUCAAUAUCCUUCUGGAAAUACAGUCUACAGUACUGCGUACAAUACUCAAAGUGAGGUCUCACCAGUGUUCUGUACAAUGGCAUGAGCACUUCCCUCUUUCUACUGCUAAUACCUCUCCCUAUAAAACCAAGUAUUCUGCUAUCAUUUCCUGCUGCUCUAUUGCAUUGUCUGCCUACCUUUAAGUCAUCAGAAAUAAUCACCCCUAAAUCCUUUUCCUCAGAUGGUGAGGUAAGGACUCUAUCAAAUAUUCUAUACUCUGCCCUUGGGUUUUUACGUCCAAGAUGCAUUAUCUUGCACUUAUCCACAUUUAAUGUCAGUUGCCACAACUCUGACCAUUUUUCUAGUUUACCGAAAUCAUUUGCCAUUUGGCUUAUCCCUCCUGGAACAUCAACCCUGUUACAUAUCUUGGUAAUAUCAGAGAAUGGGCCCAAGUACAGAUCCCUGAGGUACCCCACUGGUGACAAGUCCAAGCUUCAAAUAUAUUCCAUUAACUACAACGCUCUGUUGCCUGUCACUCAGCCACUGCCUUACCCAUUCAACAAUAUUGGAAUCCAAACUUAAAGAUUGCAGUUUAUUGAUAAGCCUUCUAUGUGCAAUAGUGUCAAAAGCCUUACUGAAAUCUAGGUAAGCAAUGUCUACUGCACCACCCUGAUCUAUAAUUUUAGUUACCCAAUCAAAAAAAUCAAUAAGAUUAGUUUGGCAUGAUCUCCCUGAAGUAAACCCAUGUUGUCUCUGAUCUUGAAAUCCAUGUGUUUUUAGAUGUUCAACAAUCCUAUCCUUUAACAUGGUUUCCAUCACUUUCCCCACUACUGAAGUAAGGCUUACUGGCCUAUAGUUGCCUGACUCCUCCCUACUACCUUUCUUGUGAAUGGGCACAACAUUUGCUAACUUCCAAUCUUCUGGGACUACUCCUGUUAACAAUGAUUGGUUAAAUAAAUCUGUUAAUGGUUUUGCUAGUACACCACUAAGCUUGUUUAAUAACUUUGGGUGUAUUCCAUCAGGUCCCAUUGAUUUAUAUGUCUUUACGUUUGACAUCUGAAAUAGAACCUCUUCCUCUGUAAACUCACAUGUAACAAAUGACUCAUUUGUCUUUUUUCCUAACUGAGGCCCCUUUCCUUCAUUUUCAUCCAUAAAUACUGAACAAAAAUAUUCAUUGAGGCAGUCAACUAGACCUUUUUCCUCUUCUACAUACCUUACUUCUUUCAUUUUUAAUCUAACUAAUCCUGUUAUGUAAUAUUUUACUUUCCUUUUCUCAUUUAUGUAUCUAAAAAAUGUUUUGUCCCCUUUUUUUUUACUGACUGUGCUAUUUUCUCUUCUGUGUGUGAUUUGGAAACUCUUAUAACUUGCUUAGCCUCUUUCUGCCUAAUCGUAUAGAUCAUUCUUUUUUUCCUCACUCUGGGUUUUUUUUAUAAUUACUAAAUGCUAAUGUUUUGUUUUUUACUAUUUUGGCCACAUCUGCAGAGUACCACAGUGGUUUCUUGAAUUUUUUGCUUUUACUGACAAGCCUAAUGCAAUUUUCUGUUGUCUUCAGCAGUGCAACUUUUAAAUAAUACCAAAAUUUCUCUUGGACUCCAUUUAAAUUGCUCCAGUCUGAUAAUGACUCUUUUACACAUAUUCUAAUUUUAGAAAAGUCUGAUUUUCUAAAGUCUAAAACUUUUGUUUUUGUGUGGUGUGGUGUGGCUCAGUCACUGUUCUUAUGUUAAACUAAACUGACUGAUGUGAGGAUCGCUGGAUCCUAAACUUUCACCUACAGUAAUAUCUGAUACCAAAUCUCCAUUUGUUUACACUAAAUCUAGUAUGGCCUUUUUACGAGUUGGCUACUAAACUACCUGUUUUAGAGACAAUCCCAGUAGGGAGUUUAGUAUAUGUGUGCUCCUGGCACAAGCAGCUAUUUUGGUUUUCCAAUUCAUAUCAGGAAGAUUAAAGUCUCCCACGAUGAUAACUUCCCCCUUCAUUGCCAUUUUAGCUAUUUCCUCAACAAGUAGAUUAUCUAACUCUUCUAUUUGUCCUGGGGGCCUACACGAGUUACUGUGUGAUUACCAAAUUCUAACAUAACCCAAACGGAACUAUGUUCACCUCACUAACUUUUAUUAGGCUAGAUUUUAUGCUACCCUUAACAUACAGGGCCACCCCUCCCCCUGUCUUGCCUUCCCUGGCAGUAGUGGCUAAUGGGAGGGAAAGGAGGGUAGAAUGGACUAGUGGUGGCUAUGGGGAGAGACAGGUGAGGAGAAUAGACUAGGAGUGGCUAAUUGGAGAUACAGGAGGGGAGAAUAGACUAUUAGUGGCUGAGGGGAGAAUGGACUAGUAGUGGCUAAUAGGAGAGACAAGAGGGGAAAAUAGACUAGCAGUGGUUAAUGGGAGAGGAGAAUGGACAAGAGGUGGCAAAUGAGAGAGACAGGAGGGAAGAAUAGACUAGCAGAGGCUAAUGGGAGAGACAUGAGGGAAGAAUGGACAAGAGGUGGCUAAUGGUGAUAGGAGAGAAGAACAGACUAGCAGUGGCUAAUGGGAGAGACAGGAUGGGAGAAUGGACAAGCAGUGGCUAAUGGUAGAGACAGGAGGGGAGAAUGGACUAGCGGUGACUAAUGGGAGAGACAGGAGUGGAGAUUGAACUAGUAGUCCAGUCUCAGGAGAUGUUGAUGAUAUCAUUGUUGUGAUGUUUUAUUGUUUUGAAACACUCAUAUUUGUGUUCAGCAAAGUCUCCUAAGUAUAACAGUACCCCCCAUGUACUGAUUUUAUAUAGGUUUCUAAAGUCAAAAUAUAAGGCUUGCCCAUUUCAUUUUUUUCAUUGAAAUUUGCCAAAUUGGUUAUGUUGCCUUUGAGACCGUAUGGUAGCCCAGGAAUAAGAAUUACCCCCAUGAUGACAUACCAUUUGCAAAGGUAGACAAUCAAAGGUUUUGCAAAUAGGAUAUGUCCAGUUUUUUCUUGUAGCCACUUAGUCACAAACACUAGCCAAAGUUAGCGUUCAUAUAGGUUUUUUGCCUUUUUCACACACAAACAAAUAUAAAUGCUAACUUUGGCCAGUGUUUGUGACUAAGUGGCUAUGACAAAAGACUGGAGUUACCCCAUUUUGAAUACCCUGGGCUGUCUACUUUUUCAAAUGGUAUGUCAUAAUGGGGUUUAUUUUCAUAUCUGGGCUGCCAUACCGUCUCAAAGACAACAAAGCCAAUCUGGCAAAUAACAAUUUGCAAAAAUAAAAAUUGGCAAAUCUUAUGUUUGACCCUGUAACUUCCCAAAUCAACAUAAAACAUAUACUUGAGGGGUACUGUUGUACUUGUGCGACAUUGCUGUACACAAAUAUAAGUGUUUUAAAGCAGUUUAACGCCUUAACACCAUUAUGGCAUUCUAUGCCGUCCCGCAUUAAAUGGGCUUUAAAGUCGUUGCGGCGGCAGGAGAUCGGAGGUACUUACCUCCACCGCGAUCCUCUUCAGGAGGACUGCCUGCCCAGGCAGCCCUCUCCCGGCAAAUUAGGCCCCCGAGGGCCAUGUGAUCGCUCUCAAGAGCUCUCAAAGAGCGAUCACAUGGCCCCCUAUAGCUGGCUGUGGAUCUGCCAACAGGGGGACUGUCUGAAAUGUCAGACAGUCCCCCUGCUGUUGGGAAGUGUAAAAAAAAUAAAAAAUAUUAAACAUGUUUUAAAAUAAAUUAAAUGUAUAUAUAUAUAUAUAUAUAUAUAUAUAUAUAUAUGUAUAUAUAUAUAUAUAAUAUAUAUAUUAUAUAUAUAAUAUAUAUACAUCUUAUAUAUAUAUGUAACGUCAUACGUAAUGUAUUUUAAUAUUAAUAUAAGUAUAUAUAUAUCAGUAUUAAAAUACACUUAGAAUGACGUUACAUAUAUAUAAGAUAUAUAUAUUAUGUAUAUAAUACAUCUAUAUAUAUUUUAUAUUAUAUGUACACGUAUAAUUACAAUAAUAAAUAAAUAAAUUAAAUUUUUUAAAAUUAAAUUAUUUUUUUAAUAAAUUAUAUAUACAUAUGUAAUUUCAUUCUAACUGUAUUUUGUUAUUAAUAUAUAUAUAUAUAUAUUGGUAACAAAAUACACUUAGAAUGACAUUCUAUAUCUAUCUAUAUAUAAAAUACAAAUAACCGCAAAUAUAUAUAUACAGAUAAAUAUAUAUAAUUACAUAAAUAACUACAUAAGUGUACACGUAGACUUUAAAUACAUACAUAAGUAUAUAUAUUAAAAUUCUACGUGUAUAUUUAAGAAAUAUUUUAACAUAAUUAUGUGAUUUAAUUAGUUAAAAUUUGAUUGACAUGCCUGACAACCCAGGAAGAAAAGUGCAGAGAAUUUGAAUUGCAAGCACUAUAGUUAACCGUGUAACUUUCCAAGACACCAUAAAACCUAUACACGGGGGGUACUGUUUUACUCGGGAGACUUCACUGAACACAAAUAUUAGUGUUUCAAAAUGGUAACUUGUAUUACAACAAUGAUAUUUUUAGUAAAAGUGACAUUUUUUGCAUUUUCACACAUGAACCGCACUUUUACUAACGAUAUUAUUGUUGUAAUACAAGUUACCAUUUUGAAACACUAAUAUUUACGUUCAGUGAAGUCUCCUGAGUAAAACAGUAUCCCCCAUGUACAGGUUUUUUGGUGUUUUGGAAAGUUAGAGAGUCAAAUAUAAGACUUGCAUUUCAUUUUUUUCACAUUGAAAUUUGCCAGGUUGGUUAUGUUGCCUUUUGAGACCGUAUGGUAGCCCAGGAAUAAGAAUUACCCCCAUGAUGACAUACCAUUUGCAAAAUUAGACAGCCCAAGGUAUUGCAAAUGGGGUAUGUCCAGUCAUUUUUAGUAGUCACUUAGUUACAAACACUGGCCAAAUAUUGUUUUUGCUUUUUUCACACAAAAACAAAUAUGAACGCUAACUUUGGCCAGUGUUUGUGACUAAGUGGCUACUACAAAAGACUUAACAUACCCCACUUGCAAUACCUUGGGUAGUCUACAUUUGCAAAUGGUAUGCCAUCAUGGGGUUAAAUCUCAUUCCUGGGCUACCACACGGUCUCAAAGGUAACAUUACUAAUCUGGCAAAUUUCAAUGUGAAAAAACUGAAAAAUGGAAUGUGCUAUAUUUGACCCUUUAACUUUCCAAAACACCAUAUAAACUGUUAAUGGGGGCUACUGUUGUACUCGUGAGACUUUGCUGAAUCCAAAUAUGUGCUUUUUUUUGCAGUAAAAGCUAACAGUAUUAUGACAUUUACAGCUAAAAUGUGAGGCGGAACUACAACAUUUUUUUAAAAUGUAAAAUUUCUCACAUUUUUUUUAAAUUUUAUUCAUAAUAAAUUAUGUUUCAUAUAUAAAUAUUUGAUAUGAAAUGAAAGCCCUGUUUCUCCUGAACAAAAUGAUAUAUAAUAAGUGUGGGUGCAUAUAAUAUAAAAGAGGUGAAUUACGGUUGAACAGACAUAUAGCGCAAAUUCCAGUUUUUGUUUACAUUUUGUUUUGAUCAGAACGUGUACUAUUGACUCCGUCCUGAAGGGGUUAAUGUAUUAUACUGUUAUUAACAUCGGUGAAAUGGCAGUUUAUGUGUAAAAAAUGCCCCAAAAAAACCAAAUAUAAAUGCGAAUUUUGUACAGGGUUUGUGACUAAGUUGCUACUAAAACAGAAUGGACAUACCCCAUUUUGAAUACCGUGAGUUGUCUACUUUAAAAAAAAUACAUAGUUUGAGGGGGGUAAAUUACAUUGGCCAGCUUAAAAAAUGUCCCAAAUAGGAUAUGGGUGCAUGAUGACCAGCUGUGAAAAUUCCAAGUUGGAAAACUGAAAUGCGCACUGUAACGGAUCGCCUGGCACCCCGACUGGGUACCUCCGUUAAAGGAUGCUCCUAGCGCUUCCUGAGGACUCCAAGCACUGCAGCAGACACCAAAACCACCGAACCGUAGGAGCAUAUGAAUGCUGUAGACAGUUGAAUAGAAACCAUACGAAUAGGUUUACUCUCCUAGCAGUCAAACUGGAACAGCAUACAAUAAAUCCUUCCCCCAAUAAUGAGACGACACUUCACUUUGAGGGUUAAGCAGGAACUCCCUGUACUGUCACAUACAGUCUCUUUUAUUCCCAAUCCACAAACAUGGUACAGCCCACAGGGCGUUACAAAACAGCCAAUCAAUCCAUACAAUACACCCAGACACUCCCACACAAAAUCCUCCCCUCUGGCUGUGAUAUGAUUACUGAACACAAUGGGUAAUCUAAUUAUCACAGCCAGAGAAAUACAGUUUCAUAAAACACAUCACAGGGACCCCAAAACAUGCAAUAACCCCAUAAAAAGUAUAUCCUUGGAACUGGGGGAUCUGGGUGAACCACAUAUCCAAAAUUCACCCAGAUCCGUUCAGUACUUUGGAAAAUACAGUUUAAUGCAGAUUCUGCAGAACAUAUACAGGCUAAAUAAAAAACAAUCACUGUAUAAUGUGUCCCCUGCUGUAUAGUCCAAAACCACCGCACGAUGUCUCUGUGCAACAAAUACUGGCGAGAUGGCACCUUGUUGAAAAGUCCACACAGUGUCUGUGAGUUAAAAUGGCCGCCAUCCAUUGUUCUCACCAUGUGCUUCUGAUACAGGAAAUGGUGGCCACCCAGUAACUCCACAGUAUGUCCCCAGAUGGUUCUUAAAAGGGCCAGGAGCAGCACAACACAAAUCCAUUAUGCCCAAAUCAUGUCUUUAAAGGGCAAUACAUCCCAGGGGCCAUAGUCACAUGGCAGGAGGCUGGCAACCAGGCUUCUCCAGUGCAUAGUGGUGAGGUUGGUUCCGCCACACGCACCCUGGUCACUAAGGGGUUAAACGCGUUUGGCAUACAACACCCAUAAUCUUUUUUGGCCGGCCACGUGACACGGCAUCAUAUUCGCGUGUCAUGUGAUCAGUCUAUUAAAUUCAAAAUAACUAUUUUUUAACCUUAGUUUCUAAACAAAAAUGAAAGGAUCACCUACUCAUAAUGCAAGGUUUUCAUCUAUAACUCUUCUAAUUUGUUUUAUAAUGUAUAUUUUAAUUUUCUGUCUCAUGCUGAUGGUGUCAUUUUGGCGACAAAAAUUGAAAUUACCAUAUUGUAUGUAUUGCCUAUAUAUACCCUAAUGUAACAGGUUAUAUGAUUCUAUCACCAUUUGAAAAAGCCCUGUGUUGGCAAAAUGCGUUUGGUUUGUUUUUAAAGCCUAAUGAAUUAUUAAAGGAAAAUUGGCCAUUUUAUCCUGUUGUGCCAUUUACCCGUUUCUUUUUAUCCUUUUUUAUUCAUUUUAACCUGGUCACCUAGAAUUUUAGAGAACAACUCACCAAAGAAUACAAGGUGAGGAUUAUACCACCUACGCCCUAAAAAAUUGAGCCGUAGUUCCUGCUCAACAAAGUGUAUUUUAUGUACAUUUUAUGCAGAGAGCACUAUUUUGCCUUGUUUUUUUCCUUUUUGGGACACCCGAACUCUGAAAAAUCUGUGAGUAGUCACCUAUAUCCCGCCAGAUCAACGCCACUGAAUGUGAAUCACAUCAGAUCUUAUACUAGCUUCAAAGUUUGUGAGUAGGACUAUUACGCUCUAUACACCACUCAUCAUCUGUUUGUGACAUACUACACUAUAUCAGUCUUUUCUUCUUUUUCAUGGUUAAAAUGGACUGAAAAAGGAAGAAUCUUCAGAUUCCCCCAAGAAAAUCAACAUGAUUAAGGUCCUUAUUUAUUGUACCUCAAACCUUGGACUUUUUUAUUCACUUUUUAUGUUUUAAUUUCCCAUUGUUUCUGCAUUUGAAAGUUUCUGAUUGUUAUUUUACUGAUCGGUAUUUUUAUCAAUAUUAUAAUAUUAUUUACCUGUGGUGCAACCUAUUUUAUUCUAUUGUGUACGCCCUUUUACUUAGAGGUUUAUGAGGGAGCCCCAUAUUUUAGGAUUUGCUGCCUGUAUUCACAGAUUUUCUGACUGGUCACUCAGCGCUGAUCCAUUUGUUGUGUAUUUACUCUUUUUACUCUACAAUUGUCUAGCCAGCUACAAUUUGAGUUAUCUUUUAUAACACUAUUUUAACUUAGCUACACUAUGUAGUUAAGCAUGUUCUCAUACAUUAUCUUUAUGCAACUAAUAUCUAUGUCUGGGAAGUCUUGCUAAAAUUUUCACUUAGAUACUCACUUUAUACAUAAAUGCCUAGCCUGAAUAUACCAAAACAUAAAAUUAGUGCUGUACUCUCACAAUGCCACAUGUUUAUUUGACUGUUAUUGUGGAUGUGCUUGCCUUGGUUGUUGGGGCAUUGCAUGCUUAUUUGCAUUUUUGUUUAUGCACUGCAAAAAUAAAGAAUAAAAAAAAAAGUAAUUUUAAGAGGUGUUACAGGCACGCUAUAGUAUCAGGAAUACAAACAUGUAUUCCGGACAUUAUAGUGUUAAUGUCCCGCCUCCAUGGCUGAAAUCAUACAUUUUAAAGAUCUCAGUCAUUCCAUUGCUUUCCUAUAGGAAAGCAUCAGAAGGCUAUUACAUAUGCACAAUGCUGAUUGAGACAAUCCCUUUAGCUGUGAAAAAAGUGGACAGCAAUCUUAAUAGGUAGCCCUUAACUAAUCAGCUAUACCUUUAUUUUUGUUAUAUAGUUAUAUAGAAUCACAUGAUUAUCAGCAUCUAUUUUAUAAAAAAAACAUUUCACAUUGAGUGAUUAUAAAUUAAUUUCUUAUAUGCAUUCUUUGACAAUCUUUCUUUUAUUGAGUCAAGAGAGGUAUACGUUACAGAGAAAGAAAAAGGAAGCAUAACAAUAAUACACAUAUCGGAUAGCAAUUAAAUAUACUCCUAUUGCAGAACAGCCUAAUUUUUAAGAAUAAUAAAUAAUAACCUGGAAGCUUUUAUGCUAAGUACAUGUUGUAGGCACAAUGGGCUGCAAGAACCUUUAUGUAAAGCAACAUGCUGUAGCCUGGACCUCAGUUAAACUGAGUUAAAUAUUAUACUGUGUAUCCAGCUAACAAUAGCAAAUGAGCUUUAAUACCACUGGGCACGUAUCGCUAUUAAACAAAUAAAGAGGAAAAAGCUUAAUGGCUCUGCACUAUUAACAGGAGUUAUAUAAACCACUGGGUCUUAAGAUUUAACUAUAGCAGAUACUCAAUUAGGGUACAUCAACAUUAAAUAACAGCUGGAUAGUUGCAGGUAAGUUGCAAAGUUUGGUUACUGAUGAUACCACCAAGCUGCAAGCGUGUAUGGAACUCAGUCAGCUGAUUCCUGAUGGAGGGUCCAAACACUGCCACUCUCUGCUACCUGGGAACAUAAAUAGCAUAGUAGGACAUCUUGGCUCUUGGCCGGAUACCGUGGCUGCUGACUGCAGGUCUUGUGGACCCAGGAGCUUAUGUAGUGGGUAGCUGAUGCAAGUUGAUUGUACAAAGGGUGUGCCUGCUUGCCUGCCCGCUAUGGGGACGAGCCAAGGCUCAUAUGAGGGUCAGAGUGAAGGCUUCUUGUGCCUUCUCCCCCACAGUACCAAACCAGAGCUGGACUGUCGUAUUCAGCAUUUAUUUCUCCAUGCCCAUGAGUGAAGGUUGCCCCCCACUCCUGUAUGACACAUACUGGGAGGAAGCCAGGUGGGUGCCUGCUUAGGGUUUCUGUUUGGCAGGGACUUUUUCCCUCCUCUGAGCCCCAUUUCUCCCAGCUCCUAACUGAAGCGUGUUCUGGGAGGGCUCCAACCGUGUUUGUAGCUUAGCCCAAAAGCAUUUGAAUAUUACCUCCAGCCGCUGUAGGCAAUGAUCAAUGAUCAAUAGAGUUGUGAUGAGCUGAUCAUAGGCUUAACUCCGGCCUGGUUGGCAUGAGUGCGUCCGCCAUCUUGGUUUGUGUAGCGCUGUCUGGUAAAAGCUGAAUUCUGCAGGUAUAAUCAGAUGAGGCAGUCCGAGGCUCUCCAGUGGAGACUGGGAUGACCCCCACCGGUCCAAAGGGGCAGGGGGGGGUAGAAGUCCAGCAGGACUGUGCGAGGAGUGUAGAAGCAGGAGGAGCGGCAGCCUCAUCCAACUCCAGAGCAAACAGGCUGCAGUGCAGGGUAUCGGGUCCCCAGCAUUAACAGGUUUCAGUGAGGUGUUGGGUAAAUCGUCUGUGCACCCCCAAUGUGGGUGGUGCACCCACGUGAGUUUUGUGGCUUGAGGGUUGGUCAUAUGACCCCCAUUUUAUCGAUUUAGACGGGAGCUCUCACUGCACCCGUACAAACAACCUGAAGGUCAUGCUCCGCCCUCUUAUAUGCAUUCUUAUGCAAUAUUAGUUUUGUGUUAUCAAUUAUUAUAUAUUAUUAUUAGUUUCUUCUUCUGCUUCUUCUUCUUUUUCUUCUUCUUCUUCUUCUUCUUAUUAUUACCAUUGUCAGUGUUAAAACAGUUAUUUUGUCAAUGUGUUAUAUCAACCAAAAGAAUAGAAAAGCAAUAGUAGAAAAAAAUACAUUAAAUCCCAUAGAUAGAUAAUUUUCAAUUAGUGUGUUAUAUUUAACCCCUUAAGGAUGGUGGGUGUUCCCUGGGGACCCGGCUUUAAACUCAGGCGGGUGGCAAAGAAUGCCCAAGCCGUUCUAUGUACUUACCCAGUCGCCAGCGAUCCCACACCGGCGAUCGUGGUGUGGGGACUCACCUGGGAGCCCAGGGAGUCCCCCUCCUUCCUCUUCGGCCCCCCUGGGCCAUGUGAUGGCGAGGUCCUUGCACGGACCUCGCCAUCACAUGGACGGCAUAGCCGUCCAAGGCAGUGCCAGCAGGGAGAGUGCCUGUAAUGACAGGUACUCCCCCUGCUGCCUGUAAAUAGUAAAAUACAUGUUAAAGUUACAGUUUAAAAUAAAAUAUAUACUUAGAUCAUAUAUAUAUACAUACAUACACAUACACUGUCUAAGUGUAUUUUAAUAUUUAAAAAUAUAAUUAUAUAUAUAUAUAUAUAUAUAUAUAUAUAUAUUAAUAUCAAAAUACAUGUACAAUUCUAUUGAUUAAAUAAAUAUAUAAUUUUCAUUAUAUAUAUUUAUAUAUAAUAUAAAAUAAAUAAAUAUGUAAAUACGUUAAAAAAAUAAAAAAAUAAUAAAAUAAAUAAAUUAUAUAUAUGUGUGUGUGUAAAUUUGUUCUAACUGUAUUUUAUAAUAAAUAUAUAUGUAUAUAUAUUGAUAUCAAAAUACAUGUAGAACGAAAUAAUAUAUAUAUAUAUAUAUAUCUAUAUACCUAAGUAUAUAUCACUAUAAAUAUACCUAUAUAUAAAUGAAAAUAAUUUUAAAAAAUUAUAUACAUAUAUAUUUACACACGUAUAUAUACACACGUAUAUAUAUAUAUAUAUAUAUAUAAUUCUACGUAUAUAUUUAUGUAAUAAUUUUACAUAAUUAGGUCAUUUUAUUAAUUACAAUUUGCGGGACGUGCCUGACAGCCCAGGCCAAAAGUCCAGGGAAUUUAACUUGGGGGUACUGUUUUACUCGGUAGAAUUCACUGAACACAAAUUUUAGUGUUUCAAAACAGUAAAAUGUAUUACAAUGAUGAUAUCGUCAGUGAAAGUGACAUUGUUUGCAUUUUUCACACACAAAUGGCACUUACACGGACGAUAUAAUUGUUGUGAUAUGUUUUACUGUUUUGAAACACUAGUAUUUGUGUUCAGCGAAGUCUCCCGAGUAUAACAGUACCCCUCUUGUACAGGUUUUAUGGUGUUUUCAAAAGUUACAGAGUCUAAUAUAAGACUUGCGUUUCAGUUUUUUCACAUUGAAAUUCGCUAGGUUGGUUAUGUUGCCUUUGAGACCGUAUGGUAGCCCAGGAAUGAAAAUUACCCCCAUGAUGGCAUACCAUUUGCAAUAGUAGACAACCCAAGGUAUUGCAAAUGGGGUAUGUCCAGUCUUUAUUAGUAGCCACUUAGUCACAAACACUGGCCAAAAUUGGGGUUCAAAUUAGUUCUUUGCAUUUUUCACACACAAACAAAUAUUAAGGCUAAUGUUUGUGACCAAGUGGCUACUAAAAAAGACUGGACAUACCCCAUUUGCAAUACCUUGGGUUGUCUACUACUGCAAAUGGUGUGCCAUCAUGGGGGUAAUUCUCAUUCCUGGGCUACCAUACGGUCUCAAAGGCAACGUAACCAAUCUGGCAAAUUUCAAUGUGAAAAAACUGAAAAAUGUAACAUGCUAUAUUUGACCCUGUAACCUCCCAAAACACCAUAAAACCUGUACAUAGGGGGUACUGUUUUACAUGUGAGACAUCUCUGAAUACAAAUAUGUGUAUUUUAUUGCAGUAAAAGCAAACAGUAUUAUGACAUUCACAGUUAAAAUGUCACAUAGAACUAAAACUUUUUUAAAAUAUUUAUUUUCUCCAAUUUUUUAUAUUUUAUUCAUAUUAAAUUAUGUUUCAUAACUAAAUACUUGACGUUAAAUGAAAGCCCUGUUUCCCCUGAAUAAAAUUAUAUAUAAUAAGUGUGGCUGCAUAUAAAAUGAAAGAGGCGAAUUACGCCUGAUCAGAAAUAUAGUGCAAAUUCAAGUUUUUGUUUACGUUUUGUUUUGAUCACAACGUGUACAUUUGGCUCAGUCCUUAAGGGGUUAAGUUCAGAGGGUAGAACAUUUCCCAGAAAUAUCCUUGAACUCACCUCGUAGAUGUUUCUUGGAAAUAAAUACAUUUCAUCAUAGCAAUGUAUUUUUUUUUUAACAUAAACAAAGCAAAUGUGUCUUGUAUUUCCUUAUAGUUAUACUUUUCCAUCCAUCUUAUUACAUGCAUGAUCUUAUUUGGAAUCUAUCCAGCUUCAUAAUGUAACUAUAUUAUAUGUUCAACGUCUGACUAAGGAUUCGAGGACAAGCAACAUUGUAUUUCCUUCUAGCGUGGUGUUCCUUAUUCAACAUCAGUACCAUAUCAUCAUAAUAUUUUCAUGAUGUACGGCGGUACCUUUACAUGCAUCCACUCUAUCACUUCCUUAGCAGUCUAAUGUGAAUGUUGAAACAAAAUUGUGCCUCCAGCAGGCCACUACAAUAAUGAAUGAAGGAAAUGGGUAUCAUAUGGCAUCACAUCAGACUUGCUCACUCACAAAGGUCAUUUGCACAGAUGUAUCUAACACCAUACCUUUAAGACUUGCUAGCUAAAAUUCUCCCCAACUCGAAAGGUGAGUGGAGAGGAGAAAACAGCUCCAUGGAAGGACUGGUUCCACUAUUGUCUGCUAUUUCUCAACUGCCUGGUACCCUGUAUUAUCACCAAAGUUUUCAAAGUAAUAGAAAAAGGGAGAUAUGCAUUCCUAGGUAUGACUAUUAUAAUAGCUCACUAAAAUACAAUACUAAAUAUAAACAAUGGAAAAACAAAGCAUUCAAAAUGUUAAACUCAAAAUUACAGAACAAAUGUGCUAAAAAAAUCAAUAUAUCUUAUUACACAAAGCUUUCAUUGUAUCCUUGCACUAGCCCUAGUGUGGUGGAAUCUCGGUAAAAAUAAAUUUAGUAGGCCGAGAUUACCACGUGGCAUGUGUACGUGCAUAUGCUGACGUAUCGAUCAGUUGGUUGCACGAGGCAAGAUACGAUCAGUAGUGUACGGAGCAUGUGCAAGAAUACAGGAUGUAGUAUUCCCCUCCUCCAUUGUGCUGGACAAGCCAUGCGGUCAAGCAGGAAGUUAAUUCUUAUUUGUAAUGAUUGGUCAAGAGAAUGUGCGGGUGGAGCUUAAUAUGGGAGGAGUUAUGUGCCUAUAUAGGGAGCCUGCACUAUUGUUCAGGGCUCAGAACUUGCUGUAUUUUUGGUGACAUUAGUCCCUCUGAGUCCCGAUCGGUGAUCCAAUAAAGAAUCUCUUCCUUCCUGAAGAAACCUGUGUCCAUCCCUCUGUGCUUUGCUUCCGUCAGUUUCUCCGGUAUCAUUUGGUGCAUUGGCCGGGAAGCUCAUCGUUCAACGGUAGCUGAGAGGCAGAGGCGUGAGACGGUCUAUCUUUGCCCACGUUCUCUACGGCUGCACCCCUGAACUUCUGCGUGGACCUCCCUUCGUCUCGGCGCCACUGGUCUGUUGUCCAGGAGAUCAUCGGCCUCUACGUAAGAAGUGCUGGGGUGUCCCCGUCGAUGAGUGUGAACUCAGGUUCAGGAGCGAGGAGGUAAGACAACUGCUGUUUUAGACGGCAGACCCACUAGGGGUAUACCGAUUGUGCGGUAGGCCCAAAAGGGGUUUAAAUCUGUGUAUGGAAUCUGCCCCCUCUGUCGGAGGGAAGGAGCGAAGGCGCACCGCUCGAUCGAACGCUCUUUAGUAAGACCGUUUGAUCUGGUUAGUCAGGCGGGGUCCUGUGUAAAUAGCCCUAGCCGGACACCGGUGUCUUGUCUAGACUAGCGUUCUAGGGUGUAUAUUACGUUCGCUAGGUCGGAGGGACCGGGAGACUAAGCGGCGCCUGUGUAAAUUCGGUUCGCUAGCUCUCAACCUAUCUUGGCUAAGUGGGAAGGCGUGUAAAUUUGGAACCCACUAGACUUUUGAUAGAGUAAAUAGACUAGAAGGGCAAUUUUGUAAAUUUCGCCCUCUAGUUCGCUAUAUGUGGUGUUUGGGCAGUGUGGCUAACCAAAGCGGGUGUAUAUAGUUUUAGGUAGUCCAUUCAAGGUACUGGCCAAUAGUUUAGUUGGGAUUGUAAAUGUGUUAAAGAUUGUUAGUAAAGUGUAUAUCUUGUUAGAUAGCGCGAGCUCAGCCGUCUAGCGAGAGUGUUAAUAGUGUGUUGCUGUAUCAUAGUGCACGGUACCAUAACCCUGUAUAUUUACUGACACUGUAUAUAAGUACUAAUCAUUGUCGUCUAUUGCAUGUUUAACACCGUAACCACUAAUAAUUGUAUUGUGACCUUAAAUUGUGCUUUGACCUAUGCUAACCGUACUGUAACCGAUACUAGUAAAAGACGAUGUUACUGGGGUGUGUUAUAGACGGGUAAUUCAUAUAUAGAGAAUUAUAGCGUGGGUGACUGUAUAGUUUCGCCAAAGGGCAUAAUAUUGAUUAUUUAGUGACUGGUGUAACAGCUGUGUGUGUACGGGAAUUCCCUGAGUGAUUAUUGUGUUAUUGUGUACGUUUCACUCGGUAACUGUACCACGUGGUGCUGUUGCCAGAGGAAACGGGUGUGACUGUUGAAUAAGAACGCGUGCAUAGUAUUCGUUGUCAACGACGUUCCAUUGAUAAGUAUGGGCGCGUCAGAGUCAACGAUUUCGGAUCCCUUAGGUUGUAUGGUAAAGAAUUUUAAAAAGGGAUUCAAAACAUGUGAUUUUGGGGUUAAAAUGUCUCCUGUACGUUUGGUCACUUUGUGCACUAGGGAGUGGCCUAUUUUGGUUGCGGCAUGGCCGCCGCGUGGCAGUUUGGAUCCAACCCUGGUACAGCGUGUACACGUGGCUGUGUCAGGUAGGCCUGAACUUUACGGACAGUUUCCAUACAUUGAUUGUUGGGGGCAGGCCGUAAACGACUCGCCAAAAUGGAUCCGGAUAUGCCACGAGGAGCAAUGUCGCCUCAUGGUGGCCAGGACUUGUUUGUCCACUAGGACUGGUGUUAGGCCCAUUUUGGACACGCCCCCUGAGUCCGAGAUCCCUUUGCCGCCCCCUUACUUUCCUUUAAGAGGAAGUGACGCGAAUGCAGGAAGCUCUGCACCCCUUCCCCUAUUGCCCCCAUCCACUUCCGCUUCCUCCUCCAGUACAGAAUCCACCCCCCCUCGUAUUAAAACUCCCCUUCCGGAACCAGGACCAACCCCCAUUAGAUUUGAAUAUCCUGAUUUGGCGCCACUUCAAACUUCCGGUCAAGCUUCUUCUAGCUCGGCUCGGAGUAUACUAUUCACUAACUUUUCCCAAAAUCAAGUUCCCACAUCCUCAUGCCCUAUUACCUCUCGACCGGAACCUUUAACUGACGCCCCUCCACGUAGCCCCAUACUAACCCGACAACUGACCGGUACCCAACAAUUAAAACAUUAUCAGAUGCCUCUUCGUCUGAAUCCUGGGUCAGCCUAUAUCGAUGCCGCAGGUCAAAUGGCACAUGCUGACCCAGUCUUCGUAUAUGUCCCGUUCACGACUACCGAUCUCUUGAAUUGGAAGACCCACAAUUCCUCGUACACUGAGAAACCACAAGCUAUGACCGAUCUGUUCACCUCGAUAGUUCAGACACAUAACCCGACAUGGGCUGAUUGCCAGCAGUUAUUAAUGACAUUGUUCAAUAAUGAGGAAAGGACAAGGAUUAACCAAGCGGCCAUUAAGGCGCUAGAGGAGAGAGCCCGUGCUUUAAAUCAAGCCAAUCCGGCAGCAUGGGCCGCAACACAUUACCCUAACACCGAUCCUGACUGGAAUGUAAAUGGCGCAGAUAUGGCUCAACUUAAAGCCUAUAGAGAUGCUAUAAUUGCUGGCAUGAAAGCCGGAGGGAAGAAAGCUAUUAACAUGUAGAAGACAGUUGAGGUGAUUCAGAAAAGUGAUGAAGCGCCCAGUGUCUUUUAUGACCGAUUAUUGGAGGCAUACCGCUUGUAUACCCCCUUUAAUCCGGAAGGCGCUGAUAAUUCCCGAAUGGUAAACUCCGCCUUUGUCAGCCAAGCUUACGGAGAUAUUAAGCGCAAGCUACAGAAAUUAGAAGGGUUUGCAGGUAUGUCUAUCACCCAACUAAUGGAGGUAGCGAACAAAGUAUAUAUGAAUAGGGAAACAGAAAGUAAGAAAGAGGAAGAGCGCAAGAUGCGUAGAAAGGCAGAUAUGCUAGCGGUAGCGAUCGCAGGCGUAGAUAGACGGGGCCCAGAUAGAGGCGAUAGUAGAUGGAAUAGGGAGCCUUUGAGUAGGAAUCAGUGCGCGUACUGUAAGGAAGAAGGGCAUUGGAGGAACGAGUGUCCGCAAAGAGAGCAGUAUGAGAGAGACUUACCCAGGGCAGGUUACGGAAACUUUAGAGGCAGAGCGAGAGGUAGAGGAGGCCCCGGAGGGAGUAAUGGUAAUAGAGGGAGUAAUGGGAACAGAGGAAGUGUAAGGGAAGAUAGGUACUAUCCAGCAGCGCAAAGGUCCCGCGAUAGAGAAGGUAGGGACUUUGUGGGAUUGGCUGACACGGUCAUGGAGGACUAUUGAUACCGACCGGGCUCCAUCCCCCUUGGUCGAGCGGAGCCUAUGGUCGAUGUAUCAAUAGGGGGAAAAAGGAGUGCGUUUAUGAUCGACACUGGUGCUGAACAUUCGGUGGUGACUAAUCAAGUUGCUCCUCCAUCUGGAAGAACUAUUACUGUAAUAGGAGCAACUGGAAGAAGUGCUGAAAAACCGGUUCUUAAAAGUCGACUCUGUACAUUGGGAAGCCACGUAGUAAAACAUCAAUUCCUUUAUAUGCCUGAGUGUCCAGUCCAAUUGCUGGGACGUGAUAUGCUAUCCAAAUUACAAGCGCAGAUUACGUUCCUACCAAAUGGAACAACAUCCUUAAAGUUUAAUGGACCCUCAGGUAUUAUGACAUUGUCCGUACCAAAGGAAGAAGAGUGGCGACUUUAUACAGUGUUGACUAGCCAAAACCCGAGGAGUGAUGAAUCCUUAUUUAACAUACCAGGAGUUUGGGCAGAGAGCAACCCACCAGGACUGGCCCGCAAUAUUCCACCUAUUAAAAUCGAACUAAAACUUGGGGUUUAUCCAGUAAGCCUGAGACAAUAUCAUAUUCCGCAGAAGGCUAAGAAGAACAUCCAAUCUUAUCUGGAUAAGUUCAUACGGUAUGGUAUCCUAAAAUUCUGUACUUCCCCUGGAACACCCCAUUGCUGCCUGUUCAAAAGCCCGGUACAGAUGAGUAUCGACCUGUGCAGGACUUGAGAGCAGUCAAUGAUGCGGUUGUUAGUAUACAUCCAGUCGUGCCCAAUCCAUAUAACCUGCUUGCUUUAAUUCCGGGCAGGGCUACUUACUUUACAGUCUUAGAUCUCAAAGAUGCCUUCUUUUGCCUCCGAAUUGCCGCAGAAAGCCAAUGUAUCUUCGCUUUCCAAUGGGAAAAUGCUGUAACGGGCUCGAAACGCCAAAUGACCUGGACAAGAUUGCCCCAGGGGUUUAAAAAUUCACCAACCCUAUUUGGUUCAGCUCUAAGUCAAGAUCUACUAGAUUUUGAGUCUAUCCCAGGAGAGUGUGUAUUAUUACAAUAUGUAGAUGACUUGUUGAUAGCAGCAGUUACAAAGGAAGUAUGUCAGCAAGCAACGCACGAUCUACCACACAUUCUCUGGAAGGCAGGAUACAAGGUGUCAAGAAGGAAGGCUCAGUUGUGUUUGCCAACUGUCAAAUAUCUGGGAUUCCAUAUCUCUGAAGGUCAAAGAAUUAUGGGGCCAGAGAGAAAAGAAGCUGUGUGCCAAAUACCGAUACCCAGGAAUAGAAGACAAGUGCGAGAAUUCUUGGGGGCAGCAGGCUACUGUAGGAUAUGGAUUCCCAGCUACGCGAUACUGGCAAAACCUCUGUAUGCAGCUAUCAAAGGUACAGAGCACGACCCCUUCUUAUGGACUCAAGAACAGCAAACGGCAUUCGAAGAUGUGAAGAGGGCUUUGAUGAGUGCCCCAGCAUUAGGUCUACCUGACCACACACGGCCAUUCUACCUGUAUGUACUUGAGCAAAGAAGAAUGGCUGUGGGAGUAUUGACACAGUACUUGGGAUCAUGGCAAAGACCUGUUGCCUACAUGUCUAAGCAACUGGAUGCAGUGGCCAUCGGACUUCCACCUUGUCUAAGAGCUGUAGCUGCAGCCGCCCUGCUAGUAGCUGAAGCCGAUAAACUCACUCUGGGUCAAGAACUUUAUGUACGAGUUCCACAUGCAGUACAGACGUUGUUGGAUUACAAAAGAAAUCAUUGGUUUAGUAACAGCCGUAUGACCAAGUAUCAAGCAAUGUUGUGUGAAAACCCAAGAGUGCAUUUAGAGACUGUAAAUACCUUAAAUCCAGCUACCCUUUUGCCACAACCUACUGAAAGUCAACAUGAUUGUUUAGAAGUAAUGGAUGAAGUAUUUUCAAGUAGACCAGAUCUUCGUGAUUUUCCCAUCCAGAACCCUGAUGUUCAAUAUUACACCGACGGCAGUAGUUAUGUAAAAGAAGGGAUCCGCUAUGCAGGAUAUGCAGUAACAAAGAUAGACAAGGUGAUAGAAGCUCGGCCACUGGCAAAAGGAACAUCAGCACAAAAGGCAGAAUUGAUAGCACUGACACGAGCGUUACAAUUGGCUGAAGGUUUAAGAGUGAACAUCUACACGGACUCCAAGUAUGCGUUUUAACCACUCAUGCCCACGGAGCUUUGUAUAAAGAAAGAGGACUAUUGAAUUCAGAAGGCAAAGAAAUCAAAUACGCAGCUGAGAUCCUACAACUAUUGGAAGCGGUGUGGGAGCCGAAAGAAGUCGGUAUUAUACAUUGUCGGGCGCAUCUGAGAGGAGAUGGUGAUGUAACCAAAGGGAAUCGGAUGGCAGAUAGUGCAGCUAAGCGUGCUGCUGAAUCAGGAAGACAGGAAUAUGUGGGGAAUAUAGCUGCUCUUAUACCAACUCCACUAUCUCAAUGGACUCCAAUUUAUACAGCUCAAGAAGAGGAGUGGUUAAGGACUGAACCUGGAAAGUAUUUGGAGAACAAAUGGUAUCAGUUAGAAGAUGGAAGAAUAGUUAUUCCAGCAUCACUAGCGGUAGAAAUUGUCCAAAACUAUCAUAACGGGACACAUUCUGGGAGAGACAGUACAGAAGAAUCUCUCAGAAAACAUUUCUACAUACCAAGAUUGUCCAACUUGACUCAGGCCAUUGUACGUAGAUGUGUAACGUGUGCUAAAAAUAAUGCAAGACAAGGACCAGUAAAGCCACCAGGAGUCCAGUUUAUGGGGGGACUUCCCAUGUCCGAUUUACAAAUUGACUAUACAGUGAUGCCUAAAUCGGGUGGACAUCGCUACCUGCUGGUAGUGGUGUGCACCUAUUCAGGCUGGGUAGAAGCAUGUCCUACUCGUACAGAGAAAGCAGGAGAAGUCGUGAGAUUCCUGCUACGAGAAAUAAUACCCCGAUAUGGACUACCCUGCUCUAUAGGAUCGGACAAUGGUCCAGCUUUUGUUCAUCAGUGCCUACAACAAUUGACUCAUAUGCUUGGUAUAAAGUGGAGGCUUCAUACGGCAUAUAGACCCCAGAGUUCUGGUAAGGUAGAGAGAAUGAAUAGAACUAUUAAGAAUCAGUUGGCUAAAAUGUGUCAGGAAACCCAACUUAAGUGGAACGUUCUCUUGCCCAUAGCUCUAUUGCGAAUCCGUAGUACACCUACCAGAAGGAUGGGCCUCUCUCCUUUUGAAAUCAUGUACGGGCGACCACCUCCCGUGCUUGGUAACUUAAGGGGGGAUUUGAGUCAGUUGGGAGAAGGAAUUACCCGGCAGCAGGUUGUAGAGUUGGGUAAGACUAUGGAGGAGGUACAGAAAUGGGUACAAGAUAGAUUACCUGUGAAUAUUUAUCCCCCAAUUCAUAGUUACCACCCAGGCGACCAAGUGUGGAUUAAAGAGUGGAAUAAUGUGCCGUUAGGGCCCAAGUGGAGAGGUCCUUAUGUUGUUCUUCUGUCUACCCCUACAGCGAUAAAAGUAGCCGAAGUGGCUCCGUGGAUACAUCACUCCAGGGUUAAACCAGCAGCAGCCGAUUCCUGGCAAGUUACAGCAAAUCCAGAGAAUCCCUGCAAGAUCCGGUUAAAACGCACGACUCAGUCGGAGUGACGAGGAACCUUGUAGAUUACAAAUUUUAUUGUUUCAGAGACUUGGUAAGUGAGUGAGAAGGCCAUAAUAAAGCCUGUCCACUCACCAACGAGUGUAUAAGUCAGGG